rnacentral:lncRNA from 1 species
UCUGGCCCGGAUCCCCAAAGAUCCGAAAUAUUCGGAUCCGAAGUCUAAGAAUCAUAAUCCGUGCGGAUUCAGAUCCGGAUGCAAGUGCAUCCGGAAAACCGGAUACCCAGAUCCGGAUUAAUUUUUAAUUAUAUUAUUAAUUUAAUAAAUAAAAAAUAUAUAAGUUAAAAUUGAAAAAAAACAGUGCACUUCGCCGUCAUCGAACGCCAACAACCCGCUGCAUCAAAAGCUGGCGACGCACACCAUACACGGCUGCCUGACUGCCUUGUCUAUUCUUUCUAUCUUUGGCCGCUGUUAAUACAAAGGGUGAGCACGCAAAUUUCUAGCAAGUCAAUUUCAGAUUCUCAGUGAACAAGGUGAGGCCUUUUUGGUGUCGUUUUGUGCUUUCAUGGAUUGCGUUUACAGAACUAUUCAAUCAAAUCAUUUGGUGGUGGUCCUGAUGGAGGUAUCCCUCUCGUAAUUGUCUAUCAUCAUCUUCCAUUAUUAUUAUUUUAGCAUUUAAAUUAAAUAUUGUCAUUAUCCAUAAAUGUAGUUUGUGAUCUUCCUUAACUUUAUGAAUUACUUUAAUUUCGGAUUUACUUCAAUUAUUUUAAUUAGGUUUUUGGUUUAAUUACUUAAAUUAAGUGCAUUAAUUUUAUUUGUGAAUUUUUAAUAGUGGUGUAAUUGAAUUUAUGUUUUUUUUAUGUUUGGUUUAUGUUGUGGUAUUUUUAUUUGUAAAUCUACGAUGUUAUAUCUUGUUCAUGUUGAUUAAUUGUUAGAUUAUAGUUGAUUUUUAUUUAAUAUCAUUAUUUAAAUAAUUAAAAUUUUAAAUUAUUUAAUUUUAUUUGUGCGUAUCCGGAUAUCUGAAAUAUCCGUCGCAUCUAUUGCGGAUAUUACCCGCAUCCGGAUAUCUGUAUAAUUUUUUCCGGAUCCGAAUGUAGGUUUUUCCAACCCUACCUGAAUGUAAUCGAGCCAUAAUUCUUGAGCCCUAGUCUACCCAUAACUCUCAAAUUCAUAUUAAACAUCGAAAUUUUGAAUCAGGAUAGGCCUUUUUGCCAUCCCUGCGGGUCAAAAUAUCAUUACCCGAUUUUAGUUUAGCUUUACUUUUUGCCUCAUUGUCCAUACCCCACAGCUUACUGAUUUUGCAAACCACCAAAGGGCCGUUCAUCCCAAACGGGCCCUAAUUAGAUUAUCAACGCCUACUAAUUCCCUUGCUGGGACUUCCCUGCUGAAUUAGAAAGGCUGUCGCUAAUUAUACUUUUUCUGACGAGUUGAAAGUACUGUGUAAUGUUUGUAGGUAACUUAAUGGCAGCAUGAACUGCCACUACGAGUAUACAUGAAUAUUCAAAAAGUACUAGUUCAUGAAUUAUUUAGUUCGAGGUGAUGUGAGAGAAUGAAGACCUCCCGUCAUGUAUUAAUUUAUCUUUUUAAAAAUUGGUGUUUGUUAUGUGAAAAGAUAACUUAAGAGUUAACUCUAGUACCAUAUAAAAGUUUGUAUAGUAACUCAUACUCAAACUAACUUAAAAGUUAAGAGAUUCAUGUAUCUAAUUGGAAUAUUUAUCCAGUGAUUUAUUCUGAGCGGAUGUGAAUUAAUUUCCUAAUCAUUCACAACUAGAUUGUUCUCUAAUUAUUCAAUCAAUCAUUUGGGAAAAACUGGAAUUGAUUAAUUAUUUAAUUAAUACUAGGUUGCGAUUUAGACUCCGCAUGUUAAUGGCAUCCAAUUAGGUUGAAUUAUAGACUCGCGCGUUAGUGGCAUGCAUCUAAAAACUAUUCAAUUUGUAAUUGACCAAACUUUAGUGAUUAACAAAGUGGCCACCACAUUAUAUAUAUCUGGCCGUUCACAGAUACAUAACAGCCGAUAUAUAAUAUCUUGUAAUCAAUCCUGUAUGUGAAGAUACAACAAAAUGGGUACCAAUUUGUCCAUUUUUCCAUUCAUCUUGAUCGUGCCCAACGAUCAAGCAUCUCGUUAUCAAUCUUCUCAAGAUUUGUAUGAUUAUAAGUUGAAUUUAUAGUCGAGAAAGAUGUCUAGAAAUUCGCUUCCACCCCCCAUGCCUAGUGCUACUAUUUAUUACUUUAAACCUUCUCCUCCACCACCACCAAAUUAAAGCUUCCAUUGAGGCCACCACAAUAUAAUCAUCGUCUUAUCAGAGUACUAUGAAAACUGUACGGGAUAAGUGGCAAAAUCCGAUAAAUUGUAGAGCGAAAAUGUCAUUCGCCUUAUAUAGUUUAUGAUAGUGCGGGUUUGUCUUGCCGUUUAUAUGUAUCAUCUUUAUGAGAGACGGUGGAGAUCAAGAAAAUGUUGUGCUUAAUUUCCUUUUAUGAUUUUUGUCACUGCAGAUAUCAUGGAACUAAAAAAAUAUAUCCUUUUCUUAUAUUAGUUGUACUCCUCAUUGAAUUAGUCAAAUCCUAAAGGGGAAGUUACUUAUUCUUUAAAUAGAAAUCCUUCUAAAUAAGAAAAUAUCUUAGUAAAUCCUUAUUGAAAAACAAGAUAUAUUUCCUAACACAUACAAAGUUGUUCAAGUCUUCAUUUGAAAAUAGGGACUCAAAGUUUCUCACUCAAUUAAAAAUAAUUGAGUUGUGGUAGUUCUCUCCUCACGAAAUAUGAGUGGGGCAUAUAUCUUUCAAAUAAUAAUGAGACUAUUUUAUAGAUUUAAUAUAGAAUGGUCCCAGUAAUUAUCUGAUUGUAAAUAUUAAUUAAAAAAAAGAUGAAUCCUUUAAACUUUGUCUAAAGUAUUAGUCAAUAAAUAGCACUAAAUUUAUUUAUUUUUUCAUAAAUUUUGGCUAAGUUUCUCCUAAAUUUUGACAUUUUCCAAAGACAAGUGCUUAAUUUCAAAUUAGUUUUUAUUACUUUCUUUGCGGUUAUUUAAUAUUUUUCAUGAAAUUCUUGAAUCUUUAUUAGUCUUUUAUGUUUUGGAGCAGUUUUUGAGGAAAAGAAAUAAAAUGGAGUAGAAAAGUUACAAAUCAGUGUGAAGAAUAACUAGAUUGCGACAUCAUAAAUUUUGAUUGCUUUUUAGAUGGAUUUUGGGCUUUAUUUGCUAUAUUGGACUAUAUUAACAUGCUUUAAGGUUGAGAAUUAGAUUUGGAUGAUAAAAACUGAUUCUUGAAAGACUUGUCAAAUUUUCUAUUUACGCCCACAUUAAGAAUGCGUUUUGAAGCUAUUCGACAAAUGGACCUAUUUUCUAGGUUUCAAAUCCUAUUGUUACUUUCUUUUGUUUUUGUUAGUUUUUUUUAAUGGAUUUGAUAUUGAAUAAUUCAAACAUGUGUGAGUAAUCUUUUUAUUAGUUAAUUAGGAUCAAUUUCAAAAACCUAGAUAUGGAUCUUUAAUAAUAAAUUUUCAGCAUAAGAAUUUCUUCAAUUUUCUCUAGAAAAUUUUUUGUUUUGUUGAUUUUAAUGUUCAAGAAUCGGUACCUUAUAACUAAACCUAAGUGGCAGAUUAUAAUCAAGAUUAUGGAAAAUUUUCAUUUCACUGAUGUGGAAUAUAAUUCAAGAUAAAUAAACUGAGCUUGUGCUUUCUUGAUUCAGCCUAUGCCUUUCUUGAUUUUAAUGCUUUAAUUAAAUUGAAUUUAGAGAGUUGAUUCUAGGUUUUUUCAUGGAAAGAGAUCAAGUAAAGAGCUUAUUUUACUUGAAGAUAAUUGAGCUUGUAAUUGUCUUGGGGCUAUUGUUUUUAAAAGAAAGUGAAUGAUGAUUCUAAUAAUUGACAUAAAAUGCAUUGUUGAUGGUGGAGAAUGAUCCCUUGAACCACAUUUUUGCAUUAUAUAUAAACAUUUUUAAAAUUGUUUCUGAAAUUUUAGAUUUUCUACUUUGAAUUUAGUUUAAUUUACAUCGUAGAUCAACUCCAAAUCCCCAAAAUAAUUUUUGUGCAUGAUCAUUAGUGUGUCCUUAGUAGAUCUAGAAAGUUUGAGUCAAUUUCGUUAAGUUUAGAUAUGAUUUUUAAUUCAAUAUUUAUUACUGGCCAUUUUGUGUGUUUUGUGUUAAUAAUUUGUUAAUUGGGAAUAAUUUUAUGUGGGAAUGACCCCUUGCAUAAUUUUCUAUGGGAAUGACCCUUACUUGCUUUUAUACUCAAUAACAAUAAUAUUUAAGGAAAUGUUUGAAGUGAUAUACUUUUAAACGAAAUCUGAUUAGUGUUAAAAAUUGUAUGUUUGUUAAGGGGUAAAAAUAUUAUUUUGCACUAUUAAUGUAAUUUAUAUUUGUAAUUGUGUAACAUAUUGUGAAUUUCUAAUUAUUUUUCUAAAUAUUUGAUUUUGUGUAUUUUUUGUGUUUAUUAGGUAAAAAUAAUAAUUUCAUGCAAUUUGAGGCUUCAAAUAAAUGUACAAAUGUCAAAUUUAGAUUCUGAAAAUAUGAGAAAUUAUAUCAUUGUCGAGGAGGAUCCAAGAUUUUUAUUGUAAAUUUUUAAGUUUUUACCACGGUAAAUGUGAUAAUUGUAAAAUUAUAAGUUUUUAUCAUGUUAGGUAUGGUAAUUGUUAGUGGAAUGUAUUGGAUAUGCUUAAGUGGAUUAAGUUAGGUUUGUGUUUAUUAGUGAGACAAAUGUAAGACUAAGAUGUAAUUAGAUUUAUUUAUUUGUGUGGUGUGGAUAUACCAUGUAUUAGUAUAAAUAGAGAGGGGGGGAACACACCUCUUCACACCUUCUCUUCUCUUUUUUCCCCUCAAAUUCUUCUUCUCGUCUCUCUUUGUAAUAUAUUUUCAAUCAAUAAAAUUAUUUUUAUUUCAAUUUUCAAAUUUCAUUUUUUUAAUUAUGUGUUUUUCGAUUUUAAUAAUUUCCUUUAUUUAAAAAAUGUUUAGCUAAAUAUUCAUAGUUAGGGGAAGGUGAAACUCUUAGUAAAAAAAAUAUAAUUUAAUCAAAUUCUAUUUUUAAUUGUACAAAUUGAAUUAUUUUCUAUUUAAUUUUAUCCGUAUUUUAUAUUUUGAAAUUUGAUUUAUUGUAGACAAAAAUGGGAGUUUGGCACAAUGAAUUUUUAAUAUCUUAGUAUAAAAUAUGGAAAAAUGGUAUUUUGACUUAUUGUAGACAAGUUGAGUUUUGGCACAUUAAGUUCUUAAUCCAAAAUAAAAUUAAUGGGAAAAUUAUUUUAAUUUAUACAAUUAAUCUUUUGGGAAAUAAAAUAAAAAAUAAAAAGAAUUUGUUAAAUUGUAUUUAUUACUAAGAGUAGAUCCAUAAUCCUAACUAAUUCAAUUUCAUAUUUUUUUUAAAACUAAAUUGCAUAUUUUUAAAUUUUAUUUUUAUUUUUUUGAUAAACUUAAAUAAACAAAUUAAAUCUUUUCUUUGUGGAUCGACCUCGGACUCACCGAGUUAUAAUAUAACAAGACACUCUUAUAUUUAAGAGUUAAGAAAUCACUUUUAAGUCGUGUCAAUAUCAUCAACACACAAUUCCAUAAAAUCAAAACCUCAUUGUCAACUUCAAUUGAACAUACUAAAUCAAUUUUUCUUGUAAUAAAAUUACUCCAGUUUACUAAAAAAAAUUAUAUAACUUCUAUAAAUUAAUACUUUAUAAAUUAAUAACCUCUAUUAUAUAAUAAUUAUAUACAAUCUUGACUUGAGCUAAUAGGCUAAAUUGAUAAUUUUAAUAAAUUAAUAAGAAAAUAAUUUUUCUCAAAACCCCUUAUAUAAUGUCCCAUUUAUUUUAUAAAUCAAUAAUUUGCUAAAAAUUACAAAUAGAAUUGUUAUAAUAUUUAUUAAAUAAGAUAUGACUCUAUUGUUAUUCUUUCUUGAAAUUUAAAUAUAGUUGGGUUUCAUCUCUAAUUUUUCUUAUUGCCUCUAGAAGUUCAAGGGGUUGAAUUCUCAAAUUGCGAGAAUUUUAAACCUUUUUUUGUUAAUUUAAUCUAUAUUUAGUAGAUUAAUUUAUUUUUAAUUUGAUUAGGCUGAUAUAAUACAAUGAAUUUUUAAUUAAUUAAAUGUAUGUUCAUUGAAUUGUGUAUACACUCUAUAGAUUCUUAAUUUAUAGAGAUUUUAAUGUAUAUAGUUGUUAAGACCGCGUGUGAUAGUUGUUAAGACCGCGUGUGAUAGUUGUUAACACCGCGUGUGAUACAACCUUUAAUCAAGUUGGAACUAUCUUGGCUUGUUCCUGCGAUCUACUUCAAAUAAAUGCAUGUGAUUAAAUUAACAUAUGUUGCUAUUCAAUCAAAGUUUUAACUAUAAUAAAGCAAACUUUGCAUAUGGAUUUACUGAAAAAUUAAACUUUACUUUAGCAAAAUCUUGACAAAUGAAGCAUGAAUUUCCAAUUGUGAAUUUGCAACCAAUUUCAUUCCAUGACACAUCUAACGCUAUGUCAACAAUUUUGGCUAUCCAUCUUCGCUUCAGUCGGCCACCAUUUUGAAAUUGACCAUAAAUGUUCCCUUUUAAUUUUUUGAACAACACCUGUCACUAUCAUAAUUCGCGAGUGAGCAUAUACCUUUAAAAAUUCACAAAAGCUAACAGCUACAUCCCAAUCAAAAGGCAAGUCAGAACCCAAAUCCAGUUGAUCCAAAAGACUAAGAACAUGUCAAUAAACUCUCAUUGUCAUGAAGCUUCCUCUCUAAUUUGUCUCAUUUACAUACUUGUUUAAUAAUUAAGAUAAUUAAGACCUUUCUCCUGAUAAACAAACUAAUUACAUUUCACUAACGUGUAUAUAAAGAGCACGGCUUAAAGAGUUCAUAACAUCAUUACUUAAAAAUGAAUGCCAAUUCAUUUUUUCUCAUUUUCUUCUUGAUUCAUGGGCUGCUUCUUUCACAUAAUACUGACAUGAUCAAAGCCACUGGAAUUGUUUCCAAGUCGUCUUUGAAUGAAAUAUCUUCACAAGUUAUUAAUUUUCAUAAGUUGAAGAUGGCGUCACAUAGGUCGCUAAGAGUACGAAAUAUACGACCAUCUGCACCGAUGAAAAAUCAUCCUCGUCGCUGGUAUCGUACUCCUCCGCCAGCAAAACGAUCACCACCACGACGACGGCCACCUCCACCACUGAAUUCAUAUUAGUAUCUCCAACUCUACAACUAUAAGACAUUAGCAUGCAAAUUGCUUCGAUGGUUUGUCUUCCGAUGUUUUUUUUAAUUAUGUAUGACGUGUAAAUUUUCGUUAUAAUGAAAUAUUUUAAAUUACUGCCUGAAACAUCUAUUAUUACGAGGCCAACUCUCUUUAAAGAUCUUGGGUUUCUCCUAGUUAUAUAGGUUCUUGUAUUUUGUUUAUGUCUUGGCUUUGGUUAUUUGCCUUCCGUACGUUCAGCACUAUAUAAGUUUUUCCGAGGAGAUUGUGCUCUCUUUUUUCCUUUUUUGCUGUCUAUUUAGUUUUUUUCUCUAUAAAUUUUCAAGCCUAGUAUUAAAAAAAGGGGUAAGAUGUGGGUGACUACUUGAUUGAAAUAAGAUGAUUUUUUUCUUCUAAAUUUAUUUGCAGAACAAAAUUGAAACGAUGGUUAGAAGCUAUAAUAAAGUCAUAAUGAUCACCAUAUCAAAAUUAAUGUAAAGCUUGUAAUAUAUUCCAAUAGCUGAUCAAUUAGAAGAUUUAAGAAAAGUCAUAUAUCGUAGAUCUACUCGAAGUAUUUUGCAACUAAUAUGAUUGCCUAGCAAGUGAAUGAUCAAGGGAGAGGAUCGUGGGUAAUUCUACUGUUUUUUUUUUGUGUGGAUCAUCAAGAAGUUGUUAAUGGAAAUCGUGGGCCUACAUUUUUAAUUAAUUAAUAUAUACUUUAGUAAGUAUCUUUUUGCUUAUAAUAGAACGAUACACCAAGGUGAAGCUAAAUGACUUUAACGGGCAUCUUUAAUGCUGCUUACGUUUCGUUUGAUAUAGCUCUCAAAUAAUUGUUGCUUACGGUUAAGAUAAUUGUAUCCUCAUAAUUUUUUGUUGAAAGUUAUAUAAUGCUGAAAAUGAGGAGAUCAUACCCGAAAUGAUUUCGGGAGGUGAUUUUAUCUCUCGCAAUUGCUUAUGGUUAAGGUGAUUUUAUCCUCAUAAUUUUUUGUUGAAAGUUACGCAAAUAUUGUUAAUUACGUUGAGUAUUAAAUUGUAUGGGGGUAUCUUUGAGAACUUAAAUUAAUGAGUUAUUUAGACUUUAGACUAUAAAAUAAAGUUUUUUUUUUUUUUGGGUUAAGAUGAAAUGUAAAUAAGUAGUAUUGAAAGAAAAAAACGCCCACACAAUAUAAAUAUUUAAAAACAAGUCAUAUUUAGACUUCAGGGAAAAAGCCCCUUAACAUAAAAUAUUAAGGGGGAAAUAAUAAACAAUACCCCUUGAAAGCGACAUAGAAGUUGAAACCAUCUCGCGUAAUAGAAGGUUCUAUUAAAUAGAAGCAAAUCAUUUUAAAAUAAAAAUUUUAAAUACAAUUACAUAACAUUUGACCUUUUACAUAAAUUAAAAAUUUAAGGAUAAUUAAAUGAAAAAAUAACACUAAAGAAUAUGCAAUAUACAUGUAUGUGUUUUAUAUAUAUAUAGUCGUUUUCUAGUGUGGGCGCCCUUAUUUUUUUCAUGCAGACAUAUUGUUAGACUGUAUAAUUUAAUAGAGUUAGUGCUGACACAUUGUUAAACCACACGUUUUUAUAGUACAUUGAAAAAUGAUUUUUUUAAACCACAUGAUUUAUUAGCCUAUUUGCAUUAAAAAAUAUGAGGGCGUCGGUACCUAAGGAUAAUAUAUAUAUAUAUAUAUAUAUAUAUAUAUAUAAAGUAAUUUUCCAAUCCUAAAAGUCUAGAAAAAAUAUAAUAAAAGCUGUCUUAUCCCAUGAAACUUCAAUUUACGCUGCUNNNNNNNNNNNNNNNNNNNNNNNNNNNNNNNNNNNNNNNNNNNNNNNNNNNNNNNNNNNNNNNNNNNNNNNNNNNNNNNNNNNNNNNNNNNNNNNNNNNNNNNNNNNNNNNNNNNNNNNNNNNNNNNNNNNNNNNNNNNNNNNNNNNNNNNNNNNNNNNNNNNNNNNNNNNNNNNNNCAGUAAUUUUCCAAUCCUAAAAGUCUAGAAAAAAUAUAAUAAAAGCUGUCUUAUCCCAUGAAACUUCAAUUUACGUUGAAGAUGAAGAAAAUAAUUAAAAAAAAAUUAUCUUAUAACUUAAUUCCCGCUUUGUUAAAAUAAAUAAGAGAUAAAAAAUACCCAUGAUAAUUAAUUAGAUUUUAACAUAAGUAUUUAUACAUAAAGAAUAUUAUUAAAGUUGUGUUAUUUUUAUACUCAUGAAUCGAUAAGAGUGGAAUUUUUAUUUUCUAUAUUGUUUCUGAAAAAUUAUCAUAUACAUACUAAAUACAAAACUGAUUACUACACAUUGGGUUUAGGGGCUAAUAUUCAUUUCUAUUUUAAUCCAUUCCGAUUCUCAUUUAAUAAAAACACACCAUUAGUUGUCCAUCUUCAACACAUCCAUUUCGGUCGCACAAAAAAAAAAAAGGAUUUCUAUUAUAUUCUAAAUGUUUUCCUUCCGUUCAAUUAUUCAAAGUCAAUUUUUCAACAACAAUACAUGUGACAAUAUCUUUAAAACUUAAAAGCAUUCGGAAGAUUGGCUCAGCUCCCAACUACUACAUCCCAAACAGAAAGAAAGUCAAAACCUAUAUCCAUGUUAUUAAUCUUAAAGGCAAAAAACAUGUCAAAGUCUCAUUAUCAUGAAGCUUCCUUUCAAAUUCCUCUCGUAUAUAUUUGUUUUUGAUUAUAUAUAAACAUAUAUGUUGAGCAUACAUGGCUAAAGAGUUCAAUCAGGCAUUACUUAAAAAUGAAUGGCAUUUCAUAUGUUCUUAUUUUCUUCUUGAUUCAUGGGUUUCUUCUUUCACACACUACUUGCAUGGCAAAAGCCACUGAUCAAUUUGUUUCAAAGUUUCCUUUGAAUGAAAUAUCUUCACGAGUUAUUAGUUAUCAUAUGUUGAAGGUGGUGCUCCAAAGGUCCCUAAGAGUAAAAUUUUCACGACCAACUCGGCCGAAGAGAAAUAAUCCUCCUCGUUGGUAUCGUCCUCCACCAAUAAAACGAUCACCGCCACCGCCUCCACUGAAAUGACAGCUAACACCAUAAGAUAUAAGCAAUGAAAUUGCUUAUAGGGAUUAUCUUCCAUUUUCAAUUUUUUUUUAAUAUAUGAUGUUCAAAUUAUCCUUAUAAUGAUGUAUUGUAAUUAAAUUAUGCAUGUUAUUGCCUGAAACAUCUAUUGUUGCGAGACAAUCAGAUCGCGGAAUAUGCUUUAGCUAAUUAUCUGGUACUCUUUUAUUAUGUUAAUACAUUUUCACUCCUAGUCGAGGAUUAAAAAAAAAACAGAAAAUUACCUGAAACAGCUACUUGAUUGAAAAUCGAUAGAUAGCUAAUUAUUUUAAAAUUUAUUUACAGAAAAAAAUUGAAACAUGUAUGAUCCGAAACUUGUUAAUAGUGUGUGUGUGUAUAAGCGGACAUGCUCUUAAGCCGUGGGAUUUGAUAGGUUUAGUUUUGAAUAAACUAUAAAGUCGUGUGGUUUAAUAGUAUUAAAAAAUUACUUUCUUAGAUCGCACGGCUUAAAAGUGUGUUCGCAUAAAAAAAAAUGAGGGCGUCCGCACUGGCAGCGCCACAUUGGAGCUAGGGAGGGCUGCAGCCCCCCUUGGCUUUUUAAAAUUUACAAAUUUAGUUAGGUAUUUGUCCCAUUUUGAAUUUAAUUUACUAAGAAGGUCACUGCUAAAAUUUAAAAAUAAACAAUAUAUUAAGUAUUUAUUUUUAUACUUCCAACCCACAAAGAAACAUUGUAUUUUGAAGUUUCUCCGGCCCUAACUCUCAUCAUACAAAAAAAAAAAAACUAUUUCACCUCAUUGAGUUUAUUCAAAUGAUUUUUCUUUAAUGAGUCUUAUAGCACCUAAAAUUCAACUUAAUAUUUACAUUAUAGAAGUGAGUUCUGAUAACAAAUUUUUAAAAUUUGAAAGGAAUUGAUAAGCUAACAAGAAAAAUAGUUGAUACUAAAAGGAUAAAUUAUAUUCAUUAAUUAAUUUAUUGUUUUUACUAGUUCUUAUCACUAUAGUCAAAAAAGCAUUUUUGGUUAUGAAUUUUGUGAAAAAUCAUCUAUGAAAUCAUAUAAGAGAUCAAUAAUUGAGCGAUAUUAUUGUUGUAUAUACAAAAAAGAAUGUAACGAAUGUUAUAUCUUCCAAUAUUUGAUCAAUUAGAAGAUUAAAGAAAAGUUGCAUAUCAUAUAUAUCAAGUUGUCAAUGUAAUUGUUUCUUAAAAUAUAUAAGGUUAAGAUUUAAUAGUUUAGAAGGAAAUUAUUAUCCUAAUUAAUCACAUGUUUCGGUGUCAUAGCUUUUAGUCAAAAUCUUGGCAGCCACAAUUGGGAAUAUUGCCGGCCAAAAUCUCCCAAUGGUAAAAUCUUUGAAAAACAGAAGUUGGUGAAAUAAAAAAAAAAAAUGUUUAUAGGGGUGAAGCAACAUGCACUUUCACAGGAUCAUCUCAUUUGACUCAGCUUUUGUUUGGUAUAAUUCUCUAUCAACUUUGACUUACACAGUUGAGGUGAUUUUACUGAAAAACCUACGUUAUCGGUGAUAUCACGAGUUAAUUGCUAUGUUGGAGAUGCUCCAACGUAGAAGCAGCCUUUAGAAUUGUUAGAUACAUGUAAUUAAAUUUGAAACAAUUAUAAAAAUGUGCAUCCAACAGUUUCGGGAGCUACUCUACAUUGGAGAUGCUCCAACAAACUGAACCAAUUAAUUAAUAUAAAAAGUGUUGAGUUGUGUCCCACAUUGGCUAGUAAAGGGGAGAUGUUUGAGUUUAUAAGGUGAUAGGUCACUUUACGGAUAGUCUUUUGGGUUGGAUACCUAGAAAACUUAUGAUAAGUCCCCCAACAAAAAGUAUAAAUAGUCUAUAAUAAACCAUACCCCCUAAUAAGCGACAUCGAAGCUGAAACUAUACAUGAAAGCAAAUGCAAAAAAGAAAUAGAAAUAUUGCUAUGUAGAAGUAACUGAAACCAUUUCACAAAGGGUACGUAGAAUCCAUUCGAAGUAGCAUCCCAACAAUGUAAAUCAACAAAUAGGGAAACCAAGUAUGGCUAUCAUAUCAAACACGAUUAAUUUCUUAUUUCAUACCUACCAUUUUCAUUUCACAGCACUUUUGACUUAAAAAUAAUAUAAUUCCACAAAAGCAUAAAGAUAUUGGAACACAUGGACUUUUUUAAUUUCAAAUUAAUUUUUUGUUUGGAUAGUGCCUUUAAUUAAGAAAAUCAAACAAAUAAUAAUAAUGGCAAGUCAACAAUUAGGCAUGGCAAUUGCACUGCUUGUUGUGGGUUUACCAAUACUAAACCUGCACCUACACAAAAUUUAAAUUACUAAAUUCACAUGUUACCCCCUUGUGGGUUUUAAUUUUUUUAAAAAAACCCACCAACUGCGGGUUUUGACAAUUACCUGCAAUGGUACUUGACAGAUUUUUUGCGGGUUCCCACAUUUAAAAUCAUAAAUAGUCAAUAUGUAAAUUUAUAAAAUAACCUAAAAUAUUAAAAUUAUACAUAAAAUAUUGAAUUCUAGAAAAAUAUUCAAUUCUAGAUUUAAUCAAUGUAAAUGAAAAAUUAAAAUUUCAACAUCAAUGCAACAAUUAUUCAAAUUUAAGUAUGAAAUACACAAGUCCAUCAAAACUCAAAAGAGCUUUCAAGUAAUUAAAAAAAAAACCACAAACUAGUUUCCGAAAGUAACAACGGCAGAUGCAACAACAACAACUAUAAAAUCAGUGCCGGUGGUAGUUGUAGAAUCAACGGCGGAGGCAGCAACAACAACAAUAGCUGUAGAAUCAACGAUGAUGACGGCUGUAAAUCAGCGGCCCCUGCAGCAGCCACAACAGCACAACACGAUUGUCAACAGAGAAGGGAGUUGCGCGUGGGUUGUUUGGAUUGAGAAGAGAGUUGGGCAACAAGGCAGGUGUGUGACUCACAGUCACGACUCAAGGUAGAUACUAGAUUAGUUUCCUUUAGCUUAGUUUAGAUGAGAGAUCAGCUAAAGAAGUAUAUAAAGUUGGCCAACGGCACGACACGACCCAUCAAACCAAGGCCCACUUGGGCCCAUGUGCCGGCACAGCACGACCCACCAAGUAAACAUGUCGUGUUGUGCAGUGCCAAAUUUUUUUCUUUUAGGCCUAGUACGGCCCACGGCAUGAGCCCAUGCGUGCGGUGCUCGGGCUAUACCAUGAGCCAUGUCCAAAAAAAGCCUACCAACCCUUUUUUUUUCAAGCCCAUAUGUCUGGCGUGUUUUUUCAAGCCCAUCAGCCCAUGCACUAAUAAUAAUAAUAAUAAUAAAUUAAUAAUAAUAUUAAUAACAACAACAACAAUAACAACAAUAAUAAUAAUAAGAACAACAACAUCAAUAAUAAUAGCUUUUAUUAAAGGAAAAAUUAACAUUUCAUUAUCAAUUUAUCACAAUUUUACAAUUAUAUAUUUAAUUUCACAAUAACCAACUAUAAUACAACUAUACAUAAAUUUAAUUCCGUAGAUCACAGUAAUGAUUAAUACAAAGCUAUAAACUCAAGUGGUUGAAAAAUAGAAAUAUUCAAAGAAAUUAUUCAAAAUUCAUUUAAUAAAUUAUAAACAUAAAAUAAUUAGAAUAUUUAUUUUAAACUAAGACUUAAAUUAAUUUUAAAAGCCUAUGCAAAUAAAAUUUAUUAAAAUUUUAAUUUCAAGAUAUUUGUAAAAUCAUAACAUUUUAUGUUUACUUUUCAUUAAAAAAUUUUACUUCAAUAUACUUUAGCCCACAUGCUACUGAUGGCCUACAGAACGUGUGCUAGCCCACCAAUGAAGCGUGUUUAUUAUACGCCUUUUCACGUGCCGUGCUUUGGCACAUCUCUAAUCGUAUCGUGCUUUUAAGGCCCAUAUACAUAAAAUUCUAAAUCUGGCCCAGCGCACAUGCGUGACAUGUCGUGCUGCGUGCCCUAUCGAAACAUGCUCAUGUCAUGCCGUGCGGUACGGACACGUGUUGUGCUUGUGCCGUGUCGUCCAGCCUAUUGGCCAUCUUUAAAAGUAGAUAGACUUUAGGGCUUACACACUGCAAUUGCAUGCACGUUUUCACACUUUAUAUAUAUUUAGGUCUACAUACAUUUUUAAUUAAAAUUUUAAAAAAUGUUUGAAAAAAUAAGUGCGGGUUUGGCGGAUACCCAUGUGGGUAUCUACUGGAUAUUUAGUAAAUAUCAAACCUACCCGCAACCCGCAAAAUUACCUGCAACGGGUAGGUUUCGAUGGGUGUGUUUAGACGAGUUUGUAAGUUUGCAGGUACCAUUGCCAUCCUUAUCAUCAAUAUUGCACAGUUAAAAUUAUCAAAUUGUAAAGAUACAUUCAACUGACAUAGCAAUGAAAACCUAAAAAGCAAGGUGCUUGGAAGUUGGAAGCGAAUCUCAUUAGUUGAGUCUACCCUUUUUGCAAGAUAUUGGGGUUUUUGGUUGCUUAGAUUCUUCGAGAAGGCUUGACUCUAUAGAUUUAGGGAAUGAUGAGGGCGACGCUGCUCCCUCAAUAAAUUUGAAGAUGGUUUUUUAUCAUAAACAGUAGAGUGGAUUUUUUUUUUAAAUAUAUGUAUGCUUCUCAAACAUUUAUAAUUUUAUAUUUAAGUAAAAAAAAUUUCAUAACUUUUAUUUAAAUAGGGUCUCAAAAAUAUUUUAUUAAAUAAACUUAUUUUCUAAAUUAAAUAUAUUUAUUUCUUAAACUAUAAAACCUAAUUCCUUUGUUUGUUUUGACUUAUGAUAAUUGAUAACUCUAUGAAAUGAGAGUUAUCAUGAUACGUUUAGAUUUAAAUCAAGACUACUUAGAGAGUAAUUGAUGUGUUUUGGUAUAUUUUAAUGAUAGUUUGCAUUCACAUCCAUUUUAGUUAAAGUUUAAUAACUUUUGUUGAUUUUGAAUAAUUGUGUGCUUAAAACAUAUGCAUAAUUGUAGGAAGCUGGAAGCUCCAAUUUCAAGGAAAGAAUGCUGGUGCAAUUAGCUUGUAGAAAGGAUAAAAGAACAUGGCUAUGGAAGAAUUGAAGCAAGUUUAGAACAGUGCAUAUGCUCUAGCCAUUGUUGUAGUGACCAUUGUUGUAGCAUUCCUGGGGCAUUGACAGAAAUGAUUUUUCACGAGACACUCAUCAAAUUUCGAUCUAUAGUUUCCUAAUUUGGAAGAUGCGCGCCCGAGUUUUCAGCUAUUAAAGAAGCAAACACGCAAAGGGAAAGGGAGAGGUCGUCAACCAAGAUCAAGAACCGAAAAGAAACAAAUGAGAAAACAGAAUUCAAGAGCAAGAAUCAAGACUGCACUAAUGGGGAAAUUUAUGGGAAACAAUUAGAAUUCAGUCUCUCUUAUUCUUCUCUUAUUUUCUUAUUUAUUCUUUGAACAUGAGGAUGUAUUUGAUGGCUGAAACUUUGUUGUUUAUUUUUCUUUUACAAAUCAUGAACUAACUUAAUUGUGGUUGAGUGAUAAACAAUCUUGAUGGUUUCUUGACUAAUUUAAUAUGUUGCUGCAUGUUUGCUAUAGCAUUUUAUUUUGAUAGUACUUAUUUACAUUCAUUAUUUCGGUUGACCACCCAUUUAAUGAUAGAAGCUAAGAGAGACUCACAAAAGGGCUUAUCUUAGUGGAACAUAUAAGAGCAAUACUUGAUUUUAGAUUGGAUUUCCUGAGUUGAGUUUAACUUGAUUCGAAAAGGGCUAUGCUUAAUCUAAAAUUAGUGAUGAACUAGAUAUAGGGAUUCACCUUGUAGGGUAUAUAGAACCUAAACGUAUAAUGUUAUAUCUUAUUUUGGCAUAACAAUUGGUCUAUGUUAGGUUGCAUAAAGAUAAAAGACAUCCAACAAGCGACAACUGAGGAUACAUAAGGAUUAUGUCCAGUGCUGUAGCAGAUGGUGUAGCAAUCACGCCUAAAUUUAGAAGAAAUAGUCAAAACCAUUGAGAUAGUUUAAUCACUCAACUACUUCAUUCUUAUUGAUUUUAUCCUAGUGUGUGACGUGAAAGUUUGUUUUUCCCGCAUAUUUAUUUUUUUCAUUUUAUUACAUAAUUUAUUAGUUUAAUUGUUCACUCUAUUUUUAGUUAAGAAAAACUGCAUAGUUACGAUUGUUGUAGCAAGUCAAAUAACAUCAAUCCCUAUGGAGACGAUCUCGAAUACUCAUCAUUAUAUUACUUGUUGUGUACACUUGCGCAUUGACACCAAUAGUAAUUGAAAUUAUAGCGACAAGUUUUUGGUGUCGUUGUCGGGAAUUGAUUAUUCAUUGUGACUUGUGAAAUUUAUCUUAAUGGUGCUAAAUUUUGAUUUUAUUUUAAUUUAUUUUGUUAACAAGAAACUCUUGCAUCAACCUAAAAAUUGGAAUAACUGCAAGGAGAUUGAGAAAAGAACAAAGGGGUUCAAAAGCUAUUAUACCAAUGGAUGAUUUGCAAGAGAUGGGUAAUUUACAUCCUCGUGGAGUAAUACAACCAUUCAAUGAUCAAGAAGGUCAGAUGAUAGAGAUGGAGCUAUUAGACACUAUGCUUUGUUAACUCCUCAAGUCAUGCAUCCUGGAAUUGUUAGACCUAAAGUGCAAGCUGCUAAUUUCGAACUCAAACUAGUGAUGUUUCAGAUGUUGUAAAUAGUGGGGCAAUUUAAUUGGUUGCCUUUAAAAGACCCUCAUCUUCACCUCAAACUGUUCUUGGAGGUGAGUGAUGCUUUUAAAAUUACUGGAGCAUCACAUGAUGCAUUGAUACUCAGACUUUUCCCUUAUUCAUUAAGAGAUCGAGCACGAGCAUGGUUGAACUCCUUACCACCAGACUCCAUCACAACAUGGAAUGAUUUGGCUGACAAAUUCUUGAUGAAGUACUUUCCGCUAACUAAGAAUGCAAAAUUGAGGAAUGAAAUCACAUCCUUCCAUCAACUUGAAAAUGAAAGCUUACAUGAUGCAUUAGAAAGAUUUAAAGAGUUACUUAGAAAAUGUCCUCGUCAUGGUAUUCCUUGUUGCAUACAAAUGGAAACUUUCUACAAUGGGUUGAAUCCAAGUACUAGAUUGAUGGUUAAUACUUCAGUAAAUGGAGCUUUGUUGUCUAAAUCCUACAAUGAAGAUUACAAAAUUUUAGAAAGAAUUGCUAACAACAAUUAUCAAUGACCAUCAACUAGACAAUCUGUAACAAAGGAAGCACAAUGUGGAUGCAUUUAGAGCAUUAUCAGUCCAAGUAACUUCAUUGACAAACAUGGUUAAAGCCAUGGUCAAUGCUCCAACAACUGUCCAGCAAGUUGCUAAGUUUUCUUGUGUUUAUUAUGGAGAGAGGCAUUUAUUUGAUAAUUGUCUAGGGAAUCCAGCUUCAGUCAAUUAUGUGGGCAAUUUUAGUAGAUAAAAUCAGAGCAAUCCAUAUUCAAACACCUAUAAUCCCGGAUGGAGGAACCAUCUAAACUUCUUAUAGAGCAACAAAAAUCAGUCUGCGGCAGCAUCUAGUGGACAGCUCAAACCUGUACAGCCACCGGGAUUUCAUCAGCAAAAUCAAGGAAAAUGAACCACCAACAAUGAUCAAUUCAGUUUUCUUAAAGAUUUGCUCAAGGAAUAUAUUAUAAAGAAUGAAGUUGUUGUUUAAAGCCAAGCUAUAACUUUGAGGAAUCUAGAAAAUUAAAUUGGACAGCUAGCUACAACAUUGAGUAACAAACCUCAAGGUAGUUUACCCAGUAAUACACAAGAUCCAAGGAGCGGAGGCAAAGAACAUUGCAAGGUAAUUGAAAGGUUUGGAAAGAAUGUUGAUAUCUCAGUUGGUGUGUAAAAAAGAAGGAUGUAAUCUAACUCAACCCAUGAGGGAACUCAAGUUGAAGUAGAGCCACAACAACUCAUGUUCCAAUAUACUGGUGAGAGUAGUCAAGCUACAGCAACUGCAGAAAGAAAUGAUUCAGUGCCUGUUGAAAAAACUAGCAGCUACAAACCAGAAUAAAUCAAAAGAAAAGUAACCUGCAUCACUUACUACAGCACAACAGCUUAGAUACCCACCACCUUUUGCACAAAGAUUUUAGAAGCAGAAAUAAGACAAGCAAUUUAGCAAAUUUUUGGAAGUGUUAAAACAAUUGCAUAUUAACAUUCCUUUUAUGGAAGUAUUGGAAUAAAUGUCAAAUUACGUGAAGUUUUUUAAGGAUAUUUUGGCUAGAAAAAGAAGACUUAGAGAAUUCAAAAUUUUUGUCUAACACAAGAAUGCAGUCAUAUGCUUCAAAACAAAAUUCCUCAAAAAUUGAAAGAUUCGGGGAGCUUUACAAUUCAAUAUUCUACCAGAACUAGCACUUUGUGAUUUGGGGGCAAGCAUCAAUCUCAUGCCCUUUUCUGUGUUCAAGCAAUUGGGAGUAGGUGAAUACAGACCAACAACAGUGACUCUACAGUUGGCUGACAGAUCCCAUGCAUACCCUGAAGGAAAGAUUGAAGAUGUGCUGGUGAAGGUGGACAAAUUUAUUUUCCCAGUGGAUUUCAUUAUAUUGGAUUUUGAAGCAGACAAAGAAGUACCAAUUAUUCUUAGUAGACCUUUCUUAGCCACAGGAAAAAUCCUCAUUGAUGUGCAAAAAUGAGAACUAACCAUGAGAGUGAAUGAUCAAUAAGUCACAUUCAAUGUGCUAGAUGCUAUGAAGAAUCCUGAUGAGAUUGAAGAUUGUAAUUUCAUCAGUGUUGUGGACAUUGCUGUGAUAGAAAGGUUAAAUAAUCGCUGCAGUAAAGAAGAUAUCAAAGUUGCUAUCUUUGAAGAGCUUGAAGAAGAGGAUACUGCAGCAGCACACAUAGCAUGGCUAGGAGAAAAAUAAUCAGUAAGACAUGACAGAUUUUUUGAAUCUCUAGACCUUUCAAAUAGGGAAGUAAAGCCAUUUGUACCAUCUAUUGAAUCACCCCUAUUUUAAAAUUGAAAACUUUACCUUCACAUUUAAAAUAUGUUUAUCUUGGUACAAACAAUACAUUCCCCAUAAUCAUUUCAUCAUCUUUGAAUGCAAAUCAAGAGAAAAGAUUAGUGGAAGUGUUGAGAAGAUACAAGAAAGCUAUUAGAUGGACCAUGGCAGAUAUAAAGGGAAUCAACCCAUCUAUAUGCAUACACAAAAUUCUACUAGAAGACUGCUACAAUAAUUCAGUAUAACAACAAAUAAGAUUAAACCUUAUUAUGAAGGAAGUUGUGAAGAAGGAGAUCAUAAAAUGGCUUGAUACUGGGAUCAUUUACCCAAUAUCUGAUAGUUCAUGAGUGAGUCCAGUACAAUGUAUUCCAAAGAAGGGUGGCGUGAUUGUUGUAGCAAAUGAAAAGAAUGAACUUAUCCCUACAAGAACAGUGACUGGAUGGAGAGUUUGCAUGAAUUAUAGAAAGCUGAAUAAAGCCACAAGGAAUGACCACUUUCCAUUGCCCUUCAUAGAUCAAAUGUUGGAUAGACUUGCUGGAAAAGAAUACUAUUGUUUCUUAAAUGGUUAUUUAGGCUACAACCAAAUUGCUAUAGCACCAAAGGAUCAGGAGAAGACAACAUUCACUUGUCCUUAUGGAACCCUUGCUUUUAGAAUGAUGCCAUUUGGUUUGUGCAAUGCUCCAGCAACCUUCCAGAGGUGUAUGAUGUCCAUCUUUCUAGACGUGAUCGAGCAAACACUAAAAGUGUUCAUGGAUGACUUCUUGGUUUUUGGGGAAACAUAUGGUGAUUGCUUGCAUAAUUUAGAAAAUGUGCUUAAGAGGUGUGAAGAGACCAAUUUGUUACUCAAUUGGGAAAAUUACCAUUUUAUGGUACAAGAAGGUUUAGUCUUAGGCCAUAGAGUCUCUAAAAAGAAAAUAGAGGUAGACAAUGCAAAAAUAGAGGUGAUAGAUAAACUUCCACCUCCAACUUUAGUCAAUGGUAUUAGGAGUUUUCUAGAACAUGCAGGGUUCUAAAGAAGAUUCAUUAAAGAAUUUUUUAAAAUAGCUAAACCUUUAUGCACAUUUGUAGAGCAUGACAGGCCAUUCAACUUUGAUGAUGAUUGCUUGAAGGCUUUUUGUGAUUAAAGAAAGCUCUUAUUACAACACCUGUUGUCACAGUACCAGAUUGGAACAGUGCUAGGGCAAAGGAAGAAUAAGAUUUUUCACUUCAUUUACUAUGCCAGCAAAACCCUUGCAGAUGCUCAGAUCAAUUAUACCACCACUAAGAAGGAAUUGUUAGCAGUGGUAUUCAUAUUUGACAAAUUCAGAGCCUAUUUGGUGGAUAUAAAGGUGACAGUUUACACAGACCAUACAACAAUAAAGUAUUUGAUUGUAAAGAAAGAUGCCAAACCAAGGUUGAUAAGGUAGAUCUUCUUACUACAAGAAUUUAACUUGGAAAUCAAGGUUAGAAAAUCAAGUGGCAUAUCAUCUAUCAAGGCUUGAAGUAGAUACGAGUACACUAACAAAGCAAGACUCACAGAAACAUUCCCUGAUGUGCAACUGCUAAUGCUACAGCAUACACAAAUGCUGCAGCAUUCUGGACUCCCAUGGUACGCAGAUUUUGCUAAUUACUUGGUAAGUGGACUGUUAUUACUUGACUUAAAUUAUCAACAAAAUAAGAGAUUCUUUAUUGAUGUUAGAAGUUAUCAGUGGGAUGAUCCUUAUCUAUACAAGAUGUGUUUAGACUAAGUGAUCAGAAGGUGUGUACCAGAUGAAGAAAUUCCACACAUAUUGCAUUCAUGCCAUGCUGCAGCAUAUGGAGGACAUUAUGGAGGCCACAGAACAGUAGCCAAAAUCCUACAAUCAGGUUAUUUCUGGCCCUCUAUUUUUAAAGAUGCUUAUGAGUUUGUUAAAUGUUGUGAUAAGUGUCAAUAAACAGGGAACAUAUCUCAAAAGCAUGAAAUGCCAUUGACAAAAAUUUUGAAAGUGGAGCUCCUUGAUGUAUGGGGGAUAGACUUUAUGGGACUAUUCCCACCAUCCUUUGGAAACUUAUAAAUUCUACUUACGGUAGAUUAUGUAUCCAAAUGGGUGGAGGCUAUAACAUUACCAAUAAAUGAUGCCAAAGUAGUGGUGAAAUUCCUUCACAAGAAUAUCUUCUCACGGUUCGGGAAUCCAAGGGCCAUCAUUAGUGAUGAAGGCAGUCAUUUUUGCAAUAUGAUAUUUGCUACAGCAAUCGCUAAGUACGUAAUUAAACACGAGAUUGCUACAACAUAUCACCCAUAAUCCAAUGGUCAAGAAGAAACAUCCAACUGAGAGAUUAAAAAGGUUUUAGAGAAGGUGGUGAACCCCACCGAAAAGAUUGCUCAAACGGAUUACAUGAUUCUUUAUGGGCUUACCGUACUGCUUAUAAAACACCACUUGGCAUGUCUCCAUAUAGAGUUGUCUAUGGAAGGGCUUGCCAUCUACCAUUAGAAUUAAAGCAUAAAGUAUAUUGGGCAUCAAAACAACUCAACAUGGAUGUGCAAGUUGCAUUAAAACAUCGAAAACUCCAACUUUGUGAGUUAGAAGAGUUGAGGUCGUUCUCCUACGAAAAUGCAAGGAUUUACAAAGAAAAAACAAAACAAUGGCAUGACAAAAGAAUUCAGCAAAGAAAACUUGUUCCGAGCAAUCACAUUUUACUUUACAACUCCAAACUAAAGCUCUUCUCGGGCAAAUUAAAAUCUAAAUGGUCAGGACAUUUCUAGCUAGUCAGAAUCUAUCCUCAUGGGGUUGUGGACCUCUUAAAUGAAAGAACAUGCCAAGAAUUCAAGGUUAAUAGACACAUAGUAAAAAAUUACAUGGAUUCUAAUGUGGAUCACUCAAAGGACUUAUUCUCGAGGGAUCCAACAUUGUGAGAAAUCAAGGAAGGUCAGGCUGAAGGACCAAAAAUCAAACGCUAAUUGGGAGGCAACCUAAUAAUGAGGAAGUUAUUUUGAUUUUUUUUUACCUUAAGUUUAAAUUUUGCAUGUUGACAUUCAUGGUUUUUGUCAUUUUGAAUUGAGUAUUUAAUUUCUUUUAUUUCCUUAAAUAGAAAAAAAAAACCCAGGUCAAGAAACUGACACAUGUUGCUGCAGCAUUAUAAUCCACAUUGUAGUUGAACUCUACUUCUCAGCAAACAAGGAGACUCCAGUGUAAAUUGCUGCAGCACAAGACAUGUUGAUGCAGCAACGAUUCUUAUCGUUACAGUGAUUUAAUUAUGGAUAAUUUCUUUUUACUGUUGGGAGUAAAUUUUGACAGUUGGCUUGGCAAAUCAGGAUAAAGAUUAGAGGGGAUUGCAUAAUCCCUAAAUUUUCGAAUUAAUAUCCAUUCUCUAUUUAAAUUGGAUAUGUUUUAAAAUUCAAAAUUCUCUUUCCAAUUUUAUCUCCUUAAUUUGAUUUUCCUUCUAUUUUUAUUUUAACCAACACUUAUAUAUAAGGGUUUCACUGUCCCAAUUGCAAUCUAACUUAACUUUCUUUCCCUCACGCAGCCCCAAAUCCUAAAAAUUCACAAUUGAUUUUUACAGCUUCAAUCUUAGUAUGCCUUCGAGCCCAUUCCCGCUACUCCAGCAAUGACGCAUUACCAGAAGACAGCAAGCCACUUAAAAGAUCAAUCUCACUUUCAAGGCUACAAAGCUGAAGAAAAGUAUGAGGAAAUUAUAGAACCACGAAAAUUCCUAGAGGAAAAAGGGUUUCAGUUCGAGCCAUAACCUUUAAGAAUAAUUCAAACUAUUCAUGCUGCUGCAGCAAGAAGGGGUUGGUUAGAGUUUUGCAACCAUCCAAGGGACCCAGUGCUGCUGCUUGUCAAGGAAUUCUAUGCUAACCUACUAGGGAAAAAUCAACGAACAAUCUGGGUAAGAAAUACUCUAGUCCCUUUGGACCCGCGAGUCAUUAAUGCUUUUUACAAUUUGCCUUCUAAUGUGGAUUGUGAGUAUUCUAAAAUGUUAGAAAGCAUGACCCCAAAGAAAUGGAAUAGUGUGCUAAAAACCCUCAUUAUAGAAGGUAGUCAUGGGCAAAUGAACGACGUAGAGUCAUAAACAGGAUUAAUUUAAAACCUGUUGCUAAGAUUUGGGUAAAAUUUUUGAAAUCCCGAUUGAUGUCCACAACAUACACAACCAUCGUGUCACAAGAAAUGUUGAUUCUCUUAUAUGUCAUUGUUAGAGGGUUGGCAAUAGAUGUUGGGGCAAUUAUUGAGCCGGAGAUUAGAGAUUGUGCAAUGAAAAAGCACAAAACUACUACCUUGUAUUUCCCCUCCCUUAUCACCAGCAUAUGUCUGGUGUCUGGAGUGCACCCCACUGCACAGGAUGAGUGUAUUAAGAAUGAAGGAGCUCUCACUGCCCGAACCAUCGAAAGAAUUGUUGGUGAAUCAGCUGCAGCACAACUAGAACCAACUAUUGUAGCAGGGCCAAUGAGAGUGAUUGGAGUUAAAAAGAGAUUACAAAAAUUGAGUGACAGUAUCAUUCAGUGUGCAGAUGCGCAACAGAGGGAGAACGAUCGAUUCUGGACCUAUUUGAGGCAUUUGGAGGAUCACAUGCACCAAUUUAUUGUAUAUAUGAAAAGUCACAACAGCAACAUUCCAGAUUCACUGCUGUAGCAAUUCAAAUUUGAAGAGCCAACAACAAAUGCUUCAAUAAAAGUAAGUGAGGAAACUGCAGUAGAAAUUGAAAGAGAAGUCGAUUCAGAUGAUGAAGACCAAUCAGCCCCAAAAGAAGGGGAGGGUGCUAAAUAUGAAACAGAUAAAGGCUUUUCAUAUAGAGCCAGCAGAAAAGGAAGGAGAACCAGAGGAGGGGUCAGAAGAGCCACCACAAAUGAUACCUCCGAGACAUCGGAAAAGGCAUAUCAUUGAAGACAAUACAGAUGAAUCAGAAGAAAAGCCUCUACUCCUAAUCCUCUCCAGCAAAGGCAAGAAAAAAGUAGUGAGUUUAGAUGAAUCCGAGGACAAAGCAAAGGACAUUGAUGCGGAACUAGAAUUAGUAGCCACAAGGGUUACUCGAACAGCUGCAGAGAAGAAGAGUCUGUUAGACAUCAUUGCUGAGAUCACUGGUGAGGGCUCUACUGCAACAAAACCUACUCCAGCUGCUUCACAACAAACUCCUACCAGAUCCACUCCCACAGCUCCCAAGGGAUCCAGCAAGCGAAAAGAGGCCACCUAUAGAGGUGUUACAACACCAGAAAAACCAGAGCAAAAGCGGACAAGACCCAUUCAGCCCAAAGAUGUUGUACCUGCUAGAACACCACCAACCAACCCAACUCCAAGCAAGAGAAAAAAGCAGCCAGCUAUCCCACCACAAGGUUCACCUAAGGAUCGCUUGAGAAAUUCCUCCAAAAAGCAGUGAACUCUCCAGCUCGAGUUGUAACAACAAAUUCAACAACAAGGGAGUAUCCCCUACCAGCCUAAUUUACUUUCUUCCAAAUUCUGAAUAUUUUCUUUUAAUUUUUACUUGUUUAUUUUGCAUCUCUUUCAUGCACCUUUAUUCAUUUGGUUUGUCUUGUUGUGUGUGUGCUUGUGAGGACACAAGAACUCUCAAGUUUAGGGGCGCUGCGUUAGUACUAGUGCAUGUGGUUGUAUUGUACAUUGUGUGUUUUGUGUGAUGUACAACUCUGUUGUAGAGUUGUAUAUGGGAUCAAUAAAAGCCCAAUGAAGAUAAAGUGAGUGUUAUUUAAUUUUUGAGAUUGCCAAGGAGGAUAGUUCAUGGAUGAAAGCUGAGAUUUUGUCACUGCACAUAAGCUUUGAGUAAGUUCUAUGAGAAUGAUGUAGCAGAGCCAAGAAAGCCAAAAAGGGUGGAGAAUAUCUCAAGUUUGAGGGAAAAUUUUUGUGUGUUGAAUUGUGCUUGUUAUGAAAUAAAAUCUGCUCAAAUGGUUUGAGUUGUUGAGUAACCAAGGCUGAAUAUGCACCCUAUAUGCAGACUUGAGUCAAAAGGAAUUAAGAGCUGCGAGCAAUGCUGCAGCAACUUAAAAAAAAAAAGGGUUCCACUACUUAGGAUACUAAAUAACCAGGUCUGUUCAUGAACCCUAUAUUUAGCCUUGAGUCAAAAGUGUCCAAAGGUAAGACUUAGUUAUAGCAUCUUGGAUGCGUUUGCUGCAGCAACUCUAUCAUGUACUUUGAGUGUGUAAUUGGGUGUCAUCAUUACAAAUGAUAGGUAUUCACAUGAAAGCUCAAUGUUGCAUUGAAGGGUUUGAGCAAUUUAAAAAAAAAAAUUGAGGAUGAUUGUUGUGGCACAACUUGAAUAUGAUUUAAGACCUUUGUCUCCCCUACAAAAUCAAUUUGGAUAUAUUUUUUUAUAUCUGUAAAAUGCAUCUGAUGCUUAAGUGAUGAUGCAGUAUCUUUGAGACUUGAUCAAAGUGCAUACGCACACUUGGGAUAGAAUGAUGUUUAAGUCUAGAACUGAAUUGUUAUGGCAAUCUUGUUUGAUUAAGUGUGUGAUUUGAGGAUUGAAGUGUUCAUGCAAACUUGGUGGUAGAGCUAUGUUAUUAUUGUGUGAUUGCAUGAUUGAGUUGUUGUCAUUACUUGAAGACAAGUAAUGGUUUAAGUUUGGGGGCGUGAUAACUAUAUGAAAUGAGAGUUAUCAGGGUACUUUUAUGCUUAAAUCAAGAUUACUUAGAGAGUAAUUGAUUUGUUUUAGUACAUUUUAAUGAUAGUUUGCAUUCACAUCCAUUUUAGUUUAAGUUUAAUAAAUUUUGUUGAUUUCGAAUAAUUGUGUGCUUAAAACAUAUGCAUAAUUGUAGGAAACUGGAAGCUCUAGUUUCAAGGAAAGAAUAUUGUUGCAAUAAGCUUGCAAAAAGGAUAAGAGAACAUGGCUAUGGAAGAAUUGAAGCAAGUCUGGAACAGUGCAGAUGCUAUUGCCAUUGCUGUAGCAUUCCUAGGGCAUUAACAGAAAGGAUUUUUUGCGAGACACUUAUCAGAUUUCGAUCUAUAGUUUUUUAAUUUGGAAGAUGCGCGCCUUAGACUUCUAUUUACCCUAGUUUUUCAGCUAUAAAAGAAGCACACACACAAAGUGUUGAGUGUUAGAAAAUGUAUAUUUAUAAAGGAGAAAAUCGUCAUUUUACACUUCAAGUUUUACUAAUACCCUUACUUUUAUGUAUUUAAGCUUCUUGUCAUUUAAUUAUGUGUGUUGUAUUAUAAUUAAGUAUUUUAUGUAUUUUAGGGACAUCAUAGUCAUUUCACAAUGAACGAGAGAUCAGAUGGCAAAACGGACAUCACUUUUGAACUCAGGACGGUCGAAAACCUUAGGAGGAGCAUAAAAGGAAAAACGGUACUAUUCACAUGUACGGUACUGUCUACGUUACUGUUCACGAGACUGUUCACAUAGACGGAUCGAUGACGUGGCAUUGACCGAUGAUGUGGCAUUGACCGAUGAGGUGUCACGAUCCUGUUUGACUAAAAUUCUUAUGUACUGUUGAUCGAUGACGUGGCAGCAUAUCAGUGGACCAAAAAUCUCGCAUACGGUACAUGCAUUAUACAGGAUUAUUUUCAACCAAACCGCGUCACUGUUCAAGCCGGGUCAAACCGUGUUACUGUUCAAACCGCGUGGUCAAACCGCGUACUGUUGACUGAUGACGUGACGCAAUCUUGAGCGUCUGAAAUAUUUUUGAUCCGAUGGUCAUGAUUUACUCAAUGUAUCUAUAAAAAUGGGGCUCUCCCCCUAAUUUGAUGGCUCUGAAUCCAUUUUUGGACUCCAUUUUCUGUAAUUGCUUCUCCAUAUUGUAUUUUCUACUUAUUUUAAUAAAUUCUCAUUUUGCCCUUAGUUCAAUUAUCUGCUGUACCGUACAUCCGCCUUGGCCGUACAGCAGCUUGUUAUGAAAUAAAAUCUGCUCAAAUGGUUUGAGUUGUUGAGUAACCAAGGCUGAAUAUGCACCCUAUAUGCAGACUUGAGUCAAAAGGAAUUAAGAGCUGCGAGCAAUGCUGCAGCAACUUAAAAAAAAAAAGGGUUCCACUACUUAGGAUACUAAAUAACCAGGUCUGUUCAUGAACCCUAUAUUUAGCCUUGAGUCAAAAGUGUCCAAAGGUAAGACUUAGUUAUAGCAUCUUGGAUGCGUUUGCUGCAGCAACUCUAUCAUGUACUUUGAGUGUGUAAUUGGGUGUCAUCAUUACAAAUGAUAGGUAUUCACAUGAAAGCUCAAUGUUGCAUUGAAGGGUUUGAGCAAUUUAAAAAAAAAAAUUGAGGAUGAUUGUUGUGGCACAACUUGAAUAUGAUUUAAGACCUUUGUCUCCCCUACAAAAUCAAUUUGGAUAUAUUUUUUUAUAUCUGUAAAAUGCAUCUGAUGCUUAAGUGAUGAUGCAGUAUCUUUGAGACUUGAUCAAAGUGCAUACGCACACUUGGGAUAGAAUGAUGUUUAAGUCUAGAACUGAAUUGUUAUGGCAAUCUUGUUUGAUUAAGUGUGUGAUUUGAGGAUUGAAGUGUUCAUGCAAACUUGGUGGUAGAGUUAUGUUAUUAUUGUGUGAUUGCAUGAUUGAGUUGUUGUCAUUACUUGAAGACAAGUAAUGGUUUAAGUUUGGGGGCGUGAUAACUAUAUGAAAUGAGAGUUAUCAGGGUACUUUUAUGCUUAAAUCAAGAUUACUUAGAGAGUAAUUGAUUUGUUUUAGUACAUUUUAAUGAUAGUUUGCAUUCACAUCCAUUUUAGUUUAAGUUUAAUAAAUUUUGUUGAUUUCGAAUAAUUGUGUGCUUAAAACAUAUGCAUAAUUGUAGGAAACUGGAAGCUCUAGUUUCAAGGAAAGAAUAUUGUUGCAAUAAGCUUGCAAAAAGGAUAAGAGAACAUGGCUAUGGAAGAAUUGAAGCAAGUCUGGAACAGUGCAGAUGCUAUUGCCAUUGCUGUAGCAUUCCUAGGGCAUUAACAGAAAGGAUUUUUUGCGAGACACUUAUCAGAUUUCGAUCUAUAGUUUUUUAAUUUGGAAGAUGCGCGCCUUAGACUUCUAUUUACCCUAGUUUUUCAGCUAUAAAAGAAGCACACACACAAAGUGUUGAGUGUUAGAAAAUGUAUAUUUAUAAAGGAGAAAAUCGUCAUUUUACACUUCAAGUUUUACUAAUACCCUUACUUUUAUGUAUUUAAGCUUCUUGUCAUUUAAUUAUGUGUGUUGUAUUAUAAUUAAGUAUUUUAUGUAUUUUAGGGACAUCAUAGUCAUUUCACAAUGAACGAGAGAUCAGAUGGCAAAACGGACAUCACUUUUGAACUCAGGACGGUCGAAAACCUUAGGAGGAGCAUAAAAGGAAAAACGGUACUAUUCACAUGUACGGUACUGUCUACGUUACUGUUCACGAGACUGUUCACAUAGACGGAUCGAUGACGUGGCAUUGACCGAUGAUGUGGCAUUGACCGAUGAGGUGUCACGAUCCUGUUUGACUAAAAUUCUUAUGUACUGUUGAUCGAUGACGUGGCAGCAUAUCAGUGGACCAAAAAUCUCGCAUACGGUACAUGCAUUAUACAGGAUUAUUUUCAACCAAACCGCGUCACUGUUCAAGCCGGGUCAAACCGUGUUACUGUUCAAACCGCGUGGUCAAACCGCGUACUGUUGACUGAUGACGUGACGCAAUCUUGAGCGUCUGAAAUAUUUUUGAUCCGAUGGUCAUGAUUUACUCAAUGUAUCUAUAAAAAUGGGGCUCUCCCCCUAAUUUGAUGGCUCUGAAUCCAUUUUUGGACUCCAUUUUCUGUAAUUGCUUCUCCAUAUUGUAUUUUCUACUUAUUUUAAUAAAUUCUCAUUUUGCCCUUAGUUCAAUUAUGAGUGGCUAAUUUUCUUUCAAGCUUGGGUUAAAGGUGAAGUCUCAACAUGUGUCAUGGGCUUUAUUUGGUAAAUUUAUUUUCUAUUCCCCUCUAGUUUUUGUGGAUGUUUUGACUUCUUGUCAACAAAUAAUAAUAAUCUUGUCUAGAUACCGCCCUGGUUUCACCGGCUCCCUAGUACAAGGUUAUUAUUAUUUGGCACGAUAAGCCCUUAGCACCAUAUUGAUUAGAGCGUGGUUCAUGAGGUGUGGAAACCCCACUCAUGAUUUAAUUGGCAUUAACAAGGAAUAUUUAGCCCAUGGUGCAUGUUGAUGCGGAUCCAAAUACACAGCGCUUCAAUUUAAUAGAUUUUCACUUCAAUUUAUUCUUGCCAUUUUCAUUCGAAUUUUAGGAUAAUCCAAAUCAUUUUCACCACAAAUUCAACCACCCAUUUAGAAAAUUAAUUCUACACACAAUUAAAAUUCACCUCCUCGUGGGAUCGACACUCGUCACCAUUGAUCUAUACUACAAUAGAUUCGUGCACUUGCGAGUUCAAUAAAAUUUACACAACACAAAGGAAAAGGAAAAUGUCGUCAACCAAGAUCAAGAAACAAAAAGAAACAAAGGAGAAAACAGAAUUCAAGAGAAAGAAUCAAGACUGCACCAGUGGGGAAAUUUGCGGGAAACAAUUAGAAUUCAGUCUCUCUUAUUCUUCUCUUGUUUUCUUGUUUAUUCUUUGAACAUGAGGAUGUAUUUAAUGGCUGAAACUUUGUUGUUUAUUUUUCUUUUACGAAUCAUGAACUAAUUUAAUUGUGCUUGAGUGAUAAACAAUCUUGAUGGUUUCUUGACUGAUUUAAUAUGUUGCUGCAUGUUUGAUAUAGCAUUUUGUUUUUAUAGUACUUAUUUACAUUCAUUAUUUCGGCUGGCCACCCAUUUAAUGAUACGCGCUAAGAGAGAGCCACAAAAGGUUCUAUUUCAGUGGAAUAUAUCAUAACAAUAUUUUAUUUUAGAUUGGGUUUCCUGAGUUGAGUUUAACUGGAUUCCAAAAGAACUAUACUUAAUUUAAAAUUAGUGAUGAACUAGAUAUAGGGAUAUACCUUGUAGGGUAUAUAGAACCUAAACAUGUAAUGUUAUAUCUUAUGUUAGCAUAACAAUUGGUCACUGUUAGGUUGCAUAAAGAUAUAAGACAUCCAACAAGCGAUAGCUGAGGAUACAUGAGGAUUCUAACCAGUGCUGUAACAAAUGUUGUAGCAAUCACGCCUAAAUUUAGAAGAAAUAGUCAAAACCAUUAAGAGAGUUUAAUCACUCAACUACUUCAUUCCUAUUGAUUUUAUCCUAGUGUGUGACGUGAAAGUUUGUUUUUCUCGCAUAUUUAUUUCUUGCAUUUUAUUACGUAGUUUAUUAGUUUAAUUGUUCAAUCUAUUUUUAGUUAAGGAAAAAUGCAUGGUUACGAUUGCUGUAGCAAGUCAGAUAACAUCAAUCCUUGCGGAGACGAUCUCGAAUACUCAUAAUUAUAUUACUUGUUUUGUACACUUGCACACUGACACCAAUAGCAAUUGAAAUUAUAGCAACAAUAAUAUAAAUGUCAAAACUCAAAAAACCUUGUUUAAGAUACUUUUCAUUUAUUAAAAAAAAAAGAUGUCACUUAUAUAGAUAUUAAAAAAAGAAAAAUAAAUGUAUCAUUUACAUUUAUAUUUAUAUCAAUUCGGACUUCAAUCAAAUUUAGAUCCAUUUAGAUUACUGAUAAAAAGACAAAUGCUACCUUUGUUUAUGCUACUAAAUAUUAUUUUUCUUGUUUAAUAUAAUAUAAUAUUUGAUCAAUAACAUUUGUAUUUCUCUAUUAGAUGAUUGGUCUAUCUCAUGUGGGUGGUCCCAAAAAUCUAAAGUUUAAAAAGUGUGUUUAAUAUGUGAAAUUGUUGCUAAGCUUUGGACUUAAAAGAAACUAGUCAUUAAAUUGGCUUUGAGAAAACAUGAAUAUAAACCAAAAAAACAAGUAAAGAGGAAGUAAGAAAUUUUCUAGCAAUAAAAAGUGAUAGAGAAGAGAAGAAGAUUGUGACUUUGACUUGCAAUUUAUUAGAGGGCAAGGUUUUAAUCUUUGAUUGGAUGAUCAGAUUGUGCUUUUAACUUUGUUUUCUCUCAAAUUUAGAGGGUAAAUUCCUAAUAUUUCCCUCUACAUUCGUUCUUUCUUAAUCUUUUUACAUCCUCUCUUAGGAUGUUAGUUAAGAUGCUCACUUCUGAGAGUAAUAGAUAAUUAAUGUAAGCCUCUAGUACUAUAUAUUUAUAGAAGAGUUUGUGCAAUAAUCACGUUGGUUAUAUAAUGGAAGGUUAUAUCAAACUACAAUCCAGUCAUUUUCCCCAUUUUGAUUUUUCACAUAAAAAUCUAUGUCUCUUGUGGUUGACUUAUUUUCUUAUAUUAUAGUUGUUUGCUUUCUAUUUAUUUAUUUGUGGUACAAAUCCUGUUUCAAUCAGACAACUUAAGAUCGAGGGAAAUAGUUAGUUUUUGCUUGAAUUGUAAUUACUUGUGCGAAUUCCUUUCUAAAAUAUGAUGUUUAAAUAUUUUAUCAUGAUUUUGCUAUGUUAAAUCCACUCUUUUUAUUUUAAAUGGCUCCAAUACUUGCAUUGUACAAGAAUUUUAGUACCUUAUAAUAUAAUAAUCAAUCAUCAUAAAUUACGGAUUUAUCUUCCAAAUAUAUAACCUAUAAUAGUUGUGAUUUAUUGUCAUAUAUGCAUAUUGUUGAAGACAUGUGGCUCUAUUUCUAUUAGGUGCAUUUACUAAACUUAGUAGAGCAUUUUAAUAAGUUAGUAAAGCAUUUUAUGUUAGGUUGUACAUCUGGUCUUCUCUACAUCUAUAUAUUCUAAGGAAGCAUAACUACAUUUGCAUGGUUUAAGUAAUCGAAAAAAAGAAGGGAAAUAAGAAGAAUUAAACUUAAAGAAGUUCUCCAGUUUGUAGUGCUCUUCUGAGCAAUUGUAGUUAGUAGUAUUCAAGCAUUUGUUUUAAUGAGAUGCUUGAAUACAUUUGAAGGUUCUUUUCUUUGUGUGUGUAUUUGAGAGAAAUGGACUAUUAGGUUCUUUUGGGAAGUGAGGUUGAGAGUUAUUUUGUGUUUCUACAUUUGUUCACUAUAUUAUUGGAAACUUGUGAUCUUCUUUCUGUGGACAUAGACAAUUUACCAAAUCAUGUAGAUCUUCUCUCUCUCUCUGUCUCUCUCUCUCUCUUGUUAUUAUCUUGCAUCAUCAUGUAACACAUUUUCGCACAGCAAUUUGUAUCAAAGUCAGGUCCGACCUUGGCUCGAUAAUUGGAGAUUGCAUAUCCACUGGUAGCUUCAUCUACACCUUUAGUGUUGAGGUUUACAAGGUCGACAAGAACAAUGUUUUCUAAUGCAAAAUUUGAAGUGGAAAAAUUUAAUGCAAAAGUGUCAUGAUGGAUCUACAAGAGUUUUGACAGAUGUUUGGUAUAGAUCUAAAACUGUAACUAUAAGAGAUGGAGUUUUUAAAAUUGUUUCUGGUGCACUAGUGGUAAUAAUAGGUAUCAUGAAUAAUAACCCAUACUAUUUAUAAGGUAAUACGAUUAUUAGAACAAUAGCCACUAUUUCUAGAGAAAACAAAGAUUUUGAGAUUACCAGACUAUGACAUAUAUGUCUGGGAUAUCCUGGUGAGAGAACUUUGUAAAACUUGGCAAAGCAGGGCUUGCUGCAAGGUGACAAAAUAGGCGAACUGAAAUUUUGUGUGUAUUCUAUUCUAAGAAAGUAUUCAAAGUGAAUUUGGUCCGAUGAUCCAUAUUACAAUCAUUCAAACAUGUGAGAACCAACAAGAAUGUCGUCCUUGGGUGGUAUGCACUAUUUUGUCACUUUUGUUGAUGACUUUUCUAAAAACGUUUAGGUGUAUGUUAUAAAGACUAAGGAUGAAUAAUUAGAUCAUUUUUUUAAGUAGAAAACGAUGGGUGAGAAUCAAACUGGCAAGCCACUUCAAAUAGAUAGUGGUAUGGAGUAUAUCAAUGAUUUGCUUGUGAAAGUAUGCCAACUUAAUUGCAUCAUCUCAACUCAUGGGUUGAUUGAACGCAUGAAUCGAACUUUGUUGAAAAAGGUUCGUUGCAUGUUGUCUAAUGCUGGAUUAAGCAAAACAUUUUGGGCUAAGGUAGUGGCGUAUGCAAGCCAUCUCAUUAACCAAUUGACAUCCGCUGUAAUAAAAGACAAGACUCCUAUAGAAGUCUGGUAUAGAAAACCUGCUAAUGAUUAUGAUUUUUACAUGUAUUCGGCUUCACUGCCUAUUAUCAUGUAAAGGAAUCGAGGUUAGAUUUGAGGGCUAAGAAAGCUUGUUCACAGGAAUUACCUUAGGCAUAAAGGGAUACUGACUUUGGUGUCUCUAAAUAAAAAAGAUAAUUUUAGUAAGAUCUCACCUUUGAUGAAUCUAUCAUGUUAAAAAUGGACUAAUGGAUUAUACUGCAAGUGGAGCAAAUUCCACAACAGGUAGAGUUCGUCGUAACAACGAUAGUUCUAGCAAAUAAAAAUCUCUCAUGUCAUGGAGAACAUUAAAGAAACUCAAUAAGAAGAAGAGGUUUCAACCCAAGAACCUCAACAACAAUAAAAAUUUAUUGCAGUUACAAAGUUGAGACAAGAGAUUCGAAAACUUGCUCGAUUUGCUGACACGAUGGCCUAUGCUAUUCCAAUUAUAGAUGAUGAUGUCCUUUUUAUUUGUUGAGAAUUACUCUAAAGUUUAGAAUGCAAAAAAUGUAUGAAAGCCAUGGAAGAAGCGAUGUAGUCUCUUAAAAAGAACAAGACUUGCAAGUUAGCUCAAUUGUUGAAGGAUAAGAAAGCAACUGGGUGCAAGUGGGUAUUUAUAAAGUAUGAAGGAUUUUUUGACCAAAAAAAUGUAUGUUAUAAGACAAGAUUGAUAGCAAAAGACUAUGCUCAGAAGGAAGAAAUAAACUACAAUGAGGUAUUUUCUCCAAUUGUGAAACAUUCCUGCAUUAGAAUUUUGAUGGCCUUGGUAGCAUAAUUAAAUUUAGAGCUUGAACAAUCUGAUGUAAAAAAAACUUUCUUACAUGGUGAUGUAGAAGAGAAAAUCUAUAUAACUCAGCUAGAAGAUUUCAAGAUUACUGGCAAAAAAGAUUAGGUGUGUAAACUGAACAAAUCAUUGUAUAAAUUGAAGCAAUCUUCGAGGUAGUAGUAUGGGCAAUUUGACAAGUUUAUGCUUGGGUAAAGGUACACACGAAGUAAGUUUGACCAUUGUGUAUUUUCAUAAGUUAUAAGAUGGAUCUUUUAUCUAUCUUCUCUUGUAUGUUGAUAACAUGCUGAUCGUUUCAGAGAAUCCUAAAGAAGUUGAAAAGUUGAAGGCUCAGCUAAAUAGAGAAUUUAAUAUGAAAGAUCUUAGAGAAACCAAGAAGAUUCUCUGUAUGGAAAUCAACAGAGAUAGAAAGAAGGGCAAGCUUUGUCUAAUGCAAAAAUAGUAUUUGAAGAAAGUAUUAUAAUGUUUUGGCACAAAUGAGUAGUCAAAACUAGUGAGUAAUCCACUUGCCCUUCAUUUCAAGCUUAACUCUAUGAUGUCUCCCAACAUUGAUGUGGAACAAGAAUACAUGUCAAAUGUUUCAUUUGCAAAUGUUGUCAGUAGCUUAAUGUAUGCAAUGGUAUGCAUGAGACUUGAUAUUUCACAUGUUAUUGGAGUAGUAGGCAGUUACAUGCACAACCAUAGAAAAGGACACUGGCAAGCUGUGAAAUGGAUUUUAAGGUGUAUUCUAAAACUUCAGAUUUUGAUUUGGUGUUUGAGUGAGAUGAUUCAAUUAAUCAUUGCAUGGUUGAAAAUGUUGAUUCUGACUAUACUGGUGAUUUGAACAAGAGUCAAUGAACUAUUGACUAUGUAUUCACCCUUGCAAAAGCUCCAGUUAAUUGGAAGUCCGCUUUAGAGUCAAUAUUUGCUUUGUCUACAACAGAGACAUGGUAUAUGGUAGUUAGAAAGGUUGUUUAGGAAGCCAUUUGGUUGCAAGGUUUACUUGAAAAAUUUGGAGUUGAACAAAAGCAUAAAUAUCAUUGUGUAUUACAAUAGCCAGAGUACUUAGCCAAGAACCAAAUAUACCAUGUACGAACGAAGCAUAUUGAUGUUCGAUAUCAUUUUUUGCAAGAUAUUCUUGAAGAGGAAAGAUCAUACUUCAUAAGAUGAUAAUCCUAUGGAUAUGUUGAGUAAGGUGAUAGCUAUAAUCAAGUUCAAGUAUUGAUUGGACUUGAUUAAUAUACUACAGAUUUAAACACCUUCGUAUGUGUGGCAGUGUUGGGUGCAUUUAGAAAUAUCCUUUCUCAUUUUAACUUGGAGAGGGAGAAAUUAGAGGUAAGGUAGAGAUUGUUGGAGACAUGUGGCUCCAUUUCUAUUAACUGCAUUUGCUAAACUUAGUGGAGCAGUAAUGGAGCAAUAGUAGAGCAUUUUAAUAAGCUAGUGGAGAAUUUUGUGUUAGGCAACACAUGUGGUCUUCUCUACAUCCGCAUCCUUUCAGAGAGGAUGGCUAUAAAUAGCCAUGCAUUUACAUGGUUUUAGCAAUCAAGAAAAAGAAAGGAAAUAAGAAGAAUUAAGCUUAAAUGAGUUCUCCAAUUUGUAGUGCUCUUCCAAGCAAUUGUUGUUUAUAGUAUUCAAGCAUUUGUUUUAGUGAGGUGCUUGAAUACAUUUGAAGGUUAUCUUCUUUAUAUGUGUAUUUAAGAGAAAUGGUGUAUUGGGUAUUUUAAGAAAGUGAGGUUAAGAAUUAUUUUGUGUUCCACACACUCUAGAAAAAUGAGAAACACUAAUACUAAGUUUCUAAUACUAAAUAAAAAAGUAUCAGUAUUUGAUGACUUAAGCCGUUUUUUCCAUCUUUUACAUAUCAAUGUCAGUCUUCAUUGACAUUAUAGUAUCAUAACCAAAUAUUGACACUAAUUAGAGAGGUAAUCUUAAUUUUAUUUUUAUUUUUUCAAUUUUCCUAAAUCUAAACGGUGUCGUUCUUAUUGCUAAAAUGUUAUCGCUACUCAUUUCCCCCUCCAUCCAAAAUCGAUUCCCUCCCUCUCUUUCUACAGAAACUGCAAAACUAAAAUCAAUGAGACAAAACAAGAGCAAAUGAAAUAUUGUUUGAAGAAACUAAAAGUAAAUCGAAACCCACAUUCUCAACAAACCCUAAAUGGAAACUCACAUUCUCAGCAAAUCUUAAGUUGAAUCUGAAACAGCAAUAGAUCUAGGGUUUUUGUUCAGCAAAUCGAAUCACUCAAUGGGUCUCGAAUAGGUUGUGCUCGGAUACGCCGCAGCUGCAGAGGCCAUCAUAGUGCUGCCGCUAACGCUUCUACGACUUGACAGCCUUCGACGCGGGCUAGUUGCUCUGACGCGUAAUCUCUGAAACUUGUUCUUGUUGGUGGUGUUGUUUUGUUUGUUUCUACUCAUGGACAUCUACUGGGAGUACAAGAUGUGCCCUCCUUGAGAGGGUGACGCGUGCACGCCAACGGAACACUUGUGUCACCAGAAGUCCAUCAUGAAGAGUCAAUGCAAGUCGCUGUUGAUUGCAUCGGCUUUGGUGUUCUAUUAGUUGCUGUACUCGGUGACUCAUCUUGUAGUCAAGAUCAAGCAGUUGAAACAGAGGAUUGAGAGGCUCAAGAAUAAGAAUAUGAUAAAUAGGUAAAGCCGCCUAAUUUUAAUUCCUCCAAUUUUGAGAUAUAUAUUGAAGUGAAAUAUAAUAAAAUUUUAGUUGCUGUAACUUCAAAAAAUUGCAUCUUGGAUCUGGGUUGUUAAUUUAAUGGUCACUAUAAUUAUUGCGCCCAUAUAAUAGGUUUCAGAUUAUACACAAAUAGGAUUAUUGUUAUAUUAAUUGUUCUGCCUAAUUUUCUAGCUAAUAACUGAAUGAAAAUCAUAUCAUAGAAUAUACAUGUUCAUUUACCAUUUUUGAUUUACCCAUCUUGAGGAUGUUGAAAAUAAUUCUCUUUUAUUUUUUAUAGGUGGCAAGAUUCAAGUGUAUAUAUAGACUGGAACUGUAGUGUUGUAAGGAGUAAGAAAAAUAUAUUUAUUAGAACAACUUUAAUAUGUUGGUGAAAGCACUUGAGCAUGAUUUAACUUUCGUGAUUUCCUCUGUGCAAUUGUGUGGCUCUGAAACAACUAAAGUUUUGAGGAAAUCAUAUUUGAUAUUACUUUCUUUUUUAUGCUAUUUUGGCAAUGUUGAUAUGAUUUGGACACUGUUCAAAUUGGGAUCACAAUUGACAUUUUUUUCCCUUUGUUAAGAAAGACAAAAGCUAUUGACAGUAUUGGCCAUUUGAUUUUCUUUUCUCCCGAUGCAUUAUUCUUAAGCUUUUUAAGUACAUUGUCUCCUUUCCUGAACCUUGCGAUUUUCUUUUCUUUUUUCCCUUGCAAUUUUAUUACAAUUCUGAGUGUUUGAUGCUUGCAGGUGGAGCUUGAGUUUUUCAUAAAUAAAUAUGCUAAUGCUUGGCUAGAAUGUAACAUUGCUGAUGAAUGUGCCAAAAUAUUGGCUUAUGAUCUUAUUGGUUUUGAAGAGAAGGUAAAAAUUCUUUGAUAUGUUGAAUUUAUUUCCUUGAUUUUCCCCCUUUUCCUAUACUGCCAUUCAAGAAGAAAAGAUAAUUAUCUCCUUUGGCUAUUAAAGGAAGGAUUGCUUCUGCAGAAAGUGUUGUAGAUUUAUUGGCAAAUCACUGUUUUGUAGAUAAUAUGCUAGAUCACAACUAUUUUUCUACCCGUUGAGGCAUAUGUUGUGUUUUGUGUAUAACAAUAUGAAGUUUGGAGCUUUGAUUUAGCUUGAUUGGUGAUUGACCCCUGUUUAAUGUAGUUCAGCUUCAUGUAUAUAUGCUUGAUUCAUUCAAAUGUGGCAUUGAUUAGUUCACAUAUUCUGAUGAAAUUUUUCCUUUCAAUGACCAGAAUGUUACACACAGAUUUGAAAAAAGAAAAUAAAGUGUGUGUAUAUCGCCUAUUGCUAAAAAGAAUGCUGGUGCUCUUACAUUCAACCCUGAACUUGCUGGAGCAUUUCAUAUUUUUUUUCAUCUUAUCCUUUAAUUAGGAUUUCUAGUGUAUCUCUUGGGACCAAUUAGUUAUGAGGCUCAGUCUAUCUCUACUCAAUUCACUUGAAAAUAUCAAGCUAAAGCCAUUAAUUUAGAAUCUGAUCGUGAAAACCCUAUGGACCAAGCUCUACUUUCUAUUGUUUGACCUAUUUGCAUUUGAGGCAUUAGGUGGAAAAAAACAUAGGUGAUAAUACGAAUUAUGAGUUAGGCCAAUCAUACUUUCUGGAAAUGUGUUCAAAACGGCCAUUCCAACUAAUGCAAACCAUACGUGUGAAAUUUUUAACAAAUAUUUUCGAUUCCUAAAAGAAAGAUUUUAAAUCUUCUUGAUUUUAAUAAUGAGAUUUUCCCAUUCUCAAUAUAUUGUUUAAUAUACUCCUAGACAUUGUGGAGCAUGCCAUAUGUUUGUCCUUACAAUAUAUUGCAUAUACAAGUUAGUUUAAUAUAUGCCUGCAACAUGUUUAACUGAGUAGCUCAGAGAAACUUGGUUUAGCACAUAUAGCAUCUUUCUUUCUUGAUAUGUUGAUAAAGCCCUAUCUAAAGAAUCGAAUCAUCCACGUUUUAUUUCUAAUUGCUUCAUUCCUUCUAUCUUUGGAAUUGGAUGAUCCUAUAAAGCACUUUCCAUUCAAUACAGUUACAUCAUGUGUGUGGACUGUGGUGAUGCAAAGAAUGAUCAGUGUUUUUGGUUGGCAUUGAGUUCUUUGAUGGUGAAGUUGUAAUUUUGUAGGGGAUACUCUAGUUAAAUUUUAGUUUUAUUUAUAUUUUCUAAUUAUUAUUACUAUUAUUGUUAUUAUUAUUAUAAGUUAACAAAAUAAAUUGUUACUAAUUGCUAGAUCUAGUUCUACUAAGUAUAAAAAUAAUAUAUAGUUUUUUUACUGUGUAUAUCUUGAAUGCAGGAUGACUUACAAUAAACUAAAGCACGUACAUUGGUCAAACUAAAUAAUCAAAGCAAAUAAUCAAAGCACGUACAUAAUAGAAGGCUUCAUUUCAAUUAUCGAAAUUAAGAAUCUGCAGAAGCAAUAACCGUGUGUUGGAUGAUGGUGCUGCUACUAUAUAUCAGUUUAUAAAUUACUUGUAGUUGGUAAGCAAUGUAAUAAAUUUUCAACAAUGUAAUAAUUUUUAAAUAGUUCAAUGCAAUGUAAUACUUUUCAUAAUGUUGAAAGUAUAUUUCAAUUCAAAUACCAAAUGCAAAUUUUCAAUCUCUAUUAUGUUGAUUUCUAUUUUUUUUAAAUUUUUCUCAAAUAAACAUUGAUACCAUAGUAUCGUUAUAUUUGUUAUGCUCUUGUACUAAUAUUUGUUUGAUAUCAUAGUCUCGUUAUUGAUGUGAUGAUCGAGCAUCAACAUUUUUUUGAUACUAUGGUGACAUAGAUUUGCUGACAUAAAAAAUGUGUCAGAAAAUUUUUUGCACCGUGAUCAGUGACACUAAACUCGGUGUCAGCCAAAACCGUUACUGAUACUGAAAUAGUAUCAGAGAAGGUCAUUUUUUUACUAGUGACAUUUGUUCACCACAUUAGUGGAAAUUUGUGAUCUCCCUCCCGUGUGGACGUAGACAAUUUGCGAACCAUGUAAAUCUUGUAUGUCUUUUUUUUUUUUUUUUUUCCUCUCUCUCCUUUCCUUUGUUAUUAUCUCGCAUCGUUGUUUAACACGUUUCCGCACAACACAUAUCAUGCCGUUAAGCUAGCUACUGGAUUUUUUUUUUUUAAAUAAAACUCCCAAAGCCUUAUCUAGAGAUAUUAUAAAUCUUUGGUAGGAAAUCCUAUUAUUCCUUUAGCACGAGAAAUUUUUUUCUCGAAAAGUCGAAGGUGGGAAACAUCCAAUUUAAUCCAAAAAUUAAAAUUCUUCGAAAAUGAAAACUAAAAUCAAUUAUGGUUGAUAUUUUCAGAGAGCUGGUCUAUAAAAUAAUAAUUUUCAUCGUAAUCUCUUUUUUUAAAAAAAAAAAUUAUUUCCUUUAGAGUUUAGUGCUGCAAUUACCAAUUCUCUUAUCAAAUUAAAGUCUUUGAAUUCUCACAUGAAUAACCUUUCAUUUUAGCUCUUUCCAAACUCCAAAGUCAGAACAUGUAUGUCAUUCAACCACUACGAAAUUAAUAUGAUACAACUAGGUUGAACAGGUCUUGUAAUUACUUUAAAAAAAUUGCCACCAUGCGUAUUAUAGUGGAGUUAAUUAUUUAAUCAUAUGUAUAUAACCGCUAGCUACGCAUAUCUUGUAGUAUAAACAACCAAUAUGAAUUCCAAUUCAUUCUCGCUUGCUUUCAUCUUCAUCAAUUGCAUUCUACUUUCGUAUACAACUUGCAUGGCCAUGGCCCAUGGCCAUGGAUACUGAAGCCGUUUUUGAGUCUUACAAGGUGCCAUUGAGGCGAGCAUUUACAUCGCAGCCAUCACCCAAGGCCAAUUCUGCGAAUCACUGGAAACCCUCUCCUCCACCACCAGUGUAAUAAAAAUCCUCAAUUGCUCUGCCAUAAUCAGUGCCGAUUUUAUCAAGCUUUAUACCGAUUGAUAUCUAUCAAUGCAGACACCCUACUAAACCAUAUGAUUUUAUAGUUAUUUAAACAAUGACUCAAUCAAAGCACAUGGUCUAAUAAUGGAUUGAAACUGACUCUAUUAAAAUAUAUUAUUUAAUAACGUGUCUAUAUAUAUAAAAAAAAAGAGGAUUUAGUAACUAAUAAAAAAUAAAAAACAACAACAACAACAAUAAUAAUAAUAAUAAUAAUAAUAACAAUAAUAUUUUUUAGUUGCAGAUGCCUAAAUGUGAAUUUUAUAUCGAUUCAACAUUACAUCAUAUGGUUAAAUUUUAGCUGUACAAGAUUGUUUUGCUUUUCUAGUAUGAUUUAUAUUAUUACAAUUUUUUCAAAGGGGUUCAAUACAUCACAAACCGGUAUAUGGAAUUAAUUUUAAUUAUUACUAUCAUUUUAAAUGUAGAUGCUCAUAAACAUUAUUAUUUCACCGUGAUAUUUGGAUGAAAUUUGGUUCCAUCAAGAUCAAUGCUAGUUAACUUAAUUGGUAAUUUUUGUUUUUUUUUUUUUUUGUUUUUUGAUUUUUUUGAAUUGAUACAAGAGAUCCCAGAAGUUCCAACCCUUACACAUGGGUGGGAGGAGACUCUAUCGUCAUUAAGCAAUACUUCAAAAGGUUAAAAUCGUGUUCACCCAUGGGACUUCAAUUUUUGCUAAAGAUAAAAAGUUAAAAAUAAAAAAUUUAUCUUUUUACUUAAUAUAAAAAAUUUAUCUUUGAACGGAUGAAACAGUUAUACAACGAGAACAUUUUAAGUAAUUUUAAAAAUAAAUCAAAUAAACCAGUAAGUAGCUGAUAAUGUGGGGAUCAAAGCCGCAUAAAUUCAUACAACACUAGUUACUACAACAAAGGUUAGCUGAAAUUAUGAGUUAUAUUAUACGUGAUUACUUUCUUAAAAACAGUAAUGCUAGAAGCAAGAACUCUUCACACAAAACGACUGACAUUACAAUUUUGGUGGGUUGAAAAUACCAUAUUUGUAAUGUAUAUCUAACACUAACAAUAACGCGUUGAAAGCAGUGGUGCGGGGAAAAUGUAAUUUACUUAAAAAUUUUGAUUUUUCUCAAGUAUUUUCAAAUAAUUUUAGAUUUAACAUACUCUUUAAAGUGAUUUCGAUGAUGAAAAUAUAAUUUUGAACCUAUCUUUUGUUAAAUUAUUUAAAGCUAAUGUGGACAAAUCAAAAAUUUAUUGAGGUAAAUACAAUUUUUUGUUGUAAUUUAGAAAAAAAAAAAUCUGAAAAUUUUGAGGCAAGCGGGACAUGUGGCUCUGCCACUUGUUGAAAGUAACUUGUAGCGAUAAUAUUUCUUAAUUUCUACAUCAACACUUUUUCUAGCUAGCUUGCAGUGUUGAUCUUAAUAUAAAAUUUUAUUGCGGAUAUGCCUCUCAUAAUGGUGUUGUGGUCGAGGAUCAUGAUCUUCUUACUAUCUAAAUUUCUCUUGAAUAGAAAUUUAGGCCGCAAGAGAAAUUUAGGCCGCAAGAGAAAUUUAGGCCGCAAGAGAAAUUUAGGCCGCAAGAGAAAUUUAGGCCGCAAGAGAAAUUUAGGCCGCAAGAGAAAUUUAGGCCGCAAGAGAAAUUUAGGCCGCAAGAGAAAUUUAGGCCGCAAGAGAAAUUUAGGCCGCAAGAGAAAUUUAGGCCGCAAGAGAAAUUUAGGCCGCAAGAGAAAUUUAGGCCGCAAGAGAAAUUUAGGCCGCAAGAGAAAUUUAGGCCGCAAGAGAAAUUUAGGCCGCAAGAGAAAUUUAGGCCGCAAGAGAAAUUUAGGCCGCAAGAGAAAUUUAGGCCGCAAGAGAAAUUUAGGCCGCAAGAGAAAUUUAGGCCGCAAGAGAAAUUUAGGCCGCAAGAGAAAUUUAGGCCGCAAGAGAAAUUUAGGCCGCAAGAGAAAUUUAGGCCGCAAGAGAAAUUUAGGCCGUGAUUAACAUAAAUAAAAAAUAAAGAAAUUAAGUUUUAUAGAUAUAUUAUCAUUAAUAAAAAACACAAGACACAAUAUUUUAAAAAUUAAAGAAAAUAUAGAUCAGAAGAAAAUUCUAAUCGUUUAAUCCACCCAUUAAUCUAUAAAUAGACAAAAUAAAUCACUUUCAACUAUAUCCAGUUCUCAAAAAGACCGUUUCAAAAGUCUCCUUACUGUGAAGCUUCCACACAAUGUUUAAGAAAUGACCGUCACACAUCUAUGCUACUCGUUUAUUUGACAAGUUCUUUGACUAAAAAAUAUUUAGCCAUAUAGUCUAACAUACCAUUACUACCAUUUAUAAAAAGAGCAUAAAACAAUUAUAGUAAGAACAAGCAUUAACAAUGAAUGCCGUUUUAUAUUUUCUUAUUUGCUUCUUGAUUCAUGGGUUUUUUCUUUCACAUACUACUUACAUGGCCAAAGCCAAUAAAAUUGAAAUUUCUUCCCAAGUUAAGUUUUUCCCUUAUAAAUUAAAGAUUGUGUCCAAGAGGGUACGUAAACCACGGCCACCAUCUCCUGCACCACCGCCGCCAAUGAGACGGCCACCGCCGCCACCAGGAUAUUGAAGCAGCAGCUGCAUUUGACAUUCAGAUAUAGUCUGCUAGAGUUAUAUAUCAAUUAUGUUACAUGCUUUCAUUUUAUAUAUGUUUUGUGAUUUGAUGAUGGUGAACUUAUGUUGAUAUGAAUAAAACUCCUUUCUCUUUCUCUGGAUGAAAUUAAUUAUUUUUAUAUACGAUUCAAUUGUUAAUUAAUUUCCGUGAAUUUGAUUUCCGGCAAUCGUCAAAUUUACUGCUCCCUUGAAUUGGCGACUCUUUGACCAUGAUGUGAAUUAAUUUAUUAUGUAAUGCAAUAAAACAUGGAGCUGGCUACGGUACAGCUUCUGUACCUUACAGACCAGGUUAGCCAGCUCCCCAAGGGUGCCAUUUGCGUGCUUUGUUUCCAAUGCUGGGACACGUGGAGUGCAUGGAGUUGCAGGAGAAAACCAAAGAAUAUAAAAGGAGAAAUCCUAGUGCAAAUGGUACUGUCAAAAGUUAUGCCUGUUUGUUGUAUGAAGGGAAAGGAACCUCCUGGUCGAGUGUGGGGAGCUGAAUUUGGAGCCGCACGAUCAAAAGUGUCUUUACAAGCAAUCAUUCAUUCAAAUGCUGCCAAGUAUGAAUCUAAAUUGAAUGAUCUGCAAAACAAAUGUGAGGAGUUAAAAGAUGCCUUCAUUACAUUUAUGAGCACACAUGAGGUAAUUUGUUUAUUUAACUAAUCUUUUUAAUUGAGUGUUUAGCAUACAUUGUUGCCUUGAAAACUCGAUCAUCCAGAAAGAGACUUACUUUUCUAAGUUUUUGAUUAUAAGAAAGCUUCUUCUUUGUUUGUUAGAUGAUAUUGGCUUCUUUGCUUCUUCAAUUUUAUAAGCUUUGUGCCCCUUCUUAACGUGGAAUGAUUAAUCUUUAGAUUAACAUUAAGUUAAGAAAUAUUUCAAAGUCUAGAGUGAUAGAAACGAGAUGAUGUAGGAUGUUUAACACAGAUAUAGGAUAGUUGUGUAUUACAAGUGGGGUACUUUUCAGAGGCCAUAAUUUGAACUAAAUGUGUCCUUUUUUUGCGUAUAAUAUACCGUUUUGAAGCUUGCGACGAGACGAAUCUAACUUGUGCUAUUUUCUAUCAAAGUUGAGCCAAAAAUUCUACUUCUUUCUUGGUCGUUUUUCAAUUUUUUAAGAUUUUUUUUCCAUUUUUCCUGAUUCUUCUAGGAUUUUUAUCCUUUUUUCUAGAAUUGAAUUUGAGUGUCAUUUGUUUUCCUUUUCUUAUUUUGAUUAAGAGAAUUUAAUUAUCAUAUUAUAUUCUAAAUUUGCCUAUUUUCAUAAAUUAAUGAUAUUUAGGCUUGUUAUAAAAGGGACUCAAAACCCUAGUUUUAUUCAUUCAGACUUUCAAAAAAAUUGAUCAUUUUUCAAAAACCUAGUUUCUUUUAUCUGCUGUACCGUACAUCCGCCUUGGCCGUACAGCAGAUUUGUUGUGUGCUCCACAAUAUUGAUUCUCAUUCCCAUGUAUAAAUAUAAAAUAAACAAUGUCAAUAAUUUCGAUCCGUAAUUCUAAUUACUCAAUCUGACAACUAAGCACAAUAUAGAUCUUUUGCAGAAAUUUAUUUACAUUUCGAUAACAUUUUGGAACCAUUUUCAAUUUUUAACCAGAUAAAUGUGUUUCGGGCGGGGAAGCGAGCAAAGCUCCGGGUUACCAUUGGGGUGGGGCCGGGGCCAUUUGCAUCCCCACUCUUUUUUUUUUUUUUUCUUUUUAAGUUUGGAUCUCUGUAAUCUUAUAUUUUCCUUCCAUAUUAAGACUUUAAUUAAUAUUAUUAUUUUUUGAAUUAGGUCUACAUAUAAAUGCAGGCCAAGUAGUUGACUUAAAAAAUUUACGAUGACAAAGAUCAUCAUAUGAAUAUCAGAAAAAGCCCCACAAUAAAAUUAAAGUCAUACUGCGAGCUCAAAUCUAUUUUUUUUUUAAAAAAGCCAGCUCAUAUAAACUUACAUGAAAUUUGCAGUAUAAGAGAACAAAUUCCAAAAUUCAAUAUAUAUUUAAGAUUUCAAAAGUUGAAAAAGCAGUUUUACUGUAACAGCUAGCUAGCAAAUCAUCAUUAUGGAUAUUGGAACCACCGCACACUUGUAUAAAAUUAGUGAGAAUGAUUAUUUUCGUCCAAAUGUUUAUAAUUACUAUAAUGUUAUGUAUAUUUAGUUGAGAUAUUUAAUGUGUAUAUAAAAUAAUGUGGUAAAUGAUGUAAUAUUAAGUAUGAAAGAACUAAUAUUUUUUAUACUCGUGCAACAGUCUUACUAAAAAUUUAUUUAUAAAUGAAUUAUUAUCAGUCCACUUAAAGUAGUGUUUAAUAUACUUACAACAAUUUUACUAGUAGUUAUUUGUAAAAAAUUAAUUUACCAAAUUAAUCCGAAAAGUAAAAUAAUAGCAUAAAAAUAUUUGUGAAAAUUUUUAUGUUACUUUUAAGGUUAAUUUGAUAUAUUAACAAUUUGUUUUCUUUUCAUUAAUAUCAUCAAGAAGUUAGAAAAUAUUAUUUUAAGAAUAUUAUUGUAAAAGUAAAGAAAAACAACGUAAGAAUGUUAACAACCUUAACUACAAGGAUAUUUUCAGAUUUUUUUAAAAUUAUAUGGACUAAAUUAGUAUAUAAAUUAAAAUAUAAAACUAAACAAAUAUUUAUCAUAUUAUUUAAUGGGCUAAAAAAUAAUUAGUUAUUAACUUCACAGGAAAGUCACCGACGGAAGAUUUAAAAGUUCACUCUCAAAGUCAGUCUACCUCAUUUUCUCCAAUCGACUAUUUUUAAUUUUUAUAACAAUCACGUCAACUUGCCAACUCUGAACUAACUGGAUUUCAAUUAAUUCAUUGCAAUCAAUUUCACUCUUUUAUUUUAUUUUAUUUUUUAGUCAACUAAACUACUUUUGACACCAUUUUCAAAAUACUAUGGUUAUUUUUCUGCAUGACGCAAAUAAUUAGUCCCCUUCAAUUUUUGGCAGCAUUGUUGACUUUGCACUAGAAACUGAUAUUAUCUCUAAUCAACUUGAUAUCAAUAAAGUACCAUUCCAUGCAUGUUGUUGCAUUCUUAAUUAGCACUUAAUUAAAGUUAGACACACAAUUAUAUAUAUACUUCUUAAUUGUCUAAUUGCCGACAUUUAUAUUAGAAAAAUCUUUAGUUGAGAUUUGUCAAAACAAUCACUAAGUUAAUUUAAUACCAACAUGUCUGCCAUUGGUCAGAAGUUGACCAAACUUUGGCUCUAUAUAUGAGAACCAAUAAGAGUGAACUCUUCUAAGUGUGCCACAACUCAAAGCCAUAUACUCAAAGUCAACUAUGGAGGCAGCUCGCUCACGUUUGCUCGCUGCAAUGGUGUUACUUUUCGCCAUACUUGCACUGGCCGCUCAAACUUGCAGUGGAAGCAGCAGGAACCCUGUGAGGCACUUGCCUCAAUCUCAUCAUCAUUUGCAGGUGGUGAAACACGAGGAGGGUCGGAUGGUAGCCAAGAGGAUUCCUCCUAGAUCUUAUCGGGUAUUCGCUCCCGUGUCGGCCAUUUCACGACACUACGAUGUGCCACUGCCACCUGGUGCUCGCCCUCCAAGCGUCCUAUAAUUAAUUGACGGCUAAAAUGCUCAAUUUGGAUCUUGGAGAAAAUAAGAGUUAAAAAAAUUAAUUUAAAUGUUGCCCACCUCCCUACGUUUUAUAUAAUAAUAAAAAAGUUAAUCGAUUUGUAGUUCAACAUUUGUAUUGUGUAAUUAACUUUUUUUCUUUGUGCUUUUUAGUAGGGUUCCAUUACUUCCAUAUAUAAUUUUGUGAUUAUAAGUUUGAUCAUUUGCAUUCAAGUUGAUCAAUCUGUUGGGAAUAAAAAAUUGUACAUCUUUUUGUGUUUGAAAUAAUUAAUUAAUGGCUAAACUCGAUUGAUAUCAGUUUUCCCCACCAUCUAAUAUUAAAAUCAACCUGUUUCAUGACAAAAUACCACGUCAAUUGGAACAAACACAGCUUGAGCACACAUUAAUCAUCGUGUAUACUAUUGGAGUUGGAGUUUUCAUUCGUCAUCCCUUUCGUAGAUGAUUUAUAUCCAGCUUAAGUUUCAAACUUCUCCAAUAUUUCUAUUCAAUAAUUCAACGAAAGCUUACACCAAAUACCAGCACACAGUUCUAACUAAUUAGAGCUUGCUAUUCAUGCAAAUGCAGGGAACAAAUAGAUGGAGAUAUGGAUGUUUUAGCAAUGACAAUCCAAAAUAACUUGGGAAACGUAAUCAUGAACUUUCUUCUAAAAGCUUAGAAAUUUGUAAACCGUACGGAAGGAACUGUUGACAGUCAAAAGCCCGUGUGCGUUUAUUGUGCCAUUCGGUGGUCAAGCUGGUAAAAUUGACAAUUUGGGCAGAUUGUUUUGGAGGUGCCGAAAUCUUUGAAAUGUGAAGCCAUUCGAUGGCUAUUUUCAAAGACUUUUUGUUGUAAAAAUAAAUGCGUGCAUGGUAUGCUUCGAUUAUAAAUCAGAGAGAAGCAAUUGCCAUUUGAAAGAAUCCCAAAAUAUAGAGUAUAAGAGCGAAGGUGUGCAUGAUGUGCUCUUCAGGGAGUGCAGAGAAAGUCUUUGUGAGAGGGUUUCCUUUGAUGCCUAUAGGAAUAUGCAUUUGAGAGAUGUUGUUUCUUGGUGCAAUUUCUUUCGAGAGUGUAUAAGAAUAUUAGAUGUAUUUCAGUAUUUGGGAAGUGUGUUUUCAUUAAUCAAAUUUAUAAUCUAUUAAUUGUUAGUAAAAUAAUUAUUCUCUCUUAUUAUUACCAAAACCAUGUUAAAUCUGCUUCUCACUCUCAGUUAGUAAAGGAAAUGUCAUUAAAAAUUUGUUUAUAAGGAAAGAGAUAAGAGUUGCCCAUUACCCUUAAAUCCAAGGUCUUAUAAAUCUAGCAACAAUUCAACAAAGAUGAGUGUCAUCUGGAAUACAUUCCCAUGCGAAUGGGAAGAAUUUGGAGAACUUAUAAGUCAGAAUUAUCAAGAAAAAUAACACCUGCAUUGAAAGAGUUGAAACCUAAAUACAUGAAAUCUGAGCAACACUGGGAUAAAUUUUUUUAAACACAGAAUAUCUAUUGAGUUUCACGUUAGUAUGAUGUUUUCAAGUAGUGCAGAACAAUUUUUGUUUAAUAGGUCAUUCAUGGACUACUUUGUUUGGUUAAAUAGUGAACAUUUCCGAGCCUUACGGGCAAACUAAGACACAUCGAACAGGUCGCAAAGGACUCCCGUUUAAGAUAUGAAAUGGUAAAUUCUAAUAUCUAUUUGAGUCUUUUUUUUUAAUUUUUUAUAAUCAUUUUAGAAAUAGGUGAAUAACCAAAUUGAUGUCGGAUUCGUGCUUAUUCAAAGAAAGAUGGAACUCCAGUUGAUGAAAAAGUUGCACAUGAUUUGGUAAUUAACAUGUUCAUGCAUUUAUAUAAUCUUUGUUUUGAACUAUUGAUAAUAUUAACGAGCAAACUGAAAACAUGCAGGAGAAAACCAAAGAAUAUAAAAGGAGAAAUCCUAGUGCAAAUGGUACUGUCAAAAGUUAUGCCUGUUUGUUGUAUGAAGGGAAAGGAACCUCCUGGUCGAGUGUGGGGAGCUGAAUUUGGAGCCGCACGAUCAAAAGUGUCUUUACAAGCAAUCAUUCAUUCAAAUGCUGCCAAGUAUGAAUCUAAAUUGAAUGAUCUGCAAAACAAAUGUGAGGAGUUAAAAGAUGCCUUCAUUACAUUUAUGAGCACACAUGAGGUAAUUUGUUUAUUUAACUAAUCUUUUUAAUUGAGUGUUUAGCAUACAUUGUUGCCUUGAAAACUCGAUCAUCCAGAAAGAGACUUACUUUUCUAAGUUUUUGAUUAUAAGAAAGCUUCUUCUUUGUUUGUUAGAUGAUAUUGGCUUCUUUGCUUCUUCAAUUUUAUAAGCUUUGUGCCCCUUCUUAACGUGGAAUGAUUAAUCUUUAGAUUAACAUUAAGUUAAGAAAUAUUUCAAAGUCUAGAGUGAUAGAAACGAGAUGAUGUAGGAUGUUUAACACAGAUAUAGGAUAGUUGUGUAUUACAAGUGGGGUACUUUUCAGAGGCCAUAAUUUGAACUAAAUGUGUCCUUUUUUUGCGUAUAAUAUACCGUUUUGAAGCUUGCGACGAGACGAAUCUAACUUGUGCUAUUUUCUAUCAAAGUUGAGCCAAAAAUUCUACUUCUUUCUUGGUCGUUUUUCAAUUUUUUAAGAUUUUUUUUCCAUUUUUCCUGAUCUGCUGUACCGUACAUCCGCCUUGGCCGUACAGCAGAUAGUGGAGUUAAUUAUUUAAUCAUAUGUAUAUAACCGCUAGCUACGCAUAUCUUGUAGUAUAAACAACCAAUAUGAAUUCCAAUUCAUUCUCGCUUGCUUUCAUCUUCAUCAAUUGCAUUCUACUUUCGUAUACAACUUGCAUGGCCAUGGCCCAUGGCCAUGGAUACUGAAGCCGUUUUUGAGUCUUACAAGGUGCCAUUGAGGCGAGCAUUUACAUCGCAGCCAUCACCCAAGGCCAAUUCUGCGAAUCACUGGAAACCCUCUCCUCCACCACCAGUGUAAUAAAAAUCCUCAAUUGCUCUGCCAUAAUCAGUGCCGAUUUUAUCAAGCUUUAUACCGAUUGAUAUCUAUCAAUGCAGACACCCUACUAAACCAUAUGAUUUUAUAGUUAUUUAAACAAUGACUCAAUCAAAGCACAUGGUCUAAUAAUGGAUUGAAACUGACUCUAUUAAAAUAUAUUAUUUAAUAACGUGUCUAUAUAUAUAAAAAAAAAGAGGAUUUAGUAACUAAUAAAAAAUAAAAAACAACAACAACAACAAUAAUAAUAAUAAUAAUAAUAAUAACAAUAAUAUUUUUUAGUUGCAGAUGCCUAAAUGUGAAUUUUAUAUCGAUUCAACAUUACAUCAUAUGGUUAAAUUUUAGCUGUACAAGAUUGUUUUGCUUUUCUAGUAUGAUUUAUAUUAUUACAAUUUUUUCAAAGGGGUUCAAUACAUCACAAACCGGUAUAUGGAAUUAAUUUUAAUUAUUACUAUCAUUUUAAAUGUAGAUGCUCAUAAACAUUAUUAUUUCACCGUGAUAUUUGGAUGAAAUUUGGUUCCAUCAAGAUCAAUGCUAGUUAACUUAAUUGGUAAUUUUUGUUUUUUUUUUUUUUUGUUUUUUGAUUUUUUUGAAUUGAUACAAGAGAUCCCAGAAGUUCCAACCCUUACACAUGGGUGGGAGGAGACUCUAUCGUCAUUAAGCAAUACUUCAAAAGGUUAAAAUCGUGUUCACCCAUGGGACUUCAAUUUUUGCUAAAGAUAAAAAGUUAAAAAUAAAAAAUUUAUCUUUUUACUUAAUAUAAAAAAUUUAUCUUUGAACGGAUGAAACAGUUAUACAACGAGAACAUUUUAAGUAAUUUUAAAAAUAAAUCAAAUAAACCAGUAAGUAGCUGAUAAUGUGGGGAUCAAAGCCGCAUAAAUUCAUACAACACUAGUUACUACAACAAAGGUUAGCUGAAAUUAUGAGUUAUAUUAUACGUGAUUACUUUCUUAAAAACAGUAAUGCUAGAAGCAAGAACUCUUCACACAAAACGACUGACAUUACAAUUUUGGUGGGUUGAAAAUACCAUAUUUGUAAUGUAUAUCUAACACUAACAAUAACGCGUUGAAAGCAGUGGUGCGGGGAAAAUGUAAUUUACUUAAAAAUUUUGAUUUUUCUCAAGUAUUUUCAAAUAAUUUUAGAUUUAACAUACUCUUUAAAGUGAUUUCGAUGAUGAAAAUAUAAUUUUGAACCUAUCUUUUGUUAAAUUAUUUAAAGCUAAUGUGGACAAAUCAAAAAUUUAUUGAGGUAAAUACAAUUUUUUGUUGUAAUUUAGAAAAAAAAAAAUCUGAAAAUUUUGAGGCAAGCGGGACAUGUGGCUCUGCCACUUGUUGAAAGUAACUUGUAGCGAUAAUAUUUCUUAAUUUCUACAUCAACACUUUUUCUAGCUAGCUUGCAGUGUUGAUCUUAAUAUAAAAUUUUAUUGCGGAUAUGCCUCUCAUAAUGGUGUUGUGGUCGAGGAUCAUGAUCUUCUUACUAUCUAAAUUUCUCUUGAAUAGAAAUUUAGGCCGCAAGAGAAAUUUAGGCCGCAAGAGAAAUUUAGGCCGUGAUUAACAUAAAUAAAAAAUAAAGAAAUUAAGUUUUAUAGAUAUAUUAUCAUUAAUAAAAAACACAAGACACAAUAUUUUAAAAAUUAAAGAAAAUAUAGAUCAGAAGAAAAUUCUAAUCGUUUAAUCCACCCAUUAAUCUAUAAAUAGACAAAAUAAAUCACUUUCAACUAUAUCCAGUUCUCAAAAAGACCGUUUCAAAAGUCUCCUUACUGUGAAGCUUCCACACAAUGUUUAAGAAAUGACCGUCACACAUCUAUGCUACUCGUUUAUUUGACAAGUUCUUUGACUAAAAAAUAUUUAGCCAUAUAGUCUAACAUACCAUUACUACCAUUUAUAAAAAGAGCAUAAAACAAUUAUAGUAAGAACAAGCAUUAACAAUGAAUGCCGUUUUAUAUUUUCUUAUUUGCUUCUUGAUUCAUGGGUUUUUUCUUUCACAUACUACUUACAUGGCCAAAGCCAAUAAAAUUGAAAUUUCUUCCCAAGUUAAGUUUUUCCCUUAUAAAUUAAAGAUUGUGUCCAAGAGGGUACGUAAACCACGGCCACCAUCUCCUGCACCACCGCCGCCAAUGAGACGGCCACCGCCGCCACCAGGAUAUUGAAGCAGCAGCUGCAUUUGACAUUCAGAUAUAGUCUGCUAGAGUUAUAUAUCAAUUAUGUUACAUGCUUUCAUUUUAUAUAUGUUUUGUGAUUUGAUGAUGGUGAACUUAUGUUGAUAUGAAUAAAACUCCUUUCUCUUUCUCUGGAUGAAAUUAAUUAUUUUUAUAUACGAUUCAAUUGUUAAUUAAUUUCCGUGAAUUUGAUUUCCGGCAAUCGUCAAAUUUACUGCUCCCUUGAAUUGGCGACUCUUUGACCAUGAUGUGAAUUAAUUUAUUAUGUAAUGCAAUAAAACAUGGAGCUGGCUACGGUACAGCUUCUGUACCUUACAGACCAGGUUAGCCAGCUCCCCAAGGGUGCCAUUGCGUGGACACCUGGAGUGCAUGGGGUGGGGGGUGUACGGCACAGAAUCUGUAAAAUAUCCACCUCCACUGAUACUGAGCUCGGUGUAAUGGGUGUAAAAUAGUCGUUUCUUUCUGUCAUUCAACCGUAUAAAAUGAGACAGUCAGGAUGUUAUGGGAGAUGUGCAUGUAAUGCCCAUGUGGCGCAAAUAUUGGUGCUGAUAGUGGAGUACGCCUACGUCCGUAUCACACCAUUAUUGCUGAGUUUACUGUCAGUGAUACUACAUCCAAGCCAUCUUUGGUACAUGUCUGCGCUUCUCUUAAAUUAGAAAAUGUGCAUAAAAAAUAAUUAAAUAAUCAAAUAUACAAAUAUAAUUUGUAAAAAUUAUAAAACAAAAUAAAAGCAAAGUCACACGCACUAGCAAAAGCAAAGUAACAUAACAUCAAGUUACCAACAAUUUGCAAAGUCACCGCCGUCGCACGCACUACCAACACUCAAUACUGGUUCGAUACACUCUCGACACCGAUUUGAAGGACGUCGGCCGCAUGAUUCCAGCGAGAGCAAGCCAUCUUCUCCCCGAGUCCAUCAAGGCACUUCACAAUCACUGGUUCCAGCCAAACAAUUGCACUAUCACAACCUUCAAGAUCGCCACCCGUACUUCUCCUGGUUCCCAUCGUUGACGGCUCCAUAAGAAACUUCGUCAUUUCAAUUAAUUGUGGCAUUAUUUUAACAAUUAAUUUCGGUGUUAUAUUAAUGUAUUAUUGUAACUUUAUUUAAACAAUUAAUCUUAGUGUGUUAUAUUUUGAAACUUUAAACGUAUUAUUAUAGGUUUAUUUGAACAGUUAAUCUCGAUGUGCUAUAUUUUGAAACUUUGAAUGUAUUAUUUUAGUUUUAUUUAAACAAUUAAUUUGUUUAAAUUUUAUUCAAUUUUAAAUUUAAUUGGUAGUAAAAAUAUUUUUAUAUUAGAUUUUUUUAAAUUUCAUUAGUUCAUGGAUUGGGGAGAACUAAAAAUUUUUAAUUCGGAAACUAAUGCGCAAAAUGGUGGAUUGGAUAUGGAUUAAGUUAAAUCCGCAUCCGAUCCGCAGACGUAUGAAUUAGAUAUGAAUUGAGUCAAAUCCGCAUAGGAUCCGCAGAUGUAUGGAUUGGAUUUGGAUUGAGUUUAAUCAAUCCGUGGAUUGGAUUGGAUUGAAAAAUUAUAAUCUGUAAAAUUGUAGAUCGGAUAUGAAUUGAUGUCUAAUCCGUAAAAUCCGAUACGCGAACACCCUUACUGAUGAUGGUCUGCCAACUGCCAUGUGGCAAAAUUAUGGAGCUCAUCGACUUUUAAUAUUCGGUGGGUCUAACUAAUGAUCUUACUCUGGGAUCUACUAACUCUACCAUAUGGCAGAGCACUUACUAGACCAGUCAGCUUCACACAAAUUUUUUUCAUCGGUUGAGGAGAAAAAAGGUAUCAGCAUUUCGAAUUAUAAUAAUAGUAGUAGUAAUAACAAUAAUAACAAUAAUAAUAAUAAUAAUAAUAAUAAUUUCUUCUUCUUCUUUCAUCACAAUCUGUUUCUUCUUCUUCACCAUCAUCACAAUGCCAUCAUCAACGAUCUCAUCAUGAAUAGUCAUCAUCAUCGGCGACCACCAGAGAGGCUUUAAGCACACCAAAACCACUCGUUUUGUCUAAAUGGGACUGCAACAGGAGUAAAUCUUCGCCUUUCAAUUGGGUAAUUAUUAAUUUAAUAAUAGAAAAUCAGGCUUUUAAGGACUUCAAAAUAUCGCUCAAUAAUAUUACACAAUGAUGUGUGCCUACAUUUAAAUAAAUCCAUUGAAACAGUUGUUUACUUGCCUCUUCCCCGAUAGUCGCGUAAAUGAUAACGCUCACCACGAUAUUAUCUAGCGAACAUCGCCUAUUAUAUUUUAUUGCAAUAUUUAGCUUAAAUGACUAAUGGAGAAAUGGUAAAGUUUCAUUACUUUGUGAGCAAAAAGGAGAGCGUGAUUACAUAGACUUUUUUUUAUCCAUCCAAGUGAUAUGUCAAAACUUUAACUCAGUGUCAUCUUUCACCAUUAUGUUUAUGCCGCAAGCAUGACAUUAAAAUAUGCUUCACGGAGUUUUUAUUAAAUAAUAAUAAUAAUAAUGUAAAAAGUUAAACUAGAAAUCUUCAUUUAAUCAUAUGCCUUAAUAACUUUCGAGAUAAAACUAAAAGAACUAGACUUGACAAUUUAUUAGCAGUGAAUAAAUGCAUUAUGUUAAACAAACUUUCGAAAUUUAAAUAAGAUGAUGUGAACUUUGUAAAGAAAAUAACGAAAUCUGUAUUUGAAUUUGAUUGGGUUACAAUUAAGUAAAAUGCCAAAAAAAAAAAAAACGACUACUUAUCACAUUUUAUUUUUACAUCGGAGUGUCGAGUUGGUUCCAAAAGUGUUUUGAAUUCAAAUAAGUCAAAAUUUGCCAAACGGAUAUUAUUAAUAUCCCUUGUAUUCCUUGAUUUUCAAAACUAAAAAUAAUUUUUAAAUCCUAUAUCAAACAAACUCUUAUGGAUUUGCAGAUUUUCUUCUUUUAUUUAUAGAUUUUGUAUUUAAAUAAGGGUAAUUUGGAAAUAUUGAAAAUUAAAUGGGUAGUAUGGUUAGUCUCAAGAAUGAGACUCCUAUUUCCUAAUCUCAAAUUUGUUGUGUGCUUCCACAAUAUUGAUUCUCAUUCUCAUGUUUAAACAUAAAAUAAACAAUAUCAAUAAAUUGGAUCCGAAAUUCUAAUUACUUAAUCCGAAAAGUAGGCACAGUAUAGAUCUUUUGCAGAAAUUUAUUUACAUUUCGAUAACAUUUAACCAGAUAAAUGUGUUUCGGGCGGGGAAGCGGACAAAGCUCCGGGUUACCAUUGGGGUGGGGCCGGGGCCAUUGUCAUCCCCACUCUUUUUUUUUUUUUUUGGAUCACUGUAAUCUUAUAUUUUCCUCCCAUAUUAAGACUUUACUUAAUAUUAUUAUUUUUUGAAUUAGCUCUACAUAUAAAUGCAGGCCAAGUAGUUGACUGCAAAAAUUUACGAUGACAAAGAUCAUCGUAUGAAUAUCAGAAAAAGCUCCAAAAUCAAAUUAAAGUCGUACUGCCAGCUCAAAUCCUUUUUUCUUUUUUUUUUUAAAAAAGCCAGCUCAUAUAAACCUACAUGAAAUUUGCAGUAUAAGAGAACAAAUUCCAAAAUUCAAUAUAUAUUUAAGAUUUCAAAAGUUGAAAAAGCAGUGUUACUGUAACAGCUAGCUAGCAAAUCAUCAUCAUGGAUACUGGAACCACUGCACACAUGUGUAAAAUUAGUUAGAAUGAUUAUUUUCGUCCCAAUAUUUAUAAUUACUAUAAUGUUAUAUUUAUUUAGUUGAGAUAUUUAAACUGUAUAUUAAAUUAUGUGGCAAAUGAUGUAAUAUUAUUAAAGCAAAAUGCUCGUAUAGUCUUAUAUUUUAAUCUAAGUUCGUUUAGUUCUUAUAUAUAUUCUAGAAAAAUCUCGAAACAGCCUUUUAAUUAGAUAUUUUCAUUCUUACCGUUACUUUUUCUUUACUUUUAUAUUAAUACCCUUAUAAUAACAUUCUUCACAUUAAUUAAUUUAUAUACAAAAAUUUAACUAGCAAAUUAGCUAUAUAUAUUAGUAUGAAAGAACUAGUAUUUUUUAUACUCGUGCAAUAAUCUUACUAAAAAUUUAUUUAUAAAUAAAUUAUUAUCAGUCCACUUAAAGUAAUGUUUAAUAUACUUACAACAAUUUUUUUUUUUUUUUGAUAGGAAAGUAAAACUUUCAUUAAAGCCACACUUAGAGUACAUGUAAGAUUUCAGGGGGGAAGUUUCCCCACCAAACAUCAGAAUUAGCUCUUCCUAAAGUCAGUUUAGCUAAAGAAUGAGCACAAAAGUUACAAAAUCGAGGCACAUGUUUUGCUUCAAACAAGCUAAAGUCUUUCAUCAUAGCUUGGAUUUCCUGAACUCGCCAAAAGAUUUCAGUACUGCUAGCUUUUCUUUUGUUGAUCAAAUUUGCUACCUCUUGGGAGUCAGUUUCCAGAAUGACAGGCUUCAGCCCUGCUUCCUUUGCAAUGCAUAAACCCCACUCAGCAGCUUCUACUUCCACAUAAGAGACAUCUCCCUUGAACUUGGAUUUCUAAAUAGCUGCGGCCAUGCACUUUCCCUUAUUAUCUCUGAUUACUACCCAAGCCCAGAGCAUUGACUUUCUUUAUCAGUGGCUGCAUGCACAUUAAUCUUCAUCUAGCCCUAAGGUGGAGGAGUCCAUAUAUUUGGCUUCUUCUUUUGCAAGUUUUCCCCAUGCAACAUAUCUAGAGAUUUGGUUCUGCUAAAAGCCUUAUUUACUGCUUCAGCUUUGGCCAGCAAAAUAUUUGGAUCAAGUUUCAGAUCUUCAAAAACGAACUUGUUUCGAGCAUAUCAUAUCACCCACAAGGUGGUCACCAGAAGCUCUAGGUCUGCUCUACUCAAAUUCUUUUGAAGCCUCAUCAAUUCCCCCAACAUGUCUGAACUUCUCAUAUCUUGAAACCCACUUGCCAAUGUUGAACUAUGCCACACUUUCCUUGCUGCUUUGCAAGAGAUCAAAGCAUGCCAGAUGUUUUCCAUUCCCUCUCCACAACGUUUGCAGUGGGCCUCUUGAAUAAUUUUUCUUUUCCAUAAAUUCUCCACUGUCGAUAGUAAGUUCUUUGCUACUUUCCAAAUGAAGAUCUUGAUCUUCUCUGGAAUAUUGAGCUUCCAAAUAAUGCCCCAGUUAUUUCCUCUGCUGUCCGACCAGCUGGGAAGAUCUGAAAAUUUCAUUUUAAGAGCCACUUGGUACAUGCUCUUAACAUAAUAUCUUCCAUGUUUAUCAUAAUGCCAGAUCACAUUGUCCUCCAUUUCUCUUCUUGGAAGUGGAAUGCUCAGGAUUUCUUCUGCAUCAUCCUUUAAAAAAUUAUGCUGGAUAACCUCUGUCUUCCAUCUAUUUUCUUUAUCUAUCAGCUCUGCUACAUUGGCUUCAGGAGACAUUUUUGGGGUAGAAUAAGGUUUGAAAGUAGAUGGCCUUGGGAUCCAAUUAUCUUUGUAAAUUGAAACACUCAUUCCAUUUCCAAUUCUCCAUCUGUAGCCCUUGAGAAUGACUUGCUGUCCCCACAGUAGACUUCUCCAAAUGUAUGACGGAUUAAAGCCUAUUGAAGCAUUCAAAAAAUUCCCUUCUCUGAAAUACCUGGUCUUCAAAAUUCUAGCUAAUAAAGACUCCGGAUUUUGGAUCAAUCUCCAGCCUUGUUUUGCCACUAAGGCUUGGUUGAAGCUUGAAAUGUCUCUAAACCCCAUUUCGCCUCUAGUCUUUGCUUGGCUCAUGCUCUCCCAUUUUGUCCAGAAAAUACCUCUAUUCUCUUUCCUUUUGCUCCACCAGAAACCAGUUAUAGAUUGCUGGAUAUCAUUACAAAGCCCCAUAGGUAUCUUGAAGACACUCAUGGCAUAAGCUAGAACAGCUUGAGCCACUACUUUUAUCAGCACUUCUUUCCCUCCACUUGAAAACAACUUCUGCUGCCAACUAGAAAUCUUGCUCUGGACUUUUAAUUUGAUCUCAUUAAAGAAAGCCUUCUUCUUUCUUCCAAUCAUUAAGGGUAGCCCCAAGUAUUUCUCAUACUUAGUCACCACAUUAAGCUGAAAAAUUCUUUUAAUUGCUGAAAUCUGGUUUUCAUGAAUCUUGCCAUUGAAAAACAUACAAGACUUCUCAAAGUUGAAGAUUUGUCCAGAUGCCUUAGUAUAACACUAAAAAAUAUCCUUGAGGUGAUGACAGUCUUUGAUUGAAGCUCUAGAGAAGAUCAAGCUAUCGUCUGCAAAAAAGAGAUGAGAAAUGAGGAUAUGCUUGCCAAAUUUCAGCCUCUGGAUGUGGUUCUUUUUCUCUGCUUGCCUCAGCAAGUUUGACAAGGCUUUUGCACAAAUUAAGAAUAAGUAGGGAGAUAAAGGGCAGCCUUGCCUUAAACCCCUUUGGGGGGUAACCAAUCCCUUUGGAGAUCCAUUGAUGAGUACAGAGAAGGAUGAGGUAGUAAUACAAUUCAUGAUUAGUCUAACCCAUUUAUCCUUAAAGCCUAAUCUAAUCAUAACUUGUUUUAGGAAGUCUCAUUCCACUAUAUCAUAAGCUUUAGAGAUGUCUAACUUCAAAGCCACCCGCCCUUUUUUUUCUGCCUUUACUAUGCCUAAUCUUAUAGAGGCAUUCAUACCCAACGAUGAUGUUAUCAGUUAUUAAUCUGUUGGGAAUGAAUGCGCUCUGAGAUAAAUCAAUUACAUCAUGUAAAAUGGAUUUCAAUCGGUUGGCAAUAGCUUUCGCAACAAUUAUAUAAAUUACAUUGCACAUGCUUAUUGGUCUAAAUUCGGUCACUUUCCUAGGCUUUUCGAAUUUCAGAAUUAGAGCAAUAAAAGUGUGGUUUAGGGGGGCAAUAGUACCUGCUCCAUUUAGGACAUGAGGGCAUGUAUUAAUGACUCCUUCGCUGACCGAUCUUUAAUGCUUUUGGUAGAAAACAGCCAGAAGUUCAUCAAGCCCUAGUGCCUUCGUUAGGCACAUUUGGCCUAAAGCUUCUGUAAUCUCUUCCUCAGUAAAAGGUUGUCUCAGAUGAUCAUUCACUUUUGCUGAAACUUUAGGAACCAUUCCUUUUAAAGCCUUCUCUAUUUGCUCGUGGGUUGGGUUGGAGGUUGAGAAAAUCUGUGUAAAAUAUCCACAUAUUUCUGUCUCUAUUUCUUCAGCUUCCGUCCUCCAUUGGCCUUGUGUAUCUUCAACACCCAAAUUUUAUUCUUUCUUUUUCGGGAUGAAGCUUUUGAAUGGAAGUACCUUGUAUUUUUAUCUCCCUCCGCAAGCCAACCUGCCCUAGACCUUUGCUUCCAGUAGAUCUCCUCAUUCAGCAAAAGGUGAUGAAUCUUCCGCUCAAUACUUUUCACUUCUUCCCCAUUCUCAUACUGCCUAUUAUGUUCCUGGAGCUCCUUUAGUCUGCUCCACAACUUCUCCAGCUUCUUCUUGCUGUCCCUAAAAGUUCUCUUACUCCAGUACACUAGUUCCGCUAAUGAAUUUUUGCUUGUCUUUUUGAACAGCUGGACUGCAUUGCUCCCUGACCAAUUACCAAUUUCUGCCCAAUUUCUCUUAAUUAUGUCUCUGCAUUCAUCAUAUGAGCUCCAGAAAUCCUCGUAAUGGACCUUUGAAAGAGUUCUUCUAUUGUUUUGCCCUCCAUUACCCCUGCCUAUAACAUCCAGGAAAAUUAGGCUAUGAUCCGAACACCAGCUGACCAGGUUUUUUGCAGCGUCAUCUUGGAAGUGUUGAGUCCAUUCUAUGCUACCUAAGAAUCUAUCCAGUUGCUCCUCAAUAAAAUGAGAGCCAUAUCUCCUAGAAGACCAUGUGAACGGGUAAACUGAGCAACCUAAAUCCUUCAAAUUAUACUCCUGAACAGCUUUUCUAAACUCACUAAUCAAGUCAGCCUCUCUAUCGUUUCCCCCCAUUUUCUCUUCUAAGUGUAGAAUUUCGUUAAAAUCACCAAAGCACAGCCAUGGAGAUGAAGACAAACCUACCAAUCUUCUGAGUAAGGUCCACGUGUGUUUUUUCUGACUUGUCUAUGGGUGUCCAUAAACCCCAGUGCAUCUCCUCCGAUUUCCAUCUUCAGUGUCAACUUCAGCAUCAAUGUGAUGGUUGCUGAAGGAGGUAAUGCUUACCCUUAUGUCAGAGUCCCAGAGCAUAGCUACUCCACCACUCUUUCCGUUGCUGCUAACAGCAAAACAAUUAUUAAAAUUCAACUUCAUUCCCACAUUAUUCAUAUGUAUAGGCUUCAGCCUUGUUUCGCACAAGAACACCAGCUGAGGUCUAUACAGCUGAAGGAACUUUUUUAGAACUAAGAACGUCCGGUCGUUCCCCAACCCCCUGACGUUCUAGCUUAAAAUUCUCAUGGCUGUCGGCGGGGCUGAUCCUCAGCCUCCGCCGCUUGAAAUUUGUUUUGAGUGAGGUUUGUUUCCUUAUCCACCCCUGUGCCAUCCCAGUUCAGUAUGUAUCUUGAAGAAAACAGAUUACAUGAGUUGGUUUUAGCUGAAUAAUUUUUUUGGGGACUUUGAAUCCAUGUUCAUUUGUGGCUUGGGCUUUGUUUUACUGAGUCACAAAGCGGCCUUUUACUCGCAAGAAGCCCCUCUUUACCAUUCCCUUUGUUACGGGUACUUCUGGCCUAUAGCUUCCACUUUCUUCUUUUGGGCGAAAAGGCUUUUGCACUUGGCCCAUUAUAGAUUACCUCCUCCGGAUUUAAGUCUCCACUCUCUUAACUCAAGCUAGCAUCUAAAAUUUGUUUUAGCGCUGAGUUGAGCGCCAAUUUUUUGCUUGUGUCCUCCCAAAUCUCUUUUCCCACUUCUUUUCCCCCUCUUUCGUAAACCUCUGUGCUGUCAACUGUAUUUUAAGUGGCCAUUAAGCUAGGUUGCUUCUGACUAAUAUCCUGCUGCUUUCUCAGUUCAAGAGUCAUCUGCAUUAAAUGCUUAUCAGCCUUAGCUGCCUGACCUUCGAUUUCUCUUGACCCCGGUUGGUUCGUCUCUGGUUCGUUUGCACUUGGGUUCGAGUCACCUUGUUGUGGUUGGUUCCUUCCAUGAAACUCUGCUUCUCUGGAUUCCUUGAAAGGUUGUUCAGCCCUUCUAUUCCAUCUCUCUCUCCCUCGAUUUAAUUUUGUUCUCUUAGCUUUGGACAAUGCCCUCAUGUAAACUCCAUAAGGCAAUUGUUCUUUUGGUUGCCCAUUGUAAGCCGAGCACUCCUUGAAUUGAUGUCCAAUAAUUCCACAGCAAAAGCAAAAAUUAGGGAGCCAUUCAUACAACAUUGGCAACUCCACUUCAUCAUCCUCAGCAUCUAGCUCUAAAAAGACCAUUUUCUGCAAAGGUUUCGUAAUAUCUAUAUGGGCCAAUACAUUCCCCUUCAUCAUCGGUUUCUACUUCUAGCACCUCUCUUAAUAAUCCCCCUAGCUUAUGGACAUUAUCCCUCUCCAUACAUGCUAACGGGACAUUGUGAAUUUGAAUCCAGAAUGUUGCAUGUGUGAAUACUUGCUUUCUCAUGUUUCCAAUUCCACUAGGCUCUUUAAGUACAAUCAGGGCUCUGUCAAAGUGCCAUGGCCCCCCCGGCCAAUACUUUUCGCUUAUCAACUUCCAAUCCAAAUUUGAAAAUAAAAAUAUUGUUACCUAAACUUUCAAUUUUAACUUCUUUGGUUGUUUUCCAUGCCUGCACCAGUGCACUUCUGAUGCCUUCGGUGUGUACACUUCUUGUCAGUAAGAUUUUCCCGAUCAGAGAGUCAGCCAUAAUAUGGCCUCCCUUUUCUUCCAUACCACUUCUGAGAGUUAACUUGCGUUCAAUUCCUUCACGGAUGGAUAUUGCUUUGCACUUACGAAUUACCUCCUCUGUGUUCAUGAGUGGAGGGUACAACUGAAACUCUUUAACUUGCUACCUACCAGAGUUUGUACCUCCAGCUUUAAAAACUCUCAUUCACUCUCGCCCACUCUCUGAAACCCUCACCCAGAGAACUUACAAAAGAAAUGAUAACAAAGAGCACUCAAAUUAAAUGAGUGAGAUAUGAAGCCAUUAAAGCUCCAGCUCUACUCCAUUCUUUUGUCCUCUUUCAUAGAGAGAAAGCACGCUAGAAAGAGCUGAGGCGGUGUUAAACGUGGAGAAAAAAAUAUACUUACAACAAUUUUAAUAAUAGUUAUUUUGUAAAAAAUUAAUUUACCAAAUUAAUCCCAAAUAUAAAAUAAUAGUAUGAAAAAUAUUUGUGAAAUUUUUUAUGUUACUUUUAAGGCUAAUUUGAUAUAUUUACAAUUUUUUUUCUUUUCAUUAAUAUCCUCAAGACAAUAGAAAUAUUAUUGUAAGGAUAUUAUUAUAAAAGUAAAGAAAAAAUAACGUAAGAAUGUUAACAAACUUAACUACAAGGAUAUUUUCAAAUUUUUUUAAAAUUAGAUAGACUAAGUUAGUUUAUAAAUUAAAAUAUAGAGACUAAAUAAAUAUUUAUCAAAUUAUUUAAUGGGCUAAAAAAUAAUUAGUUAUUAACUUCACAGGAAAGUCACCGACCAAAAAUUUAAAAGUCCGCUCUCAAAGUCGGUCUACUUCAUUUUCUCCAAUCGACCAUUUUUAUAACAAUCACGUCAACUUGCCAACUCUGAACUAACUGGAUUUCAAUUAAUUCAUUGCAAUCAAUUUGACUCUUUUAUUUUAUUUUAUUUUUUCGUCCUCUAAACUACUUUUGAUACCAUUUUCAAAAUACUACGAUUAUUUUUCUGCAUGAAGCAAAUAAUUGGUCCGCUUCAAUUUUUGGUAGCAUUGUUGACUUUGCAUUAGAAACUGAUAUUAUCUCUGAUCAACUUGAUAUCAGUUAAGUACCAUUCCAUGCAUGUUGUUGCAUUCUUAAUUAGCACUUAAUUAAAGUUAUACACACCAUUAUAUAUAUACUUCUUAAUUAUCUAAUUGCCCACAUUUAUAUUAGAAAAAUCUUUAGUUGAGAUUUGUCAAAACAAUCACUAAGUUAAUUUAAUACCAACAUGCCUGCCAUUGGUCAGAAGUUGACCAAACUUUGGCUCUAUAUUUGAGAACCAAUAAGAGUGAACUCUUCUAAGUGUGCCACAACUCAAAGUCAUAUACUCAAAGUCAACUAUGGAGGCAGCUCGUUCACGGUUGCUCGCUGCAAUGGUGUUACUUUUCGCCAUACUUGCACUGGCCGCUUCUCCAACUCAUCAAGCCUCUUCUGUUGUGCCUGGCUCACAGCUGGUCCAACUUCUGGCUCGUCAUAGCCAGUUUCCACAAGACUCCAAUACUCUUUGGACCUCAGAAAGUUCUCCAGCAACAUGCUCCAAUGAUCGUAAUGACCAUCGAAGCAGGGAAUUGCAGGCUGUACGGAAUUCCCUUCACUUGCCAUGCUUCUAUCUGCUCCCUGUUACUCAAAAGCUGCUGCUUUGUUUCUACAAGCCCAGUGGGGGCUCUGAUACUAGAAUGUUAGGAAUCAAAGAUUAAACUCAAACAAUUCUGGAAAAAUGGCUUAUUAUUUACUAAACAAAUUUGGGUAAUAUAUAGCCUUUACAACUUAACAGAAAUCAGAAAAAAACAGCCCACGUUUAAAGUGGUAAUCAAACUAGAGAAUAAGUCAAAUACUACCCUAGUUAAUAGGGAUUAUUGAAACUGAAAUCCUAACAGAACACUACUUAUCUUUUCAAUAAUGAGACUCCUAUUUCCUAAUCUCAAAUUUGUUGUGUGCUCCACAAUAUUGAUUCUCAUUCCCAUGUAUAAAUAUAAAAUAAACAAUGUCAAUAAUUUCGAUCCGUAAUUCUAAUUACUCAAUCUGACAACUAAGCACAAUAUAGAUCUUUUGCAGAAAUUUAUUUACAUUUCGAUAACAUUUUGGAACCAUUUUCAAUUUUUAACCAGAUAAAUGUGUUUCGGGCGGGGAAGCGAGCAAAGCUCCGGGUUACCAUUGGGGUGGGGCCGGGGCCAUUUGCAUCCCCACUCUUUUUUUUUUUUUUUCUUUUUAAGUUUGGAUCUCUGUAAUCUUAUAUUUUCCUUCCAUAUUAAGACUUUAAUUAAUAUUAUUAUUUUUUGAAUUAGGUCUACAUAUAAAUGCAGGCCAAGUAGUUGACUUAAAAAAUUUACGAUGACAAAGAUCAUCAUAUGAAUAUCAGAAAAAGCCCCACAAUAAAAUUAAAGUCAUACUGCGAGCUCAAAUCUAUUUUUUUUUUAAAAAAGCCAGCUCAUAUAAACUUACAUGAAAUUUGCAGUAUAAGAGAACAAAUUCCAAAAUUCAAUAUAUAUUUAAGAUUUCAAAAGUUGAAAAAGCAGUUUUACUGUAACAGCUAGCUAGCAAAUCAUCAUUAUGGAUAUUGGAACCACCGCACACUUGUAUAAAAUUAGUGAGAAUGAUUAUUUUCGUCCAAAUGUUUAUAAUUACUAUAAUGUUAUGUAUAUUUAGUUGAGAUAUUUAAUGUGUAUAUAAAAUAAUGUGGUAAAUGAUGUAAUAUUAAGUAUGAAAGAACUAAUAUUUUUUAUACUCGUGCAACAGUCUUACUAAAAAUUUAUUUAUAAAUGAAUUAUUAUCAGUCCACUUAAAGUAGUGUUUAAUAUACUUACAACAAUUUUACUAGUAGUUAUUUGUAAAAAAUUAAUUUACCAAAUUAAUCCGAAAAGUAAAAUAAUAGCAUAAAAAUAUUUGUGAAAAUUUUUAUGUUACUUUUAAGGUUAAUUUGAUAUAUUAACAAUUUGUUUUCUUUUCAUUAAUAUCAUCAAGAAGUUAGAAAAUAUUAUUUUAAGAAUAUUAUUGUAAAAGUAAAGAAAAACAACGUAAGAAUGUUAACAACCUUAACUACAAGGAUAUUUUCAGAUUUUUUUAAAAUUAUAUGGACUAAAUUAGUAUAUAAAUUAAAAUAUAAAACUAAACAAAUAUUUAUCAUAUUAUUUAAUGGGCUAAAAAAUAAUUAGUUAUUAACUUCACAGGAAAGUCACCGACGGAAGAUUUAAAAGUUCACUCUCAAAGUCAGUCUACCUCAUUUUCUCCAAUCGACUAUUUUUAAUUUUUAUAACAAUCACGUCAACUUGCCAACUCUGAACUAACUGGAUUUCAAUUAAUUCAUUGCAAUCAAUUUCACUCUUUUAUUUUAUUUUAUUUUUUAGUCAACUAAACUACUUUUGACACCAUUUUCAAAAUACUAUGGUUAUUUUUCUGCAUGACGCAAAUAAUUAGUCCCCUUCAAUUUUUGGCAGCAUUGUUGACUUUGCACUAGAAACUGAUAUUAUCUCUAAUCAACUUGAUAUCAAUAAAGUACCAUUCCAUGCAUGUUGUUGCAUUCUUAAUUAGCACUUAAUUAAAGUUAGACACACAAUUAUAUAUAUACUUCUUAAUUGUCUAAUUGCCGACAUUUAUAUUAGAAAAAUCUUUAGUUGAGAUUUGUCAAAACAAUCACUAAGUUAAUUUAAUACCAACAUGUCUGCCAUUGGUCAGAAGUUGACCAAACUUUGGCUCUAUAUAUGAGAACCAAUAAGAGUGAACUCUUCUAAGUGUGCCACAACUCAAAGCCAUAUACUCAAAGUCAACUAUGGAGGCAGCUCGCUCACGUUUGCUCGCUGCAAUGGUGUUACUUUUCGCCAUACUUGCACUGGCCGCUCAAACUUGCAGUGGAAGCAGCAGGAACCCUGUGAGGCACUUGCCUCAAUCUCAUCAUCAUUUGCAGGUGGUGAAACACGAGGAGGGUCGGAUGGUAGCCAAGAGGAUUCCUCCUAGAUCUUAUCGGGUAUUCGCUCCCGUGUCGGCCAUUUCACGACACUACGAUGUGCCACUGCCACCUGGUGCUCGCCCUCCAAGCGUCCUAUAAUUAAUUGACGGCUAAAAUGCUCAAUUUGGAUCUUGGAGAAAAUAAGAGUUAAAAAAAUUAAUUUAAAUGUUGCCCACCUCCCUACGUUUUAUAUAAUAAUAAAAAAGUUAAUCGAUUUGUAGUUCAACAUUUGUAUUGUGUAAUUAACUUUUUUUCUUUGUGCUUUUUAGUAGGGUUCCAUUACUUCCAUAUAUAAUUUUGUGAUUAUAAGUUUGAUCAUUUGCAUUCAAGUUGAUCAAUCUGUUGGGAAUAAAAAAUUGUACAUCUUUUUGUGUUUGAAAUAAUUAAUUAAUGGCUAAACUCGAUUGAUAUCAGUUUUCCCCACCAUCUAAUAUUAAAAUCAACCUGUUUCAUGACAAAAUACCACGUCAAUUGGAACAAACACAGCUUGAGCACACAUUAAUCAUCGUGUAUACUAUUGGAGUUGGAGUUUUCAUUCGUCAUCCCUUUCGUAGAUGAUUUAUAUCCAGCUUAAGUUUCAAACUUCUCCAAUAUUUCUAUUCAAUAAUUCAACGAAAGCUUACACCAAAUACCAGCACACAGUUCUAACUAAUUAGAGCUUGCUAUUCAUGCAAAUGCAGGGAACAAAUAGAUGGAGAUAUGGAUGUUUUAGCAAUGACAAUCCAAAAUAACUUGGGAAACGUAAUCAUGAACUUUCUUCUAAAAGCUUAGAAAUUUGUAAACCGUACGGAAGGAACUGUUGACAGUCAAAAGCCCGUGUGCGUUUAUUGUGCCAUUCGGUGGUCAAGCUGGUAAAAUUGACAAUUUGGGCAGAUUGUUUUGGAGGUGCCGAAAUCUUUGAAAUGUGAAGCCAUUCGAUGGCUAUUUUCAAAGACUUUUUGUUGUAAAAAUAAAUGCGUGCAUGGUAUGCUUCGAUUAUAAAUCAGAGAGAAGCAAUUGCCAUUUGAAAGAAUCCCAAAAUAUAGAGUAUAAGAGCGAAGGUGUGCAUGAUGUGCUCUUCAGGGAGUGCAGAGAAAGUCUUUGUGAGAGGGUUUCCUUUGAUGCCUAUAGGAAUAUGCAUUUGAGAGAUGUUGUUUCUUGGUGCAAUUUCUUUCGAGAGUGUAUAAGAAUAUUAGAUGUAUUUCAGUAUUUGGGAAGUGUGUUUUCAUUAAUCAAAUUUAUAAUCUAUUAAUUGUUAGUAAAAUAAUUAUUCUCUCUUAUUAUUACCAAAACCAUGUUAAAUCUGCUUCUCACUCUCAGUUAGUAAAGGAAAUGUCAUUAAAAAUUUGUUUAUAAGGAAAGAGAUAAGAGUUGCCCAUUACCCUUAAAUCCAAGGUCUUAUAAAUCUAGCAACAAUUCAACAAAGAUGAGUGUCAUCUGGAAUACAUUCCCAUGCGAAUGGGAAGAAUUUGGAGAACUUAUAAGUCAGAAUUAUCAAGAAAAAUAACACCUGCAUUGAAAGAGUUGAAACCUAAAUACAUGAAAUCUGAGCAACACUGGGAUAAAUUUUUUUAAACACAGAAUAUCUAUUGAGUUUCACGUUAGUAUGAUGUUUUCAAGUAGUGCAGAACAAUUUUUGUUUAAUAGGUCAUUCAUGGACUACUUUGUUUGGUUAAAUAGUGAACAUUUCCGAGCCUUACGGGCAAACUAAGACACAUCGAACAGGUCGCAAAGGACUCCCGUUUAAGAUAUGAAAUGGUAAAUUCUAAUAUCUAUUUGAGUCUUUUUUUUUAAUUUUUUAUAAUCAUUUUAGAAAUAGGUGAAUAACCAAAUUGAUGUCGGAUUCGUGCUUAUUCAAAGAAAGAUGGAACUCCAGUUGAUGAAAAAGUUGCACAUGAUUUGGUAAUUAACAUGUUCAUGCAUUUAUAUAAUCUUUGUUUUGAACUAUUGAUAAUAUUAACGAGCAAACUGAAAACAUGCAGGAGAAAACCAAAGAAUAUAAAAGGAGAAAUCCUAGUGCAAAUGGUACUGUCAAAAGUUAUGCCUGUUUGUUGUAUGAAGGGAAAGGAACCUCCUGGUCGAGUGUGGGGAGCUGAAUUUGGAGCCGCACGAUCAAAAGUGUCUUUACAAGCAAUCAUUCAUUCAAAUGCUGCCAAGUAUGAAUCUAAAUUGAAUGAUCUGCAAAACAAAUGUGAGGAGUUAAAAGAUGCCUUCAUUACAUUUAUGAGCACACAUGAGGUAAUUUGUUUAUUUAACUAAUCUUUUUAAUUGAGUGUUUAGCAUACAUUGUUGCCUUGAAAACUCGAUCAUCCAGAAAGAGACUUACUUUUCUAAGUUUUUGAUUAUAAGAAAGCUUCUUCUUUGUUUGUUAGAUGAUAUUGGCUUCUUUGCUUCUUCAAUUUUAUAAGCUUUGUGCCCCUUCUUAACGUGGAAUGAUUAAUCUUUAGAUUAACAUUAAGUUAAGAAAUAUUUCAAAGUCUAGAGUGAUAGAAACGAGAUGAUGUAGGAUGUUUAACACAGAUAUAGGAUAGUUGUGUAUUACAAGUGGGGUACUUUUCAGAGGCCAUAAUUUGAACUAAAUGUGUCCUUUUUUUGCGUAUAAUAUACCGUUUUGAAGCUUGCGACGAGACGAAUCUAACUUGUGCUAUUUUCUAUCAAAGUUGAGCCAAAAAUUCUACUUCUUUCUUGGUCGUUUUUCAAUUUUUUAAGAUUUUUUUUCCAUUUUUCCUGAUUCUUCUAGGAUUUUUAUCCUUUUUUCUAGAAUUGAAUUUGAGUGUCAUUUGUUUUCCUUUUCUUAUUUUGAUUAAGAGAAUUUAAUUAUCAUAUUAUAUUCUAAAUUUGCCUAUUUUCAUAAAUUAAUGAUAUUUAGGCUUGUUAUAAAAGGGACUCAAAACCCUAGUUUUAUUCAUUCAGACUUUCAAAAAAAUUGAUCAUUUUUCAAAAACCUAGUUUCUUUUAUCAAUAAACUCAAUAACGUUUUCAUUUUGUCAGUUGGUAUCAAGUUUGCUUGUCAUUAUGGUACGAUCACAUGAACAAAGGAACAAUUGUCCUAAAGACGCUGAUCAAGGGAUGCAGGCAAUGUCUGCGGAGACUAUCAGAUAAUGGUAGCGAUGGAGCAAUCAAUCGAGGGUCUUACACUUUCCAUGAAUAAUAGAGAGAGAGAGCAGCGAAAAAGAGUAAAUCGCGAAAGAGUUGUUGAAGGAGUCAAUUAAGAUGAACAACCAUGUUAUUAUCAUUAUGAAGAGGCACAUUAGGGCAUCAAUCGUAAAACAACGCCUUAAGGCAUCAAUUCCAAAGUAGUACUUCAAAACCUAAAACCCGCGAGAGGAGUGUAGUCGCGCGUGCAUGAAGAGUUAGAAAGCGAUUCAAAAUAAGAAAACGCUAAGGAUUAUGGUAGGAGGCGCAGGAAGAGUUCAGAUUACAAGAUUAAUGUCGAUAUUGCAGAUUUUUAUGGUGGUAUGCAUGUUGAAGAAUUUUUAGACUGAAUAUCGAACGUAAAAAAUUUCUUCCAAUAUAUGGAGAUUCCCCAAGAUGAGCAGGUUAAGCUUGUGGCGUUUAAGUUAAAGGGUGCAGCGUUUGCAUAAUGGAAAAACAUACAAAAUUGAAGAACAGAUGUAGGAAACUCAUUGAUCGAAUCGCGACCUAGAAUGCAAAGGAUGAUGAAAGAAUAUUUCCUGCCAGUUGAUUAUCAACAGUGGUUUUACGUGAAAUAUCAAAAUUACAGGCAAGGAAAUCACUAUGUUGAUGAAUAUAUGAAGGAAUUUAUCGUUUGCACAUAAGAAAUAACAUGGAUGAGCCAAAGUUUUGGACAGUUACAAAGUAUGAUGCUGGAUUGAGACAAGAGCUGCAAGAUGAGAUUGUAAAGGCAAUUUUAGAUAUAGGUACAGCGGUUGCUAGGGCAAAGAAGUUAGGAGAACAUAAGCAAUGUGCUGUUUCUAUAGCUCAGCAGAGGCAAUUCACUAGUGUGCAAAAUAGACUAAGCAGUGUUCAGGUGGAAAAUAAGUGGAAAACAUGUGCUGGUAGUAGUGAGGCACAACAACCAACGUAGUAGCGAUCAAGGUAGCACCUGCCCAGACAGUAGCAGCCACCCAGAUAGUAGAAUAAUCUUUAUCCUAAUCGUAUGCUUAAUAAGAGUUUAAAGUGUGGAGAACCAGGGCAUCGAUCGAAUGACCAUCGUCCUAAAAAUUUGAGUUUGGUAGAGGUUAAAGUUGGCUAAUCAGAGGUGAAUAACGUUAAGGAUGGAAAUGACAAGGAGGCCUUGGAGUUGGAAGCAAAUGAGGGAAUAUUGUCGAACAAUAUUGUGCAUAAAAUUUUAUUGGCAUCGAAGUUUAAAGGGGAUAAUUAAUGCAAUAAGGUUUUCAGAACACAUGGCACCAUCAAUGAUAAUGUGUGCAACGUGAUAAUUGAUGGUGGCAGUAGUGAGAACAUAGUUUUGAAGGUACUGGUUGAUGUGAUGUGACUUUCGACGAAGAAAGAUUUAUAAGAGUGAUGUGGUAUAUGAUGUGGUGGAUUUGGAUGCGUGCCAUUUGUUAUUAGGCACACUUUGGUAGUUUGAUAUAGGUGCGUGAAAUACUACAUAGGCAACUCAAGAGGGGGUGAAUUGGGUUUCUAAAAAUUAUGCAAUGCUUGAACAAAACUUAACGCAAAUCUUAAACAAAUUAAAAACAAUAAUAAAUAAACCAAUCAAAAUAUAAAGAGAUAAGGGAAGAGAGAUUCAAACACAAAGAUUUUUACGUGGGUCGGCCAACCCCGCCUACGUCUACGCCUUUAAGCUUACCGGACUUGAGGAUUCCACUAUCCAAGCUUCCAAGGCUUUAAGAACUUUUACAAUUGAUUUCACAAGUGUCAAUCAACCUUUACAACAAGAGAUUAUCUCAAAUCUCUUAACCCAAAUGUUUCCCACACUCACACUUUCUCAAAUACAAGAUUUUUCUCACACACAAUCUAUGUGUUUACAAAUAUAUGCCCAAGGUGUGAUUUAAAGAAUGAAUGAACAAAUUAAAGCUCAAGAAAUAUUGUAUUCUCAAUAAUAUGCUCUUUGGUGGAUUCACUUUGAUUUGGAUCUAAUGCAACCUUUUUAUAGUUGGAGCUGAAAACUAGCCACUAUUGACUUUCUACACAAAGUCGGAUCACCGUUAAGCCUUAUCGGAUCAUUGUUUUGACUUGAGUAAGUUACCGUUAUGCUAUAAUUUCAAAUUGUCGGAUCACUGUUUUACAAAUGUCGGAUCGCUGUUAGUUUCCAGAAACAAACUCCAAUUCUGUUCUAUAUCAGUUAGCCAUUAUCUCCAAAACAGUUAGUCAUUUGCUACAGUGAAAUUAUUUUAUAAAAUUAUAGUUUUGCCUUAAAACAUUAUAUAAUUAUACUAUGGCCCAAAUCUUAAAAAAACUUUACAAAUAGGUCCAUUUUCAAAGUUUCAAAACAAUACUUGUUGAUUUCCAAAACUUUUUGAAAUUAUACUAUGACCCAACACUUUAUAAAAUAUUUCAAAUAGAUUCAUUUCUAGAAUUUGAAAAUAGUACUUGUUGAUUUCAAAGUUCUCUAAACUUUUUCAAUUUAAUGGUUUAAAUUGAAAAUACAAAUUUCAUAAAAUCAAUUUUCCUUUAAGUAUAAAACAUUUAUAUUAUGAAAAUAAUGAUUUAUUUAAAAUGUAUGAAAAAUAAUUUGAGCUUUUAAAAGCUUAAUCAUUUUUAAUUUUGUUUGUUAUCAUCAAAAUAAUAAAUAUUAACAUUGUGGUUCAUAGAGGAAGGGAUAAUGUGUACAAAUUUUGGUAGAAUAGCAAGAAAGUUCAUUUAAUGCCUUUAACGAACAAGAAUAAGAAUCCUAAGGCCGAAUAGAAGAAUCAUUUUACUAUUAUGAAUGGACAUCUGGAAGAAAAUUGUGAUGGUUGAAAGACCUACAAAAAGAAGAUGAGUUCGAGGUGAAGUUUAUUCCUGAAGAGGUGCAGCCAUUGUUAACUGAGUUCGCUGACAUUACACCAUCAGAGAUGCGAAAUAGGCUGCCAUCUUUGCGAGAUAUCCAACAUCAUAUAAACCUAGUCCUUGGUUCAACUUUACCUAACUUGCAUGAUUAUCGCAUGAGUCCUCAUGAGCAUGCAAUUUACAAUGAUAGGUUAAUGAAUUGUUAUGAAAGGGAUUUAUUCGUGAGAUCAUGAGUCCAUGUAUUGUACCAGCUUUAUUAGUGCCUAAGAAGGAUGGGAGUUGGCAUAUGUAUGCCGACAACAACUAGAUUAAUUAGAUUACGGUGAAAUAUAAGUUUUCUAGUCCGACAUUUCAGAAUUUACUAGAUCAAUUAGAUAAUGCUUGGGUUUUCUCGAAGAUAGACUUACGUAGUGAGUAUCAUUAGAUUUGGAUUGGGCCUCGAGAUGAGUGAAAGACAGCGUUCAAGACGAAGGAAAGGCUAUAUGAGUGGUUUGUGAUGCCAUUAAGAUUGUUAAACACGCCAAGUAUUUUUAUACGCUUAAUGAUCUAGAUUUUUAAGCCUUGUUCUUGCAAAUUUAUAGUGGUAUAUUUUGAUGAUAUUUUGGUGUAUUAUGUUGAUGUAAUGACGCAUUUGGAGCAUUUGAGAAUGGUGAUGAAGAUGUUGUAGAGGAAUAAGGUUUACAUUAAUAUAAAGAAGUGUAGUUUUCUGUAGAAUAAUGUAGAAUUUUUAUGUUUUAUAGUUGGUGUAGAUGGGAAUGGAGCUAUUGAGUUGAAGUUACAAGCCAUUAGAGAAUGGCCUAUAUCUAAGACAGUAGGUGAAGUUAGGAAAGCGCAAGUAUGGACCAAUUCACGUGGCACGGAGGAUUAAUGAUAAUGCUUAUGUACUUCAGCUAUCAGACACGUGGAACAUUUUUCACACUUUCAACGUGGCUAAUCUAUUUGCGUAUCAUCCAAAUGAUGAGUAGUUAUAUCAGCCUAACUUGAGGACGAGUUCUUUUAUAAGUAAGGGGACCGAUGUAAGAUAAUUGUGUAUUACAAGCAGGGCACUUUCCGGAGGUCAUAACUUGAGGUACAUGUGUCUAUUUUCGGCGUACAAUAUAUUGUUUUGAAGCUUGCAAUGAGACAAAUCUAACCCAAACAUUUAUGUUGUUUUGCCUUGAGGUUCAGCCAAAAAUUUCACAAUAUAUUGUUUUUAUCUUUUUCUAUAACUCAUAUUUAAGUGUCAUUUAUUUUUCUUUUCAUAUUUUAAUUAGGAGAAUUCAAUUAUCAUAUUAUAUUUUAGAUUUACCUAUUCUGAAAAAUACGUGAUAUUUAGGCUUGUUAUAAAAAAGACUUAAAAUCCUGAUUUUAUUCAUUCAGACUUUCAGUAAAAUUUUAUUAUUAUUAAUUUUUUCUAUCAACAAACUCAAUAACAUUUUUGUUUCGUCAAAGACAUUGCACAAUGCACAAAUAAAUUGGAUAAUGCAGGAUGUUCAACACACUGUAUAAGUAAAUUGUUGCUUAACUCAACCCAAAAACUAGCUCAUGAGUUGAGGAUCUGGGAUGUUUUUCCUAACUCAACCCCAAAGCUACCUCAUGAAUUGAAGGUUGCCCAAGCUACAAUUUAAGUGGAUGAUUGCCGUCCUCGCUCUCAUUAUUUUAAUUAAUAGAAAAUUAUUGGAAGAGUCAAUUUCUUCCGUCAUUAUUUUAAAUUAAGAAAAUCACCGACCAGUUAUUAUAUAAAUUCAUAUCAGCUCUACUUGCAAAAAGUUUAAAUAAAGUAACAGUGGGGUUGGACAAAGAUUAUAUAAGGAUGAGUUUUCGAGGCAAAAAGACUCAAAAUAAGAAAAGAAAAAAUGAGAAUUAUUCGCAUCUAAUAAUCAUGGAAUCACCGACCAGCUUUAGAUAAAUAUAUAAUUAGCCCAAUUUGCAAAAGAGAUAUUUAUGGCCCCUUUUUUCAUCACCUAAUUUAAACUCUCUUUGAAGACAUCCAAUGAUUUAAUUAAUUAGAGAGAAGGACAGCUGCAAUUUUAGAAAUUAAAAAUAUAGUUAUGUAGACUCAUAAAUUUUUUAAUAAGAAAUACGAUGAUCUCAUUUUAAUGAAAAUGAAUUUCGAAUAUAAUAACUAAAAAAUAAUUUUCAAAUUUUCAGUAAAUAUAAAUAUAUAAUAAAUAAUUUAAUCUAUAUAAUUGACUAAUAAUAUUAAGAUAUAUUUAUUGUAAUAUACUAGACUUAAUUUUUUAGAGUUAAUAGAGUAAAAAAAAAGUAUAAAUGGUCAAAAGAUAGUCUUAUUAUCCCUUAUGAAAAAAAUUAGAAUUUAUAUAACCAUUUCUCUGAAUUUUGUAGUUAUUGUUUUCUAAUUUAAUUAAGAAAAAAUUACAGGAUGAGUCUUCCUUCCUAUUCAAAUUAUGCAAAUCACUGGGGUUGGUGGUAACUGGUAAGUGAUGAGUUUCCAAGUAAACACUCAAUAGGAAAAAUUCAAAUGAGAUUUAUUCAUAUUUAAUCAUGGAAAUUGGAAUCACCGACACUAGCCUUUAAAUAAAUACAUAAUUAGUGCAAUUUGCGAAUUUUUUGAAUUAAGUAAUCACCAAAUUGUUAAAAUAGACAAAAACAUGGCGUGAUCGAUCACAAUCUUUCAUUGAAAUUUUACUUUAAAAUAAUUUUUGAAUUAAUUAUUCUAUUACAUGUGCGGCGGCGUGACUUUUUCAAGAUGAGUUUCCUGGAAGAGUAUUCCACUACUGAUGAAGAACGAGCAAAUUAAUUAAUUAAUGGAUAUAUGACUUAAAAUUAAUAUUGCAAUCCAACAGCGAGAGAGGAAAUACUGAAAGAGAUGGAAAUUGAGCGGUACCAAUUCCACAAGCAUCCUUUAACACUCUGUGAGAUUGAGGGUGUUGAUGGACCUCAUUGCCUUGUCUGUGACAUGGGCUCUUUUCUCGACGGCUACAAUUGCAGCAACUGUGAGUUUCAUCCAGAGAAAUGCUCUGUUUGCGACGGUAAACCCUCCGGUAGUUUUUAUUUUUGCAGGGUGUGUUGGCCCAAUUCUCCUUUCAUUCAUGAACCAUGUGUUGAAUUUCCACAAAAGAUCCAAAUCGCCUUGCGACUUUAAUGUGUGUGGCAUCGAAAUUGAUUAUGGCAUCAACUACCAGUGUGAUUAUUGCGACUUUAUCAUGCAUCGUCAAUGUCUGUCUCUAAAGCCGAAUAUAAAGUACCAAGCUCAUCAGCAUGAUCUUCUUACUUUACUGCAGAAUAAUGAUAAGUCCUAUAAGAGUCAAUGCCAUGCAUGCGGUUUUGACAUUAAAAGUAUUUUCUUUGUUCAGUGUCUUGAGUGCAGACUCAAUUUUCAUGUUCGUUGUGGUUCAGCUUCAGCCUCGCUACCACCAGUUGCUCAGCAUAACAAUCACAGCCAUCCUCUCUCCCUCGUUACUAAUGAAUCGAAAGCACUCGUGAAGAUGAUUCCAUUCUUCUUUACUGUAACGACUGUAAGGAAGAAAUAGACCCUAUGGCUGUGUUGAAUGUGAUCAGUACAACACACAUGUUCGCUGUGUGAUCACUGAGACACAAUUCGGCGAAAGAGAGAGAUAUAAGCAUUUCAGCCACCGUCAUCUCUUGGUUCUUCUUGAGAGCAAGAAAAGCAAGUGCUACGCAUGCAAAAGAUUGAACAUCCAGGGCCAGCCAGCAUACGGUUGCGAUCUCUGUGGAUUUUAUCGUCACCAAUCCUGUUUUGAGCUACAAAGGUGAUAUAUCUUCACCAAUCUCAUUUACAUUAUCUCACUCUUCGAGAUUCUUCAAAUUCAGGAAAACGUGUAUGCAAAGCUUGCGGUAAGCAUUUAAAUGGCCUUAUAUAUCAUUGUGCGAGCUGCGACUUCAAUCUGGAUCUUGACUGUGCUUCUCAACACCCAUCAAUGAAAAAAUGGAAAGUCUCUGGCGACUAUGAGAGCAAAUACCGAGUUUAAAUUCUGAGCAAUGUUUUAUAAGAUUAAUGUAAACUACUUCCAAUAAUAUUCGGAUUGUAAAUAUCAUAAAUAGUGAUUGUAAUAUCAAUGUUAUUAAAAAAAAAAAAAUUCAUCAAUACUAGUAUGAUCAUUAUUCAUUCUUCAAUUCAUUAUUAUGACCAAUAUUAGUACUAAUCACAAUUUUUGUAUGUUAUUAUUAUCAUCGAUUUCUUUUUUAAAAAAAGUAAAUCAUAACUUUUCUUAAUUUAAUUAUCAUUAUUUUAAAUCUUCUAUAAAAUAUUAUUAUUUAUAAACCUUUCCUGAAAAAUAAAAAUUUAUAAUCGCAAUUAAAAUAAUAUAACAACAAAUAUUAUACUGAUUAUGGUGAAACAUGAUGAUAUAAUGUUGCCAACUUAUAGUUAUUAAACAUCAUGUAGAACUUAGCGCAACAGUUUGCUAUUAGCAAUAUUAAAAAAAUUUAAUAUUAUUGUUAACCUUUACGCAACAAAAUUAGUCUCGUUACGAAAAACACUAUACAAGCACAAAAAUAAUUUUCUUGCUAACAAUAACACAAAAAUAAUUUUCUGGCUAACAAUAACUUUCUGCAAUAUUUUGAUUUGUUGUAACUGAUGCAAGUGUUUAUUAUCGAAAAUCUGUAGCAACAAAAUUAUAUUUAGUUUUCAUUAAGCUUGCUAGGCAACAAUAGCACUUUUCUGGCAAAAAUAGUGUACGGCAACAUAAUAUUUUGUUGCCAUAUAGUUUAAUCUUCUCGCCUAUUUGACAUCAUUAAAAAUAACUGUAGUGUUUAAGAGUGACUAACUAUCCCAAUCAACUCAAAACACUUCCCAAUAUCACAACCAAACAAACAAGAUGCAUCAAGAAUCAAUCCAGCAGAAUACACACAGAUUAUUAGAACUGAAAGAAUUAAAGAAAAGAACAAGAAUUAACGUGGUUCAGCUAGCUUCAGUCUAGCUUACAUCCACGGGAUGAACAGAACCCAAUUCUAUUGAUUGUUCAAAGAAGUUACAGAGAGUUUAUCAAGCUUGUUACAGAGUCUCUCAAGAAGCCUUUGGUUUCCAAUCUUCUCAACUCACAAUAGCUCUCUCGUCACUCUUCUCUGUUGCCAGAAUCAGCUGUAUAUAACAGCUCGUUAACAAAUCAGUAACCAACCCAGAAAACCACGUGACAGUCAUGUGAGUUAACUGAUUCUAACGAACCAAGAACGCAACUUAUCCGUGCACGUGAAACUCUCGUGCAUCACUUAACCAAAACGACCUUCAUACAUGUCGUUCCAGGAGAUACGAGUUUGACUUUCCAAAACGCAGCAUCAGCUGACGUUUUCACCAACAGAUUUGCUUCACAUCACAACAUACUCUUUAUUUAUUUAUUUGUGUCAAAUAUGAUAACAUUCAUCCUAAAUGCACUUUUAUUAAAUAUUUGCACAAGAAACAGUAAUUUAACAUUAUUGAUGGAAUAUAAUCAAAUCUAAUCGUUUAAAUAAUUAUAGGAGAUAUUUCUGUGGGCGGCCUCUUUUAUUAAUUUGAAUAGAGUAGGAGAAAAAUAUAACUUUUACGGUAAAUAUUAGAUGAAAUAGAACCAUCUUAGAAAGAGUAUAAUAAAAUUUCUAGUUAGUUAAGAUAUUUUGAGAAUAUUAGACAUAUUAAGGGCUUGUUUAGGAUUGCUUUUAGGAGGUUCAAAAGUGAUUUUAAAAAUUUAAAAGCUAAGUUUAGUGUUGAGUCAACAUAACCACAGAGACCUGCAAUCUUUCCAGCUGAUUUUCCAUAUACCAGCCCAUACUGUUGUGUACUUUUCAGAUACCUCAGCACCCAUUUAACAGCCUUCCAGUGCUCCUUUCCAGGUGUAGCCAUAAACUUACUUACAACACUUAAAGCAUGAGCUAAGUCUGGUCUUGUAAGUACCAUUGCAUACAUCAUGCAACCAACAACAUUUGCAUAAGGAACCUUUGUCAUUUCAUUCCUCUCUUCAUCUGUACUGGGGCAUUGUGAACAUGACAGCUUGAAGUGAGAUGCAAGAGGGGUUACUACUGACUUACUGUUUGACAUCCCAAAAGUUCCCAGUACCUUCUCUAGAUACUUCCCUUGAGACAGAAUCAUAGUACCCUUCUUCCUGUUCCUUAUUAUUUCCAUACCCAAAAUCUUCCUAGCUGGACCCAAGUCUUUCAUAUCAAAUUCUGAAUUGAGCAGUUGCUUCAAAGCCUCAAUCUCUUCCCUUUCAUUACAAGCAAUCAACAUAUCAUCUACAUAUAACAGCAGAUAUAUGUAGUUACCUGAUUGUAUGAUCUUGUAGUAAACACAUACAUCAUAGCUGCACCUUAGAUACCCAUGAGUGACCAUAAACUCAUCAAACCUAAGGUACCACUGUCUGGGUGAUUGUUUCAGCCCAUACAGUGACCUCUUCAGCAGACACACACAGUCAGCAGAUUCAGGACUUGUGUACCCUUCAGGCUGUGUCAUUAAGAUGUCCUCAUUUAGUCUUCCAUGUAGAAAGGCUGUCUUGACAUCGAGUUGAUCAAGCUCCAUGUCUUUUACAGCUGUUAAAGCCAGUAGCACUCUGAUUGAUGUGUGUCUGACUACUGGUGAGAACACCUUUUUGAAAUCCACUCCAGCCCUCUGUGUGUAACCCUUAGCCACUAACCUAGUUUUGAAUCUUCUAGGUUCAGUAGCUGUUAGUCCAUCUUUGACUUUGUAGAUCCAUUUACAUCCUACAGUUCUGCUGUUGGCAGGUCUUUUAAUCAGCUCCCAUGUAUUGUUCUUUUUCAGUGAAUAGAUUUCUUCAUCCAUGGCCUUUUUCCACUCAUCUUUGUAUGGUCCCUGGAUAGCCUCUUUGUAGUUCUUGGGUUCAUCAUCAUCAAUUUGAUGAGAUGCUGUCAAUGCAUAGGCUAUCAGAUCUGCAUAUCCAUAUCUGACAGGUGCUUUUGCUUUCCUUCUUUCUCUGUCUCUUGUCAGCUAGUACUCCUGAUGCUGAGCUUCAGUCUGCUUUACAUGAUCAGUUUCUAGAUCAGCAGCUCCUUGAUAAGAGUCAUCUUUAUCUUCUAAAGCUUCUCUGGUGUAGGGCUCCACCUCAAACUGAAUCUUGGUUCUCUCAUUCUUCUUUAGUGCAUCUGUGUCAGUAGGUUUCUUUAUUUCCAGUGCAGCUUUCUCAUUGAAUAUUACAUCUAUACUGAUUAUGCACUUGGGGGGAUUAAGGUCUGUACACCACAGUUUGAAGCCCUUAACACCUUCAGGAUACCCAAUGAACUUUCCUUUAAGGGCUCUUGGAGCUAACUUCCCUUGGCUCACAUGUGCAUAAGCUGGACAUCCAAAUACUUUGAGGCUGCCAUAGUCUGCUGGUUUUCCAUGCCAUUUCUCAAAUGGGGUUUUGAAGUCAAGUGCUGUAGAGGGACUUAGAUUUACCAGAUAGCUUGCUGUUAACAGAGUCUCAGCCCACAAUCCUUUGGGAAGUUGUGACUGGAUCAUCAUGCUUCUUACUCUGUCCAUCAGGGUUCUGUUCAUCCUUUCGGCUAACCCAUUUUGUUGAGGAGUCAGCCUUACAGUUCUAUGCCUUGCAAUGCCAUGAUCUGCACAGUAGCUAUCAAACUCCUGAUUGCAAAACUCAAGACCAUUGUCAGUUCUGAGUUUCUUCACCUUCAAUCCAGUUUGAUUUUCAACCAGGGAUUUCCACUCUCUGAAUUUGCCAAAUACCUGAUCCUUGUGCUUUAAGACAUAAACCCAUACUCUCCUUGAAUAAUCAUCUAUUAAAGACAAGAAAUAGAUCCAAAGCUAUUUCUUGUAGCUUUGCCUAGUACACAGUCUUCACAAAAAUCCAGUUCUGAGAUUUGACUGCUGCCUAGAACCCCUUGCUUCUGUAAUUCUUUCAGACCUCUCAAGCUCAUAUGUCCUAAUCUAAGGUGCCACAGCAAAGUGUUAUCACAACUUGAACUGAUUGACACUCCUGAUACACCAGUUAUAGCUUCCCCAUUCAAAACAUAAACCCCAUUUCUCUUGUAACCUUUCAUAACUAACCCAUCUCCAUUUGAAAUUCUCAGCUCACCAGAUUCAAGCUUAAUGCUAAGCCCCAUUUGGUCAAGCAUACCUAGAGAUAUUAAGUUCCUUUUAAGUUCAGUAACAUACCUAACUUCCCUUAAUUCUCUUAUUGUUCCAUCAUGCAAUUUUAGGUUUACAUUUCCUAUCCCCACAAUCUUACAAACAGCAUUGUUACCCAUCAUAACUUUUCCUCCAUCAGUUUCAUGAUAGUUUAAUAGGUAAUCUUUAAAGGGGCACAUAUGAAAUGUACAACCUGAGUCUAGAAUCCAGGUACCUUUUUGCACAUGCUCUGUAGCCACACAUACUCCUGCUGACUCAUACCCCUCUUCUUCAACAGUAGCAGCAGCUCCAUUUUGUUCCCUUUUCUUGUUCUUGAGUUCUGGGCAAUCUCUCUUAAAAUGCCCUUCUUUCUGGCACUGAAAACAUUUCUUGCCUUUAGUCUUUUGUUUGUUGUUCCCUUGCUUCUUUUUCUUUCCAUCAUACUUAUCAGUUCUUGCUUUUACUGCCAAUACUUCUCCAGAGUUCAUAUUCCCUGACUUUUCUUGCAGCCCUCUAGUAUUCAGGGCAGCCUUAACUUCAUCCAAUGAUAAAGUCUGUCUCCCAUACAUGAGUGCAUCCACAAAGUUUGAAUAUGAGGAUGGAAGUGAACUAACCAGAAGCAAUGCUUUACCUUCGCAACAUUCCUCUUUGCCAUAGUGACUAACUAUCCCAAAACGCAGCAUUAGCUGACGUUUUCACCAACAGAUUUGCUUCACAUCACAACAAUAACAAAAUCUAUUUCACUAUAGCUAUAAAGACAAAUAUUUGUUACAAAACAUCAGUUUUAGCAAUAAAAUAAGUUUUGUUGCAAUAGAAUUCGUAGUCAACGAUGUAUUUUCUUGUAGUGUAUUAUUGCUUUAUCUAUAUGUGUUUUAUUUAUUACAAUAAAAGUUUAGUUUAUAAUUAGGUCAGUAUCAUCGCUUAAUUUACUCAAUACCAUUUAAUUGGAAAAAGAAAGUUGGUCGGUCUUUGUUUUACUUAUAAAAGUUUAGCUUAUAAUUAGGCCGUAAAUAAUUUAAAUUAAGAAAAUUACGGUGAAUUAUUAUAUAGAUUAAUAUCAGCUCCACUUGCAGAAAGUUUAAAAAGUUUAAAUAUAGUAGUCGACAACUUUUCAAAAUAGUCAUAAAAAUUGCGAGAUCAACGAACAGUUGAGUUGGUAUAUGUAAGCUGAUGAGUUUCCAGGCAAAAAGACUCGAAUAGUAAGAGAAGACAAAUGAGAUUUAUUCGUAUUUAAUUAUGGAAUCACCGGCGGAUUUUGCAGCCCUAGGAAAGAACAGGUGCAAAUUUGAGUCUUAUCAAAAAUAAAAAGUUAUUUUUGACUAGCUUUAAAUAAAUAUAUAGUUAGCCCAAUUUGCGAAAGGUAUAUUUAAGUUAAAUAUUCACCGACUUGUAAAAACGGCCAAAAGCACGGCGUGAUCAAUUACGAUUUUUCAUGGAAUAUUCCACCAGGAACUCAGAAGAAAAAUGCUAAAAAACAAGGUCAAAAACUCACAAAAUCUAAUCUACAGUAUUUUAACAUAAAAUGGUAAAUUAUAUUGGUUAGUAAAAUAAACGGCAGGCAACAAUCUUUUAAAAAUAAAUUGGUAUCUUUGUUAAUUUUGGGAUUGAUUUGCUUUCGGAUAACUUUAUUGAUGAAAAAGAAGCAAAAAUGCAAAUUACUCCUUUCAAUGGGGUCUCCUAGUCUAAAAUAACUUUAUAUUUAUUAACUUACAUGUAAAGAUACUAGGGGGGCAGCUAGGUUGCGUCCCGGGUUUCGUACCCAAGUCGUUUGUCUUGUAGCAUGGUCACCGUUGGAUUUCAUCUCUUGGCUACAGAAGAGACACACAGACGCAAGGGAGUAACCUGAGAUAAAGGUAAUGGGCCGGUAACCUGCAAGGAAUAAAAUUUUUGACCAUAAAAACACCUGUACUGGGUUGGAAGUUGUUAAAGUAACACAUGUAAAACAACAGAAAAAAGGGUGCAUGCAAGUAUUGGUUAAAAACAAGAAGUUGGAAGCGUGCAAGUAUGGGUUGGGGUUAGAAUGAUUUGAAAAUUUUGAAAAUAGUAACGAAAACAUUUGUAAAUGGAUUUAAGGUCAUACAUUGCGUACUUGGUGGGAAAAAAAGACGAAAUAUCAACUUUAAUCUUGAAAGUGGCCUGGCAUGAAUUUACAGUUGAGUUAGCCUAUAAUUCGUUUUUGUGGAAAAUUUGCGUAUGCGUUGAGUAAAUGAAAACCAUAUAAAAAAAAAAUGUGAAGAAUAAUUAUGCAGCGUCUAAUAAUAAUAAUAAUAAAAAGAUCAAUGAAGAAUGACGGUCUAAAUUGAGGUGAAAGAUAAGUUGAAAGAGGAAAAAAAACUAAGAGAAAACUAUCGUGGGGAUGUUGAACCAAACACCCUAUCGUAGCUAUUCUCAUGAGCAGUAUGUUGUGCGAUGAGUGUUUUGCGAAGGCAGGCUAUAAACUAAUGAAGUAAGGAUGCUUGUGGAAAUGCUACAGAGAAAUAAGAGUAGUAUGGCCGAAUGUAAGUUUAUUACACAGUAAAGAGAAAUUAGAAGAGAACUUUUUAUAAGAGCUAUAGAGCUUGUACGUGUGCUGGUGGGUUUGUGUGUACGGUGUGCAAAAUAGCAAGUGUCACGGGGUUGUUAUAGGCUUGGAUGCCAAGGUAUUAAAGUUUCGCAACAACAUGUGCAAAUAUCUUCUAGGACGUAAAUGCACAAUUCUAAAAAACUGUAGUUAUUUACAAAUUGUAAAGAAGUCUAGAAUUAGGGCAGGCUUGGAUGGAUCCAAAGCAGACCAUGACUGAGUAGUUGUGUUAGGCAAGCCAUUACUAAGUGCAUCUCACUUGUAAGAGCAUAUCGCGUUGAGUGCUGAGGGCAACUCGCUUCUAAGUGCACUCCGCUUAUAGGUGGACUUUUGGUAAGCGCAACCACGCAUGCAAAAUUAACCACCAUUUGCUAGAGAAUUAAGCUUCCCUAAGAAGGCGCAAAUGUUUGUUGUAAGUAAAAAAAAGUAAAAGAAUAAAAAAAAAUUACAGACGAAGCCCGUAAUAAAUGGUAAUAAUUAUAAAAAUAAAAAAUUAUUUCAUAUGUUAUUCAACAGUCCCUAUUGUUUUUAGUUAAGAAUGUAAAGAAUAUGGGCCAAUUAAAAUACGAUAAAUUGUAGUAUAGCAAAGAAAAAUGUGUUCUUUAUCUGUAUCUCAAAACCUUAAUUUAUUUAUGAUAAACCAUAAAAAUGUCAUAAUGUAAAAAAAAAUUGGAGAGUCGUAUAGCGAUAAAUUUUUGUUUCUUUAACCACCAGAUAGGUGGGGGGAUAGGUAGGGGGCUAUGUGCAAAAACCUGCAAGUUAAAAGAAAAGUACAUUCAAUUGACAACAAAAAAGAUGCACAAAGAAAAAAAAAUGAAUGCAUCCAUCCAUAGUGUUGCCAACGACACCUGCGGCAAUUGACAAGAAUGAAGCUCAACUUUUGCUAUACUGUAACACCAGGCCCAUCAAGUACAGGAAAACAACACCUAUUAGACACCAGGGUCCGAUCGGAAUGGAAAUUGAGUUCAGUGUGAAAAAUAUAACCCAGGGCAUGCUGAAUGUACCACUACCAAGUAGUCUCGUAGGCAUUUAAGUUAAACUAUUUUCUUUAAAAAACAGAGAACGUCAAUGCUUGCAUUGACGUAAAAGAACUCUAUUAUUUUAGGGGUCUCUUCUUAAGUGCUGUUAAGAGAAAGGAGUUGUACUCUACUUUCUAUGAGAAGAUCCAAAAAAUUAUGGCCUGGUGAAUGCAGUAAAAGAUGGUGGGAUUGGAUUAAUUAAGUUGAAUUUGAUUCCAACAUAGGGCUUGAUAUGAACAUGUAAAGUAUGCAUAAUACCAUUUGAGUAAACAAAAGUAUGAUGUGAUAAUAUCCUUUUUCACCCGAACAAGACCGUUAUAAUAUGCAUUUUAAAGUAAAUUUUGGACCAAUAUUAACAACAGAAGAUAUGGUUAUGUUAGAAGUCAUAAAGUGAGUUAAUUGGCAAAAUUAAUUUUUGAUAGAAUAUUCUCCCAUAAUCUAUUAAGUAAGGGCACUAUUCAUUGUUGACAAGGUUACAAAUACAUAAUAGCAUAAAUAUUACGCAAUUUAUUUGUUUUCACAUUGAAUGAGUUAUUGAUAGAAUAAAUAUGCCAAAAAAUAUUGGUCUGGGAAAACACAUGACAUAAGUAAUGUCAGAUAAAAUCAUAUUUACAUAUAGAAAUUAUUAAUGUUGAAUGAACUAUACAUAGACUAUAUAACGACACAUAAAUUGCUAUCGAAACAUUUGUUUAAUAUAUAUCCACUUAAAAUUGACAAAAUGUAUAUAACACUUUGUCCACUGCUUUGUUAAAGUGGAGAAAUCAUAAGAAUAUCGUAAUCCAACUUCGUAUUCAGAGUUAAUGGGUGUGUAGCAUAUUUCAGGAAGUUAAAAUAAUCCAUCAAUAGUAUUACUAUUGAUGUAUAUUAAUUUCAUAAAAUAACGUUAACCCAUAAAAUAUUAAGACCGGCCUACGUGUUAAAAUUUUAAAACCUAACGUUUCCUUAAAUUAUAAAAAAAUAUGAGGGGCUGCAACGUUAGUAUUGCUUAUGUCCGUGCGACACUAACACCUUAUGGAACUCCUAUGUUGAAUCUAAUGGUCAGAUAGGAAAAAAAUUUGGAAAAAAUAAUAGGGUGUAUGAAAUCACGAUUGCAUGCACGGCGGAUCCAUCGGGCCAUAACAAACAGUUUUGUAAUCUAGUGUAUUAGAUUGUGAAAUAUUUUUCUAGAUGUUCUACCGUAGCUAUUGUGGUCGCAAAUAUAAUUAAUUUCCAGGUGAACAGAAAAAGCUAAACAUAGUUUUGUUUUCAAACGUUAUCGUGGUGAAAAUAAUGUUUCCAAGAAAUUAGAGUUUUAAUAAUGCUGCAAGUGUUCCCCUUGCCUUUGGAACUGCCUAUGAAUGUGUGGAACGUUCUGCCUUUUAAUUGGCCCAUAUAUAUGUAAUCUCGUUUUAGGUGGUGUUGGUGUUGUUGGCACCCUGGCGAUUGAGGAAUAACAAUCCCGUUAUUCUUUGUGUUUUCCUUGCUUGCCCGAAAAAAUUUGACGUGAAUUACUGAAGUUAUGACCUUUGUUGGUGGCUUAUGAUAUUCAUUGUGGAAAUCUCACUUAGUGCCUUAAUGGUUUUCAAAAUCAUCAUGCAUUGUAAUACACCUAAAGAUUUAUAGUUUGAUUAUAACGUUGAUGAACUAGCUAGACAAUAAUGUGAUUAAUCACAAUAUUUCAUACCACCAAUAGUACAAAUAUAGCUUUGGUGUAAACAAAAUAUAUGAAAACAUCUCCGUAAGUAGCAUCUAACUACAUUGGCUGUGGAAAAAUCCCAGUGAAGUAAGUAAGAACGUCAUGGUCUCCAUAUAUUUAAUUGCAUGUGCAUUGACAACAAUUUUGGGAAUAAAUACACACUGAUGAGAUGAAAAUUAUACGAUGCACCUUAGGACAUAGAUAAAUAACUAUUACUCCUUAGGCUGAUCUCCAUUCGGGGAAGCCGAGAUUUAAAGGCCUACAAAAGUAAAUGCAAAUAAGUAAUUUGAAAGGAACGGAGGAUAAAAUGAAAAGAAUUUUCUUACUGAUUAUAUCCCCCAGUGGUGCUCUUGCUGUUCGGGUCCGACAGAAUAUCGCCAUCCAAUCGAGGCGACUGUGUCUGAGAUUGGGCAGUGAUUAGAACAAAAGAAUUUUGGUAUUGUAUGAAAUGUAAUAAAAUAUCAUAUACUUUACUAAAGGAAGAUAUAGUUACGGGUUGUUACCUUUGCGGGAUAAUUUGAUUCAUCAACACCUGUGAAAUUGCUAGACUUCUUCACCGGUGGCAAAACAUUGUCAUCUAACUAGCAGUUCCAGUGCAUUAUUUGGGGAAGCAUUAUCAUUCUUGGUCCAUACGUUGAUAUGUAUUCAUCCAUUUACCAAAGCUUAUGUAUGUAUGUGUCGAUUUUCCCUCCCCAUCUGUCAAUGCAUCGACAAACAUACUGGCAAGGAAUUCGAGAUAAUUGUCAUAAUCUGCAAGAGCAAGUCAUUAGUUCCUUGUUAACUUGAUACACAAGUCCAUGUCUACUUACAGUGGACAUCCGAAGCCACAUCAACAGUCCAGCUUUCGCCUUAAAAAACAUGUUGUAUGAUUUGUUGUCUUACUGUUGGUGUGAGUUUGUCAUAAACCCAUUCCCAGCCAGCCAAAUAUCGUUUCUCAAACACUUCAAUAAUUUUUUGGGUUAUUGUUGUAUAUCCUUGUGAGACAUUCAAGUCCAGGUACUUCAUCAACCAUAUCUGAAGUUGUUCGCUGGCACUUUUGGUUACCUUUGUGCUUUUCACCUAUUCGGUGAAAAAUAGUGCCCGUUUAUGGCAGUCAGUGUGUUUCAGCCAAUUAUAGCAUUCUAGAUUUACCCUUUCUAUGAUAGACAGUUGCUUUAUGAAGUCAUUCCUGUCUGAGCUUCGACAUGCACCCCAAAAAGCUGAAUGAAUUCGCACAUCUGGAAAUUCCUCGAGCAAUCUAUUAUAUAGGCUGAAACAACAUUGCAUGUACACUACACAUGAGAGGAACUCUUCAAUAGCCUCAUCAAUGUCAUUAUCCCCAUAACCCAAAAUACACAAUCCUUCUCCACGGUCCAACCAGAGUUCGUAGCUUAAAUUCUUAAGAAAAAAGCCCCGGAAUCCAAGUUCUCUUCUUGCACCUCGCAAAAACCAAUUGGGAGCACUGCAUCAUUCCCAUCACGACAUACUGCAACCAUCAUCACACUCUUAUAUGGACCACCAAUCUCUCACCUAUCAACUGUUAGGAGCAUUCGACAUCUUAUUUUAAAUGCAUAUGCAGUGUCAUACAAUAAAACAAACGUGCGGUCAAAAAUCUCGUUGCUGAAUUGACGUUCUGUUUUUGUUUCUAUGAGAACGAUGUUAUGGUCGUUUACAUUCUCCAUCUCCUGUUUGUACUGUAGAAGUUGUACAUAUGCCUCCGUGUGGCCUAUUCUAAGCCACAUUGUUGCCACACUGUCCACAACAUUCAACUUCUAAAGGGGGCAUUUCAUCCUAUAAGCUGCCGCAAUUUCAUUUACGAAGACAUCGAGAUGUUGAGGUACAUUUUGAUUCCAAAUAUGGAGGAGCUUAGCUGCAAUCCAUGUUGCCCCCCACUGCAGUUUUAACAAACGUUUCUUACAUGUUUGCGUUGGAGUUAAAUAUGAGAUGACAAAUUCAUUGUGUCCACGUUCUUUUACUGCAGUGAUUUUCCAAUCACAAUUGAGUCCGAACACUCACAGCUGACACAGGUACUAGAGUUAUCCAUUAUGCAAAGUUUGAUACCAUCUUGAAUUGCUUGAACCUCUACGGCUCUUCUAAACUGAAAAUCAUCUCUGAAGCACUGCCCCAUCUUCAUAACCAUUUGAUUAUUGGUUCUACUAUCAAAUAAAAAACCAUCGUAUGUGUGGUCUUUUUUUUCCUGUCUCUUUCAAGUUGAAAUAACUCAUCCUCAUAUUCGAUCCAGCACUUGCUAAUUCUUCAUCAUUUUCACUGUGGCUAGGCAAAAAAAUUAUCGCAUCCGCAGAAUCCUCAUCUGCUUCCCACCCUUUAUCGGAUGCCCACCAGGUUGGAUCAGACGGUGUGUACCCAAGCGGUGAUAGAUGCGAGUGUGAACUCAUAGUAUUUCUAAUGCUAUUGUCUGUAUUGAGGGGAGGUUUAAAUAUGGAAAGUACUUGUACCGCUUCAGAGUCUGUAAUUAGUUGUCUCCUCUUUGUUGAAACAAAACCAUCAUCCGUUGAGAAAAUGGAAAUUACUCAGUUGGUCACUUGUUGAGAGAAACUAGUUGUCUCUCCAUGGUCAUCACUUCCAGGCAGGUUGGUUCUACCAUUCGCUCAUUAAACAACACCCUCGCAACAUUCCUCUUUCUCACACUAUCAUGACAAUUUGUCAAUGCGUCAUUACUGGGUAUAAUGUGCUUUAUUGUUGCUGAACCUUUGUUGGAUUGCCUUUUCCAGCCCUUAUAAUACUCAGGCGAUCCAAUCACUAGUGUCCCACUCUCUCUCAAUCCGUGUUGGCAUGUUGUGGGUGAAUGUGAUGAAUGAGACCCAUAUUUGGCCCUAUACUGACGAUCCAUUUCUUUUUUAACUACCAAGACUGAAUUAGUCCACUGCUAGACCCUCUCAUGAUUAACCUGCCGUGGAAUCAAUUACUGAGGGUUAACAAUCAUCACUUUUCAAACAAAGUGAUGAUUAGAAGAUUACGAAUUAAUUCCCAAUUACAUGAGAGCAUCAAUUAAUUUCCAGUUUGUAUCAAUCGGUGGAAAUUAUGGAAAAACGUUUGAUGAUAGGACUUCAUUAAAGUUGCCGGUUAGUUGUAUCCAAGGCACAAAAACAUAUUACUAGUCUUCAUUUGAGAAAGGCAAUUUUGUUUCGUUGAACAACAAUUAUGGCAAAUUCCAAAACAUAAAAAUAAUUUUUGCUUCAAAACAUGCCCAAUUUCUGAUGGUGCCUCAUAUGUCGAUAAUCUGUAACUCAGAGUUAAGAGGUAGAAUGAUAAUGAUUCCAGGAACUGUGAAAAACACCUAGCACAUUAUGAUUUAUUAUUGUCCGGCAAAUCUGUCAAUGAACAAGUUAAAAAAUUACAGUAAAUGCGAGUCUUCGGUAUAAAAUAUUCUACACCACAAGAACACCUUUGAAGGAGAGUAUAUAAUGUUCAUGUACAAAUGGUAAUUUUUGUACAUGAACAUCACAGGUGUUGGUAUGGGAAAAUAAACAUGUCGUUUCUAUAAUUAAGUUUAGUACUUCCAUUCACUCACCUAAAAAACAAGGCAACAAGAUGGAAGGUAAACAAAAUUCACUCGUGACUUCCAAUAACGUUAGCACCCAUCCCAACGUCGCACAUAGUUAGAUUGUUGUUAACCUUAUUUCAUGCCGACGCUAUUGUUAAAUUGUUGUUAACCUUAUUUCAUGCCAAUGUUAUUGUUCAUAACCUACACAAAAUUUACCUAUUUUCUGUUCAGUCACUUGCAUAAAGAACGAUGAAGGAGAAGUAAAUUAACGUACCUAUAAAUUAUUUCAUGAUUAGAAUAAGGAUCAUACUCUGUGACUUACGCAAUCGACAAAAUUUAGUACAUACCUUACAAAAUUUGCUUAGUCCAGUGAUGGUGGUAAAUCCAUGUGGCCCCUUAUUGGUUUAUUUUGUACUCAUUGACUUACGCAUUCCCCCAUAGACUCAUUCCUUGCCACAUCGAAAGACUACAAAUUGUUAUCCUGGGUUUAUUCUAUAACAAAACAGGGUGCUUUCUGCAAUGAUAUCUCUUGCCUACACAACAACAAUGAAGCAUUGAUGGAUCAUCUUAUCAUCUCAAUUAAGAGCGAUCUCAUGGUUCUAGGUACUCCAAGAUUUCAAAUAAACUCCAACCAAUCUCAUGGUUGAAUUUGGGGUCAUGCCGCCAAAAUUCAGUAUAUGAAUUCACGAAGAUUUAAAUACAUCAACGGUGUACAUAACACGUUGCCAUUAUCGUGCCUUUUUCAAUGGGUGAAUGCGAGGCCCCAAAGUUUGCUUUUUCUACGAGGGUACCAAAUUUAACAUGCAAAUUAAACUGCAAUGUAAUUCCAGAUAUCGAAGCAUUGUUCAAUCCUUCUGUUGUCGAUUGCUAAUCAUUCAUGGGCUUAUGUGUUUCGGCCCGGUUUGGUUAACCUGUAAUAAUUGUUUCAUUAUUUUGCUAAAGUCCAGGACCCAAUGUUACGAUACCACGGUCAUUGAAAUACUUAGGUUGAUAUGAAUACAACUCAACACUUUAUAAGCCACUUGUUGAUACGAUCUUUGGCUUACAAUCUGGACGUGUUAAGAAAAUUGAUAAAUAUCUCCUAAUUGUAGUGCCUAACAGUAAUGGAAACAUUUAAUUACUGAUGCAUUGUUAUGGCACUGCAAGUUAUAAAUUUAAUGAACUAAUAUUAAAUAUGUAAGUAGAUAUAGUAAUAACAUAUAUGCAUUCCUUACUUUAUCGACGAUAUUGACGCUUCGAAGUAGGCAGCCCUGAUGAUGCAAUUAGAUUUGGAUGAGUCCUUCGAAGCUCUAGGCUUCUUUACAAAAUGUCCACCUCUAUGCAAUAAUAAUGGUUUGGGCUUAAAAUGUUUGCGGAACUAUAUUAAAAUUUUCAGUAAUAUCAUAAUUUUAUUGUUAUUAUUAAUGUAAUGUGAUAUGGUGGUGCAUUUAAUAACUGUUGUAUUAUAAUUUCUUUUUCGAUUGUGGUUUACUUUUUUGUAAGUCAGGUGUUGCUGAUGCUUUGCAACAAUUAAUUUAUAUGAAAUUCACUGAAAGCAUUACACUGGUGUACACUAGAAUAAACUAUCGGUCCAUUUAAUAAGUUGAAAUCAUGAAAAGUAUGAAUGACAAUUACUUACAAUGAAAAUCAAGAAACGGUUGGUCGUUAGUGUGGAAAAUUCAAGAUUUUAUCUGAGGUGGAUUGGGGCAUGCUUCACGAGGUUUGCAUUAACAUUGAAUCAACUUGAGCUACAUCGUAACAAAUUUCUCACAGCUACUUAUUUGUAAGUACUAGAAGAAUUAUCAUUAAUUGUUGUCAUUACAUAUCCACGCUUGAUUAUUCGGACUAUGAUUAUUUGUUCAUAGUUUGUUAUUACAUUAUUUAAUGGAAGUAAAUGACUUCAUUAACCGUAAUAGCAACCAUAAUACAUAUUAUAUCAAUGAAUAUAAUAAUUUUCAACUUACUGUUAAAAAUUAUAUGUUAUUGAUUUCAUUUACAUUCAGUUGAGUCAUCUAUCACAUGUGUGUAAUUUUUUAAAGUUCAUAUUUACAUGCACAAUCUCGUAGUUUAUGAGUUACAAAGUUAAUAAAUUUGGAAUAAAUUAUAAAAUUUUAAUAUGAUUUGCAAUCUUGAAUCUCGACUACAAAACCGUGGAUUAAAAAUGACGCUGGACCAGGGGCCUUUUAAGCCACAGCCAGGUCACAUUGCAGGCACCUUCCAUUGUUGUUGAGACUUAUGUUUCAAAUAUUGUAUGUAAUUCCAUUCUAUGGUCAUUUACAUCCACGUGCCUCUAUCUGGUGGUCCAUUUGUAAUUGAGAUAAUAUAUGUGAUUGGACUGUUAAAUACUUCCACGUGGCCCAACGCUGUUGUCCAUUAGUGCAUUAAAUAGAAGCCGCCUGUAUUUAAUUGGCGCAUUGAUUUGUAAUUACAUCGUCUACUUUUUUUUUAAUCUUUCCUUUAUAAUAAUUACUGAUCUCUUACACACUACUGUCAUUAAGUAAUUAACUAUAGAUGACAACUUUUAUUGCUCCCAUUAAUGGGUGUCACACCGAUUUUCUAUCGCGAAGAAGAUUGACCUACUAACGUGCCAUGCGUUAUCUUAUAUAUCAAGCAAGGGUGGCCCCUUCAUUCAUUAUUUGAACGGCCUAUACUGACGUCCUAGAUCAGCAGUCAAAUUGAAAGUGGAAAAUAAUAUGACGGCCAACUUCAUGCCUCAUAAUUAAUCUCUUCGAAAGUCUGCAGCUACUUGAAGGUAACAGUGUUUCGAUGGGGAAAUGUGUUGGUUUGUUGGCAUGCAGGCAUUUCACUAAUGUUUUGGGGCCACCGAAAGGACCAGCGAGGCGAAUACUACAUUGCGUCUUCGUCAGCAGAGGGUGUGUUUUGUAUCUUGUCAUGAAAGGCAUUGGGUAUUACAAAAAGGUUGAGAAAGAUCCAUUGUCCACGUUACACUACACUAUUAAAGUUUGGAACUACACAACCUACAUUAUUAGUUCCUGCAGCUUGGAAACUUACGUAGUGUUUACUUUUUGGAGUGGGAGGGGGAAGUGUGAAUUCCUCCCACUCUAGUGUUUACUUACAAUUUUUAAGGGGGGAGUGGGAAUCCCACACUGUGGACCCCACCUAAUUUUUGAGUGGGGAGUGGGAUUCACACUCCCACUCCCCCCUCUUCCCUUUUUAGCCUUAUAUAAAAAAUAAAAUAAAUAAUAUUUAAUAAAAUAUUAUUAAUAUAAUAAAAUAAAUUAUAUCAUAUUUAUUUAAAUUAUAUUAUUUUAUUUUAUAAAUUAAAACUAUUAAAAAUAAUAAUAAACAUAUUUAUUUUAUUAAAUUUAACUGCUGUNNNNNNNNNNNNNNNNNNNNNNNNNNNNNNNNNNNNNNNNNNNNNNNNNNNNNNNNNNNNNNNNNNNNNNNNNNNNNNNNNNNNNNNNNNNNNNNNNNNNNNNNNNNNNNNNNNNNNNNNNNNNNNNNNNNNNNNNNNNNNNNNNNNNNNNNNNNNNNNNNNNNNNNNNNNNNNNNNNNNNNNNNNNNNNNNNNNNNNNNNNNNNNNNNNNNNNNNNNNNNNNNNNNNNNNNNNNNNNNNNNNNNNNNNNNNNNNNNNNNNNNNNNNNNNNNNNNNNNNNNNNNNNNNNNNNNNNNNNNNNNNNNNNNNNNNNNNNNNNNNNNNNNNNNNNNNNNNNNNNNNNNNNNNNNNNNNNNNNNNNNNNNNNNNNNNNNNNNNNNNNNNNNNNNNNNNNNNNNNNNNNNNNNGUACAGCAGUAUUAUUUUAUUUUAUAAAUUAAAUUUAUUAAAAAUAAUAAUUUUAAACAUAUUUAAAUAUAAUAUUGUUAUAUUUAAUUAAAAAUAAUAAUUUACAUUAAUUCUAAGUUGAAAUUACUUAAAAAUAAUUUUAUUAUACUCAUAGAGAAUUAAUAAUAUAAUAUUAUUAUAUUUAUUUAAAAAUAAUAGUAUAAUAUUUAUUUAAUUAUUAAUAAUAGAUAUUUCAUUCUAAGAAAAUAUUAAUUUUGUACUACAUUAUCAA